rnacentral:lncRNA from 1 species
UUCUCCACCUCUCUGUUUUCAGUUGCAAUGCUUCUCUUUCGUGGUCUUUCUUUCAAUGGGUAAAAAAUUCUAUUCCCACCUAUAACCACUCUCUGCAAUCUACGUGGACAAUGGUUCACAUUCUUACCAAGCACAAACAUUUCAAGACUGCACACCACUUGCUCGACAAAAUUCCUAACAAAGAUUUCUUGUCCUCAAAUUCCGUUUUGAAGGUUUUGGUGAGUACCCAUUCGGACGUUGAAGUUAAUUCUCAUGUUUUAAGUUGGUUGGUGAUAUCAUAUGGGAAAUUGAGAAUGACCCAAGAUGCUUUACAGGUUUUUGAGUCGAUGAGAGUUCAUGGGUUAAAGCCUCAUUUACAUGCUUGUACUGUGCUUUUAAAUUGUUUGGUUAAAGAUAAAUUGAUUGAUAGCGUAUGGAAAAUCUACAAGAAAAUGGUUAAACUUGGGGUGGUUGUGAAUUUACACGUUUAUAAUGUCUUGCUUCAUGCUUGUUGUAUGGCUGGUGAUGUCGAAAAGGCCGAAAUGGUAUUGAGUGAGAUGGAAUUGAAGAACGUUUUUCCAGAUCUUAUUACGUUCAAUACAAUCAUCGUUUUGUAUUGUAAAAAGGGUAUGCAUUAUGAAGCAUUGUGUGUGCAAGAUAGGAUGGAAAGAGCUGGGAUUAGUCCAGACAUUAGAACUUAUAAUUCACUUAUUUAUGGCUUUUGUAGACAAGGUAGAAUGCGAGAAGCUUUAAGACUAUUUAAGGAAAUGAAAGGUGUUAGUGUUAGUCCUAACCAUGUCACUUACACUACUUUAAUUGAUGGUUAUUGUAGAGUGAAUGAGCUAGGAGAAGCAUUAAGAUUGCGAGACAUAAUGGAGGCUAAAGGGAUUUAUCCAGGAGUAGUUACUUAUAACUCAAUCAUUCGUAAGUUGUGCGAAGACGGUAAAAUAAGGGAAGCUAAUUGGAUUUUGAAUGAGAUGAAUGAAAAGAAAGUUGAACCUGAUAAUGUGACUUGUAACACAUUGAUCAAUGCAUAUUGCAAGAUUGGAGAUAUGGGGUCUGCUAUGAAAGUGAAGAACAAGAUGAUGGAAGCCGGAUUGAAGUUAGAUCAAUUUACAUUCAAGGCAUUGAUUCAUGGAUUUUUCAAGGUGAAUGAAAUGGAUAGUGCAAAAGAUUACUUGUUCAACAUGCUUGAUGCAGGGUUUUGCCCUAGUUAUUGCACCUAUUCAUGGCUUGUUGAUGGGUAUUGUAACUUAGGCAAAGAAGAAGAAGUUAUGAAGUUUCCAGAUGAAUUGUUGAAAAGAGGCUUAAUUGUUGAUGUCUCGGUGUACAGGGCACUCAUAAGACGGUUCUGUAAACGAGAAAGGCUCGAUUGCGCCGAAAGAAUAUUCGGCGUUAUGCAAGGAAAAGGUAUAUGUGGAGAUAGUGUAAUAUAUGCUAACCUAGCAUAUGGUUAUUGGAAAAUGGGGAAGGUGAAUGCUGCUUCAAAUCUAUUAAAUGAAAUGUAUGAAAAGAGGUUGAUGAUAACUCUCAAAAUCUAUAGAUCUUUCACUGCUUCAUAUGGUGGUGAUAAUAAUAAUAGCAUUUUAGUUUUGUUUUGGAAUCAUGUGGUUCAAAGGGGAUUAAUUUCUAAGAGUAUUUUGAAGGAUAUCAAUAAAGGUGAGAUUUGAACCUAAGUUGUAGCCUAUUGGUCUGGUAUUUUACCUUAAGAAGAGCUUGGUUCGAGUAAUCGUUGUAAAAAAAAAAGAUUUGGAUUCAUGAAUUAACCUUUCAUAUAGCAGUUCAUAUGGUUCAAAAUUCAACUGCUAUUUCCCCUUUUUUAUUCUUGCUUCUUAAAAGGUAAUGUGAGCAUAGUUAUACUUUGCAAUAUAUACUUGUAGACACCCAACUUCAUGAGACUUAAUUUCAAUUAAGCGUGAGCAAAAUUCGAAGAACUCGAAAAAAAUUUUAAUUUCAGGUUAUCGAAUCGAGUUUUCGGUUUAUUUGAUUUCGAGUUGAGUUGAAAUUUAUAAUUCGAAUAACUUGAAUAAUUUAAAUAAUGGAUUUGUGUAAAUACUCUUUUUUCUCAUCAAUCUCGAAAAUGAGCAAAUUAGACUUUUUCAACAAAAAAAUUCAGAAUAAUUUUCAAAAAUUUAAAAUAUUUAUAAAAAAUCAUAAUUUAAAAAAAUUAAAAAAUAUAAAGAAUAUAUAAAAAAAUUAAAUUUUUUUAAAAAAAUUUGAAAUAAUAAUUUUGAUGACCUAAACAAGUAAAUUACAAAUUCAAGUCUAUCGUACUAAAAUAUCUUCUUCUUCUUUUCUCGUACUUUGCUUUGAAAGAAUUUCAAAUAUAUAAGGUUUCAAAUUUAUAUGCUCUAAUUUGGAAUUAAUUCCAUUGUAACAAGAUUUUAUUUGAUAUGUUUAAACUUUUAAUUUAAUUCAAACAAUUUCACUCGAUUUGAAUCAACUUAAAUUUCAUUUCACUCAAUUCGAUUUGAAAAAAAAAUUCAAAUAAAGUUAAGAUGAUAAAAUAGAACUCGUCAGUUCGACUAACUCGAAUUUUUUCACUUGAUUCGAUCGAACAUUCACACGUGGAUCUAAUUCAAUAUUGUAUUAAUUCCAUUUUGAUUCAAUUUUAAUUAUCAAAUUUAAUAACUCAAAAAAUUACUCAUUUGUUAGACUUAUUAGAACCAAUUAUGUAAGUAAAUAAAAAUAUUGAUAUAAAUAAUAAUUAAGAAUUGGUUUUUUGUUCUAGAUUCUAUUAAAAAUAUAAAUUUAUUUUUGGUUAGUUUGUUUACAAAACGAAAUUUAUAUAAAAGUGCAAUGACUAAAUUCUUAAAAAUAAAAGUAGAUGGAAUACAUUCUUAAAAUGCAGAGAGACUAAAUUCUUAAAAGAAUAAAAGUACAGGAACUAAAUUUCAAAUUUGUAAAGAGUACAAGGACCUAUGACAUAUUUUAACCUUUUAAAUAUCGAUAAAUUUGAAACAAUACCUCAAAGCAAAUUAAUAUCAAUACUAGUUUGAAUAGAAAAAUGAUACGCUUACGGCCAAAAAUUCUACCAUGCUUUUGCAAAAAGAGAAAAAGUAUAUCGAAAAUUUUAAUUAUAGCAUUAGAAAUUUUGGAUAACCUCUAAGGUGGGAUAUUAUUAUAGUGAGAUAUUGUUGGAUUUUUUUAAAAUUAACAAUUGUGAAUAAAUGAGGGAUUAUAUUCAAAUUAUUAAAAAAAGUAUAAAAAUUAUAAAAAAAUAUAUUUUUUAAUAAAUUUAUUUUUUUAAAAUUAAUUCAUUAGUAACAUGGUAUACACAUAGACUAUCACAUGAUUCAUCUAUUUUAAGGUGAUUUUACAAGCUAUACAAGUUCAGAGAUUAAAAAGAAACAAAAAUUAAAUAAAUAAUUAAAAUAUAUUUUUUAUAAAGUUAGAGGACCAAAUAAGAAUUAUUCCAUUUUAGUAUUAGUAUAACGUGAUUCUUUUUCUCCGGAACGCACAGUAGAAUUUGCCGUCUACCGGCGGUACUUACUACUUUAAUUUUCACACUACAAAGCACAAAGUGUGACUAAAUUAUAGGUCAGUGAUAACAUCACCCUGCCAGCCACGUAUCUAAUCACAGCCAACCAUACCAUAUAUAAAUGAACACGCUUUACAGCCACUAAAAUUGCUCAACGUGAUAAAAGUAAAAACGUGGCACGUGGUAAAGAUAAGAAUUUGAAAUCCACGUGUCGCACUAGUGGAGACUCCCAACAAAAAGACGGCUUUUGAUGUGGAUGGAUAAUAACAAAAGCUUACUUGUCGGUUAUGUCAUGACAUGUGAAAGUCGUUCAAAAGGGCACCGAAAAGUGCCACGUGCAAGCUUGGAUGAUGUUCAAAAUCGCGUUACGUGCCGUAUGUCCAGACGGUUUCGCGUUUGCAACGCUACAAUUUCUACACUCUUUUGCACUUCUAUUACUUCACUCUACUUAGCUCCACUGCGUACGGAUUUUACGUAUAUACCCUCAAUGCUCUUUUUAAUACAUAUAUUAUUAGUAAAAUAUUUAAAAUUUAAAAUAAAUAAAUCUCUUAUUUAAAAAAUUAACCAUUUAAUAAUUUAUAUAUAUGAAAUAAAUCAAUAAUUUAAUUUUAUGCAUUCAACAAUAAUUAAACUUUGAUUUUGUGUAAUUUUAUAUAUAAAAUUUUAAUUUGAUUCAAUUAUUAUAAAUUAUUAACAUAAUUAUUGACAUAAUAUUAUUUUAUGUUUAUAUAUUCUAUACAUAAAUAAUCAUAUUUAUUCAAUAUAAAAAUAAAUUAAUAUAUUUAUUUCUUUAAAUACAUAUGAUUAAAUUAAAAUUAAAAUUUUACGUAACUAGAGUUUUAUGUAUAUAAUUUUAAAAUUUACAUCUUAAAAAAUAUUGGUUUGUUGUACUUUAAAAACAUGAAAAUUCUGUACUUGUGGAAAGUCAUUAAAAUUCCAGAAAAGGGGUAAUAAUGGAAAAGCAAAGAACAGGGAAGGGGAUUUGUGUUAAUUGUAGAAAGGAAAAGAGAGAAUAAGAGGAAGGGUGUUAGAGUGACACACGUGGCUAAAUAAUGGAUUCCCUUUUAAGGAAUUAGCCGUGUGUGUGUCUUUCUAGAACUCAAAAAAGCAAAGCCAGCCAGCCAACCGAACACACAUUGAAGUGUGCCAAAAAACCGAAACACAGGAAUGUUACGGCAGAACAGACGAUACCAUUGCCAAGCUGCUAUCUUACAACCAAUCAUCUUUUCACCAAGUUAUGGGCACUCAAUCUAUUUUUUUAAUAUUCUUGUUUGGCCUAUAAGCCUUCAACGUGGAGCAUAUUUAGGGAAUAAAUAAAUAAAUGAAUAAAGAUUUCUUCAAUCAAAAGGCAAACAUGAUUUGUAGUUGUAAGCAAUAUAUGCCAUUGUUUUGGAUUUUUAUUUACUAUUUUGUUUAUAUUUGAUGUAAUUAAAAAAUAUAUUAUUACCGAUUGAGUUUAAACUCGAUUGGUAUGAGUAUUGUUAUCAAUAUAGAAGAACGUGAAUUCGAGUACGAUGAAACGCAUUAUCCUCUUAUUUAUGAGUUAGGGAGGGAAAUAACGUUCUCUUUUCAUGGUUCAUAUUUUGACUUUGUCUCUAAACUUUAAAAGUUUCUAAUUGAGUCCUAAAAAUAUUAGUAUCUUAUCAAUAAAGUCUUUUGUCACUUAAAUGCUAGCUCAAAAAUAAACUAUAAGCAUGUGUGUACCUACUGCAUUAACAUCUUGGAUUCAUAGUGUUAAAAAGAAAUAGCCCUCCUAUAUAUUUUUUAACCGUCAUAUUCGAGUUGUUGAUGUGAUAUACAUACACAUGAUUACAAUUUGAUCAACGUAUUUUAAAUAUGUUCCAUGACAAAUCUUAACUACCGUAUAGCAUCUAAACUGACAUUUGCAUUGAUGGAAAGACUUGAAUAAUACAACAUUGAUACUUUAAAAACUUAAUUAGAAUGAUUUGAAAUUUAGGGACCAAAUUAAAAUAUGAAAAAUUGUUUAGGGACGUUUUUAUGAAACUAACCUUAGAAAAAAGUGGGUAGAAUAGCAGUAGGAAAGUGAUAAGAAGAGCUGGCGUAGCAAUGUUUUGACUUGGAAGAAGUCAAAUAUAAUCUGCCAAUAGAGAAGCUCUCAGUCUCCACACACCUCCUUUCCUUUUAGUUGACCGACUUUUCUUCCUACAAUUUCUAUAUAAACCCCUUUAACUCACACCAAUUUUAACUAGCACUUAAAAAUUUCCUUUUGUUUUCUUGCACUUGAUUGAUUCGAAGGAAAUUAGAAGAUAAAUAUGGCCCUUGAAGCUCUGAAAUCUCCAACAAUGGCGACUGCCCCUUACAGCAACAAGUACGAAGACAUCGACAACAAUUACUUCGAUACAUGGAAGAAAGGCAAGCGUUCAAAGCGACAACGCGACGACGAGUCUUCUUCUUCUCCGCCGCCGCCACCACCGCCGACAAAUGAAGAAGAGUACCUUGCUCUUUGUCUCAUCAUGCUAGCUCGUGGUGGUUCCACCACUGAAAAAGCCGUGACAGACGGUGGAAACGAUGACCAUCGUCUGUCUUCUUCUUCUUCAGCACCGGCACCAGCGGCUUUGAAGUUGUCUUACAAGUGCAGUGUUUGUAACAAGGCUUUCCCUUCUUACCAAGCUCUAGGUGGACAUAAAGCCAGCCACCGUAAAUCCUCCACCGAUGCUAAACCCGAUAAUCAGUCCAUCACCACCAGCAGUACCACCGCCAGCGGGGAAGCCGGCGGUAACGGUAAAGCCCAUAAGUGUUCGAUCUGCCAUAAGUCUUUCCCUACAGGCCAAGCUUUGGGAGGUCACAAACGCUGUCACUACGAAGGCGGAAACACCACCACCACUACCACCACCACCGCCAUCACCAACAACGAGAGCAGUAGCGUCAGCUUGAGUGGGGUGACGGUGUCGGACGGUGGCGCGUUGAGCCAAACCCGUUGCGUCGACUUUGACUUUGACCUAAACUUGCCCGCUUUGUGCGAGUUGGAAAUCAAAGAUGGAAGCAGAUUUUGUCAAAUCUAUACAGAGCAAGAGGUUGAAAGUCCAUUGCCGACCAAGAAACCACGUCUUAUGACAGCUUCUUUAGCACAACAUUAAUUUCAUUAGUGUUUAUAGGAAUUAAACAUAGAGUGAAUUCAUUUAUUUUUGGGAUUUAUGUUUUUCUUUUUCCAUUGAUUUUUGGGAUUUCUAUUAAUUUGAUCUUCUUUAGAGUGAAUUCAUUCAUUAUUUGUGACCUCUACUGUUGUAUAUUCCAUUGAUUCAUUUGUUGAAGAAAUGCUUAAUAAAUAUAAGUUUUCUUUUAAUAUUUAAUUUGGUAUCUUAUUUUUUUUUAUUUUAGUAUUUAAAUUUAAUUUCGAUAUUUAAUUUAAUUUUUAAAUUAAAUAAAAUUAGGUGACUCGAUGAAUAUUUGACGUAUAUAUUUUUAUCUAUUAAAUUAAAAAAAUUUAAGUAUUAAAAUAACAGUGAAAUAAAAUUAAAAUAUUAUAUAAAUUAAAUUUGUUAAUUAGAUUGUUUGAUGAAUAUAGAUUUUAAAUUAUAAAAAAUAUAUCCUUAAUUUUAAAUAUUUUAUUUUUUCUAAACAAAAAUUAAAUUUUAAAUGUAAAGUUUAGCGGGAUUAUAUAACAUUAAAAUAAAUAAAAUAAAAUAGUAUUAAUUGAAAAUAUUUUUCAGUGAGUAAUAAAUUAACUCUUAUACUUAUUAUUUAUUUAAAAUUACCAAAACACAUAUAAAAAAAUUAAUUAAUUUUCUAUUGAUUUAAUUUUUUUCAAUCUCCUACAAAACAGCCCUUAGUUGGAAUGGGAGUGGAGAGAACUAAGCUAAGAACAAGGCAAAAGUGAAUGCCGCGUGAAACAGCGAAGAGACAGCAGGCAAGGGACAAGGAGUCACGGAGGUGGUGGUGGUUUUAUGUUUUACAGACAGGGAAAACCAGGCAGCCGGCCCAUGUUAGGGGAUCUAAUGAGAUGGUUAACAGUUGAAACCGCCUAGAUAUCCAUCAUCUCCAUGUGGGUUUCCAUUACAUGCUUUUCAAUGCACGUGGCUGGCAAUGUCACCGUCAAUGGAUCAUAAUGAUCAUCAUGACCUUGUAUAUAUAAUACCUCUUCUAAUGAGAUUUAAGCGGUAAAAAUUAUAUUAAAGUUAGAUUAUAUUUUGUUGUUUUUUAUUAAAAUAAUGGAUAAUUUAAUUACAAUUAAUAACUAAAAAGUAAAUUAAUUUUUUUCUUAAAAAUUUUAUUAAUUUGUAUUAUUAAUAAUUGAUGUAGUUAACGGAAUAAUCAGACAAUGACAUGUGAUGUGUCAUGUGUAUCUGUUUAACUUUGAAUAGUAAAAAUACAUGAAAAUUUUAAGAGAAAUACCAAUUUGAUAUUUGAUCUAACUUAUAGAGGAUAAAUUGCUCAUUUUUAAUAAAGGAAAAAAAUGUAAUCCAAAUCUUAAUGUAGGGAUUUCUUUAAUACUUUUACCAAAUUUAAGCCAAGUGAUAUUUUGCUACUCCACCAAAAUGAUACUAGUUUUUCUAUGAAUAAUUUAAAUAAUUAAUUAUAAUGGUUUCUUGUUUAAUCAAGUUAAUGAAAAGAAGAUUAUCCAUGGUCUGAUAAGUUGAUUUUUCUACAAUGGAUAAAGAAAUGGUAAAAGUACCAUAGAGGUCCCCUAUAUCAAGAAUCAGAUUGCAUUUUGCCCCUUCUAGUAAAAAUGGGUAAAUUAGUCCUUGCACUUUAGAUCAAAGAGUAAAUUGGUCAUUCCUGUUAAAAAUUUAAUCCAUUUAUAUUGUUAAAACUAAUAUGGUUAACAGAAUAACUAGACAAUGACAUGUGGCGUGCCAUAUAUACCUUAUUCUGACAUAUAGGGACCAAAUUCUAACAAUGAAAAUAGAUAGAAUUUUUAAUAGAAUGAUCAAUUUUCUCUUUAAUCUAACAUAUAUGAACUAAUUUGCUCAUUUUUUUGAGUGAAAAUGACAAAAUCUCACUCCUAAUAGAGGAGCCUCCAUGACACUUUUACCUUAAAAGAUCAUAAAUACGAGUUUUAAAUCGGUCAAAAUAUUCAUCUAUUCUUAAUUAUAGUAUAAACAAAAAUUCUUAUUAUUUGUGAAAUUUCUAAACUUUUGUCACUAAGGACAAUCAAUCACAACUUGUAUGUUUUUUGUCAAUUUUACAUAAUUUGAUUAGUAUAAUAACAAAUUUAGCUCUAAUAAUUUACACAUUCUAUCAAUUUGCUCAUGAUUUGACAAAUUUAGCCAACAAUAUGUUUGUAAAUGUGUAAAUGUUGAGGCUAAAUUUGUUAAUUUUUUUUAGAAUCAAUACCAAAUUAAUAAAAUAUAUAAACAUCAAAGGCUAAAUUUGUUAUUAUACCAAUCAAAAUUAUGCACAACUAAAAAAAAACAUUAACAUCAUGAUGAAUUGUCCUUAGUUGCUUGCUUCUAAAAUUGACAGUGAUUAAAUUACUUCAAUUCUUUCUAAAAGGACUGAUUUGCUUAAUUUUGAAACGGAGAAGGACUAGGGAGAUCUUUUACCAAUUAUCUAUAUAAGAACUAUUACUAAUACAAUCUUAAGUCCCAUUAAUUUCGCCUUUUUAUUAAAAUAUUUUUUUAUUACAAAAUAAAAAUUAUCAACUCAAAUAAUUCAAAAUCUUUGAGUUAACAAUCUAACUCUGGACGGGGUUUGUCUGUCCUAAUUGUCUACGUAAAUUAAGAACCAGUGUGACGCCUAUCCUUAACUCUCUUUACUCAAAAGUCUUUGUAUGCUUGUACGAAUUCAAUCCCACAUCGAAUGUGGGUGGCAUAUUAUGAUCAGUGCCAGCGCCAUCUAUACUAAUCCCAUGGGAUGCUAUAAUUAGUCUAAAUAGUUUCCUUGUGGGGUAACUUUACAGAUGAGGAGGAGAAAGUAACACCUGGAAGCCUGCGACAUUUUUGAUAGAGAGGGUUUGCUUUCUUGCGAAGGGAUAGCCGUGAAGUCCGAACUACUUUUAGCGGCAGAAACUUGUUAAUAUUAUCAUUUUAAUAGCUAUAUAUAUAUAUAAUUUUUAAAAAAUUAAAUUAAAAUUUUAGAAAAUUUUAAAUAAUUUUUUUCCAGUCUAGAGGAUGCGGCUGCCACCCUUGUCUACGCUAGAGGUGCUCAUGGACCGGGCCGGGCCCAUAAAAAAUUGCUGCCCAGGCCCGACCCAGCUUGAAAUGUUGCCCAGGCCUAGCCCGAGAAAAAUCAUAAGCUCGGCUCGGCCCGGCCUAUUUUUUUAAUAAAAUACCAAAAGUUUAUUUUAAAAAUUAAAAAAUAUAUUUUAAAAUUAAAAAAAAUUUAAAAAAUAAAUAUAUUUAUUAUAUUGGGCCAGGCCGGGCCCUGGCCACCUCGUUUUUUUGCCCAAGCCCAUAUUUCGGGCCUAUAUUUUUACCCAAAACCUCUCAUAUUUCGGGCGAGCCGUCGGGCCGGGCCGGGCCGCCCGACCCAUGAGCACCUCUAGUCUACGCCCUGCUAAGAGUCUUUGCAUUAUGCGCUUUUUAAAUUCAUAAUUUUAUUCAUUUUUGGGUAUUUUUCGAAUUUUAUAAGUGUACUUUGGUCUUUGAAUUUGUCAUCUGAUUCUAUUUUAGUAUCUAAAUUUGAUAGGAUCAAGAGUUAAUGGUGUGACCAAUGUUAUUGAAAUAUAGAAUCGGAUUAAACAAUUUGAGAGUUGAUCUAUAUAACGGUUCCAACAAAUAGGUUGAAUUAAUUGACUCAAAAGUUGCUUGAAGUUGACAAAAGAAAAGGAACAAAAUCGAUAGUUGAACAUGUUGGAUCGAUGUAAUAUUCUUUUCCUUAAAUUUUUGUAGAUCUUUAUGAAUUUUUAACUAUUGUUAGUAUGACGAUCGAAUCAUCAAAUUGGUUGAAUCAGGAACCAAUGGAUUAACUUGUUCAACCAUUAAUCUGGUUAUUGAUUGUAAACUUAUAUAACUUUAUUAAUUUCAAGUGAUCAUGAGCCACAAUCUCAUAGUGCCACAUCAUCAAAAUUUUAUAUUUCUUAAGUUUAAAGACCAAAAUGGACUUAGUUGUUAAACUCAAGUGUCAAAGUGGAAAUAAAUACAGGUGCCAGAGUGAACCUAAUUGCCAAGUUCAACAGUCAAAUAUUAUAUUACCCCUUUCCAAUUUGGUCAUUCUUAGUUUUUAUAUUUUUCAAAAUUUGAAAUUUAAGUUUUGACGCUAAUGAUAGUCGUUAAAUUCAUUAACUUUUUUUUUGGUAGUGUGUGAAAAUAGUUGGCUAAGUGCAAGUAAUAAUAUGUUUGCUGCAUAAGAUUUUAAAAAUAAUAUAACUUGAUUAAUUUAAUAAUUAUCGUUUUGUCAUGAUUGGAAUUUUAAAAUUCAAAAGCAUAAGAAUUAUAAAUGAUCAAAUUAAAAACACAAGACCUAAAUUCACAGUUAAUGCAUAGUAUAAGGACUGAUGGCAACUUUUAUAUUAUAAGAUCAAGUAGUUUAAUCUUUCGAAUAAUUAUUUGAUACAUAGAUAGUCGAAAAAUAAAUAAAUCUAUAUAUUGAUAGGAUUAUUAUAAUUCUCAUAAUUGUAGGAUAUGAAAGUGUCAAGUGUUUUAUUUAUUUAUUUUUUAAAACUUUUAAAUUUACUAAAAAAAUGGCCAUCAUUGUAAGACUACUUAUGAAAUUUUUAAUUUUCAUUAACCAUGCAUCAAAUAAUUAUUGAUGUCGAUAAGGGAUAAGGGUAGGGUUAUUUAGAGAUGCAACUCGAAAUUGUUAUCAAUUAAAUUUUCAAUAUAAACAGAUAAAGAUAUGGAUUUUGGGAAAACGAUAAUACAAGUGGUUAAAUUAUAGUUUCAAACCCUUUACUUUGCUUAAAUAUGAGAUUUAUUUUUUGUAAAUUAAUUUGAUAUAAUUUAUUCUUUGCAAUUUUAUAAUGUAAUUAAUUAGUUCAAAUAGUUAAUAAUAUUUAUUUGAGGCUAUUAAUGAUAUUACAAAAACAAAUAGACUAAAUUAAAAUAUAUAAACUAUAUCUAAAUUUUGAAUAAAGGAGAAGAAUCAAAACCGAUAUAAUAUGAUGAAUACAUAAAUAAAAAUGUCAUAAAAAAAGUUCGAGUUAAUUACAUCAAAUAUCCUCAAACUUUGAUCAUCAUUUUAAAUUGACGUUUCAAACUUUAAAAAGUUUUAAUUACAUCCUCAAUUUAUUAAUUAUCAUAUCAAUCAGAUCUUUCAAUUAUUAAAACCGUUAAAUAAUAUGUCAAAUUUUAUGUGCCGUAAUUUAAAAUAAUUUUAUUAAAGAAAAGUAAAAUGAGAUUGUAUAACUUUUAGAAGUAAAAUUGAAAAAAAAAAAGAGCAAUAAAGUUUUUGUAAAAGUUUCGAAAACCUUAAAACUAUGAUUUUUAUGAAAUCUAUUUUUACAAUAUUUUUUGAAAGAUUAUACCAUACACCGCCCUGUAGGGUUUUUUGAACCUCACAAGCGAGUUUAAGACGUGACAAGUGUCUUAUAGGGUGUAGUAAAAAAUAAAAAAUAAAAAAUAUAAAUAUAAAUAAAUAUAAUACUUGUCAUACCCUUAGCCCACUUAUGGAGUCUAGAAAACUCCGUAGGUGAUGUAUCAAAUAAUUACUCUUCAUAUAUAUUUUUCUUGAACUUUUCGUUUUAAAUUAUAUCACCUACGAUUUGGCAUAUCAUUUAACAGCUAAACUAAUUAUUUUAGUAAAGAAAUAACCUUAUUAAUACAAUCUCGAUAAUUUAAGGAUGUAAUUAAAAUAUUUUAAAGUUUAAGGACUAAUUUAGAAUGAAGAUUAUAUAAUGCCUUUGGGCCAAAAACUUUGGAAAGACUAGAGGAAGUACAAAACAGAACUGUAAAUUGGGCUAAAACGAAGGGUUUGGUUAAUGGGUUUUCGGCUCUGCGUGGCUUUUAGUUAAGAAUGUUAGAAGCCCUAUUCAUCUUUAUUUAUUCAUGAUUAAAUGGGUAAAAUUGUUAAGUUCAAAUAUUAAAGCCGAUAAAAGAAAUAAAGUAUUAAAAUGUAAUUAGUUGCUAAAUUUAAGGCCAAAAAAUUACAUUAAUCUAAAAUUAAAUGAUAUUUAAAUUUGAGUAAAAAUUACACAAGAUUAUGAUUCACUCAAGAUGUGGGUGAAUAUUUUUUGUAACGAAAUUUAAAUAAUUUAAUUUACAAGAUUUUUUAAAUGAUUAUUUGAGUUAUUAAAAAUCAAAAUGUUUUGAGUUCAAAUUAGAGGUGUUCAUGGGUCGGGCCAGAUCUAAACAUGAUAUUAAUAUGCUUUAUGCUUGCCCAAGCCCAGCUUUGCUCAAAAUCUGAGACUAAAAUUUUACCCAAACUCGCCUAUAUUUGCAAAAGACUAACUCAUGCCAAUUUUAGGCCCGUUCAGAUUAUUUUUAAUUAUUUUUAUAUUAUAUUAUUUUAAUAUUUAAUUAUUUUAUACAAUUUUUAUUUAUUAAAAUUUUUUAUAUAGCCAUCUUAACAUUAUUUUAAUGUUUACAUUAAAGUAGUAUUAUAUAUUUAGUAUAUGUUUAUUUUUUAAAUGUGUCCUAAUUUACAUAAUAUAUAAAAAUAACAUAAUAUAAAGCAUUAUAAACUUAAACUAUCAAGCUUGAACUCGACCCAUACUUUAAAUGGGCCUAAUUUUUUUUACCCAAGCCCAUUUUUUGGAUCUAAUAAUUUUUCCAAACUCUCCUAAAAUUCGGAUGGACCUUUGGGCCUGGGCGAGUAGCCCGACCCAUGAACAAGUCUAGUUCAAAUGAUUUUAUACGAUAAAUAUUUUUUUAAUAAAUUCUCCAUUAAAUUGGAAUAAAAUUAAACGGUGACACUAACUCAAUAAAAAACAUUAAAUAUUAUUUUUAACUUAGUUGCACGUAUUCAUAAUACAAAAUUUUGAAGAAAAAACCCAUAAAAACCCGAAUUUAAAAUUUUAAAAUUGGCAUCUUUUUAUAUAAAAAUCAUGAAAUUUUUUAUUUUUAAUUAAAAUUUGAAAAUAUUUAUUUAAACUCAACAUGAAAUUCGUAAAGUAUGAUACAUGCAAUGUGCUCAAAAUUAGGCAUGUAGAUGUAGGAAGCAUCCUUUUGUAGUUAUGAGCAUCUUUUUCUAUGUUCAUAAAUCAAAAUUCUUCCACACAUUUUUCUCAUGGAAGUCUUCCAACUACACACCUUUUUAUUAUCAAUAGCUCGUAUCAAAAAAUAUCUGAUUUUUACAAAUAAAUUUAUGGCGUGAGAUAAUAAAUUAUCAGUUAAUCAUCGAAACCUCACAAUAAUAAAUAAUGACAAACAAAUGGUUAAAUCAAUAAAAAAGUUCAAGAAUACAAUUCUAUCAGGGCAAAGAAGUUGAAGAGUACAGUUAGGCAGGAUGACGGACUUGCUACAACAAGAAGCUUAAUGAGUGAUCAAAAUGAUAGAUAGAUCAUUGGGUUUGGCAGAUACUUGGGAAAUUGUACAAUGUUGGAGCCUGAGCUUUAGGGUAUUUUAGAUGGGUUAAAGCUUAUCCCAAAUAGAAGACUCGAAAGUGUCAUAAUUCAAAUAAAUAGUCUUGAGGGUACUAUUGCCAUUCAGGAGGGUGUCUUUAGAAUUUUGAACACAACUAUAAUAAGAAGAAUUCAUCAGACCCUGACAAAGGUAAAGCAGCGAAAGAUUCAACAUAUUCUCCGAGGAGAAAACACAAUUGCAAGUAAUUUGGUCAAGAUAAUUCGCGGCAGAAGACUAGGUUUAAGAUUGUUUGAAGAUACUCCUUCGAGGGUCUAACUUUUUAAGUCUAUAUUUUUUAAAUUUCACAAAAAAAAAGGCCUAUAUCUCAACCAACAAACAUGUUUAGAAGAGGUAUGAUCAAUAGAGCCACUUUUAUUUUGCUAAACUAUUCUCCUAAUCUAUCAUCACCUUCCUCUCUACCAACUUAUCGGGAUGAAGUCAGAAACUUUUGUUUAGAAGUCAAAAUAAAAUUCAAAGUUCUUGGGAAGCGCAAAGCAUGAAUAUUGUAUUAAAAAAAUCAAAUUGAAUUAUAAAAAUUUUAGAAGGACUAAAAGGGCAAUUAGCCCAUUGAAAAACUUCAACACCUGUAUAGCUCUUUUGCCUUCAUCAACCCAAACUACCUCUAAUAAUUAUAUUAUUAAAUUCCUAUUUAUAUUUUGUGUUUUUUGUUUGAAGUUAUACAUAAUUUAUGCUUGAUACAUAUGAAAAUACAAAUUUAAUAAUAUAAUUUUUUUUAUUGAAAGAAUCGAAAUAUAUACAAAUUGCAGGCUAUUAGCAGACCUCAAACUUGACCUAAUAUGCUAUAAUUGAACUUUGUCUGUUUUAAUUCAUUUUCACUUGUACUAGCAUUAAAUAUUCUUUUGAAACUCUAUUUUCUUUGGAAGCAUGAAAGAAUUUAUCCGAAAUUGGUUAAAUUAAAUUUUAUAACAUUUUUAUUAAUUUAUUUAAUUUGAAUUAGACGAAUAAAUAAUAAUAAUAUUGUUAAUUCAAUACUAAUUUAAUUCUAAAAACAAUAAAAAUAAUGUUUAUAAACCCAGAUUUCUUUUUUAAAAUAGACAAUCUGUCCAUAAAAUUCACUACUUGUAAUUGAAAAAUACCAUGUAUUAUGUUUACACAAUUUUUUUUUAAAUUAAAAAUUGAUAAUUUUUUUUAUUGAUUUCACAAUUAAAUCCUAGAGAUAGCUUAUAUUUUACACACAUUCUUGAUUAGUAUGCUUUUAAUCCUUGAAGCUAUCUUUAGUAAUUGGGCUUCACAAUUAUUUCUCAUGCACUCAGAUUUUGACAUUCCAUCAAAAGAACCAACUUUUUUUUCCCUUCUUCACCCCACUCUUUUAGUCAUGAUUUCUCAACAAUGAAAGGGACCAUAUAUCUUUUCUUCAUUUUUUUUUGGGAUUAAAAUCAUGAAAUUGUAAUAAAAUUUAUAGGUAAAAUGACCUCUUUGAUGCCUCUCGAUAUUGAUAUUAAGGAAAUUUAUCUUUUUCAAAAGAAAAGUAGAGCAAUUUAGUUAUUGUCAAUUUCGAGAGUGAGCAACUAAUGAUAAUUAAUCAUGUUUUUUUCGUCAAUUGUAUAAAAUUUUGAUUGGUGCAAUAGCAAAUUUAUCCAUCAAUGUUUAUAUAUUCCGUGUAAAGACUACGAGCUAAAUUUAUUAAAUAAAGACUAAAUUGACAGAAUGUGAAAACUAUAAUGACUAAAUUUAUUUUUAUACCAAUAAAAAUAUGUACAAUUGUUCCAAUUUUUUUUGUGAGAGACUAAUUUACUAAAUAUCAGAAUUAAGAGGGACCAAGAGGUUUUUUUACCAAAUGUAUUCAGUUCAUAGGGUAAUAGGAGAGAGAUAGAGAUAGAGAUAGAGAUAGAGAUAGAGAGAGAACAAUAUAGGUUAAUUAGGACGCAAGUAAAGAGUAAAAGAGAAGCCCCAUUUAUAAGCUGAGAGUGUCAGCUUUGGCGUACAUAACUGAGCUUAGAGAUGUUGACUGUGUUAAUACCAACGACCCCAAAAACUAAACCAAACUAAAUCUACUUUCUUUCACCAUUAUUAAUAAACCAAAAAUUUACACAAAACAACAACAAAGCUAAAAUAUUUGGGUUUGUGUUGAAUAGCAACCAGCUUGGCUUUUUUUGCCAAAAACUUCAAAAAAGAUAGUACUUUGAUAGGUACUAAAACCUGAUGAGUACAAAAAACUGGUGGGUUUAAUGUAAAUUUCCUUACUUUCUUGGGCUUUGGUACUUUUUUUUUGUUCAAAUUGACCAAAAUGCUCCUCUGCAUGGUUCCUGUGUGACUAAAUAAUUACUGUUCAAACGUUCUAUUACACUUAUUGCAAUGGUGGUGGCGUAAAAAAAUGAUCUUGGUAAGCUCUGUUUUUUUCAUUAAAGUCUUUAUGUUCUUAAAAUGGGAUUUCUUGUUUUGCUACAAUGGUGAAGGUGCUAUAUAUAUUUACAUAUAUUCUUUAUGGGAUUUGCAAAUUUGAUACAAGGGUCUUGGAUAUUGUUGGGGUUUACACGGAGAGUGGCUUUUGGGGGAUUGCUUUUCACUCUUCUUGGAUUCCAAGUUUAAUUAUAUGAUUUAUGAACAUUUUCCCAUUUUCUCAUUCAUGUGGUGGGGUUUUGGGAUUUUUUUUAAAUAUAUUAAAAAUCUGAUCUUUUGAAUCUUAACAACUUGUUAUUUUUAUAACUUAGAUCUCUGUGCGAUAUACUCUGAUGGAUUCCUCAGAUUGAUAUUGUUAUUUGGUAGUUGAUGUUUUGAUUCUUCAUGUUUGUUUAUUUUGAUCUCUUUUUUUUUUCAUUUAUUCCCAUACUUUAAAAAAUAAUAAAAAUAGAUGCUUGUUGUCUACCGUUUUGGUGGUUUCUUCAUCUGAUACCAAGAUGCUGCUUUUAAAACUAUAUAUUGAUUAGUAUAUGCCAUGUUUGGAGCUUGAAACUCUGGUUUUUGGGAAUUAUUUAGUACAAAAGGGUCUGUCAUCUAUGUUCCCCUGAGUUGACUGAGUUAGCCCGGACUCAGUGGACUUUGCCAUCAACAAAGGAAACAAAUGUUUCCAUGGCUCUCUUUCAACUUUUUUCAUAAUUUAUUACUCAAAAAUCCCGUCUUGCCAUUGAAAAAGCUGGUUGAAUUUAGAAGCUGGGUCCCCAUUCCCCACACUUGGUGUUAUAUUCUUUACCACUUUUGGCAAUGUUUUUAUUGGGUUAUGUGAGUUGCUGUGAUAGUUUGGUGAUUGGUUUUGAGUAAGAUUUCACAGGGAAGGAAAGGGAUCCUGUUUACUUUGACAAUAUGAAGUUUAUGAAGCUUGGAUCAAAACCGGAUACCUUUCGAAGUGAUGGGAAUAACGUGAGGUGAGAUCUCUUGGUACCCUUUAUUUGAAAUCUAACGUAUUGUCACCCUAUAUGUUGUUUGAUGUAUUCAAUCUUCCAUAAGAUCAUUGCUUUCUUGUUCAUUUCGACUUGCAUAGUCCUAUUAGGAAUCCUUUUGGAAUGAUGUCAAAUAUCGGUCUUUGGCUUAUGUUUUGAUGUGAUUUGCAGCUUUUUGUAGUCUAUUCAUUUGUUAUUUUUCCUCACAACAAUGACUACUUUGCUGCUGCUUAGGAUUUUCCGAGAAAAAAUCGACAGCCCUUUUUUGAGUAUCUUCUGAUCCAAGUGACGGAUCAUCUAAAUCUGACUAAACCUUAUGUGGUUUUCACUUUUUAUCUUUCUUCUAUGGUUCCUCAUGUAUGCAUUAUGCUUUCUGCAACUUUGAUUGUGCAUAGCCUAUGCAUCGUUUAUUAGUUAAAUAAAUCCGGUAAUCGUCAAGUUAUAGUCUAUGGUUAACUUUUUUAAUCUAGCCUUUGUCCAACCCGUGUGAGUGUUGAAAAAUUCUGAUGGUUUUACGCUUACGUGCUCCUCUUCAGGUAUGUAGCAAGUGAGCUAGCAACUGACAUUGCAGUCACUGUUGGGGAUGUUAAGUUUUAUCUGCACAAGGUAUGCAUUCAUUUCAUAUUUGGUUUAGAUCAGUUCAAUUGAGCAAGCUUGACUCCGUUCUGCUUGUUUAUAGUCUUAAAAGUUCAUUUGGGAUUUUGGGAUUAAUGGAAGAACAUAUAUGCAGUUUCCCCUUCUAUCAAAAAGUGCCUGCUUACAGAAGCUGGUUGCAAGUGGUAACGAACAAAAUUGCGAUGAAGUUCAGAUUUCUGACAUUCCUGGUGGCUCGGUUGUGUUUGAGAUAUGUGCCAAAUUUUGUUAUGGCAUGACCGUCAACCUUAAUGCUUACAAUGUCUUUGCCACUCGAUGUGCAGCUGAGUAUUUAGGAAUGUAUGAGACCAUUGAAAAAGGGAACUUAAUUUAUAAGAUCGAUAUCUUUCUCAACUCCAGCAUUGUCCACAGCUGGAAGGAUUCGAUCAUUGUUCUUCAGACUACAAAAUCUUUGUCACCGUUAUCCGAUGAAUUGAAGGUGGCCGGUCUAUGCGUCGAUGCUAUAGCUACCAAUGCUUGUAUUGAUGUUUCCAAGGUUGAUUGGUCCUACACUUAUAACCGGAAGAAGCUCCCAGAGGAAAACGGGAAUGAUCCGAACUUUAAUGGUGUCAAAAGUCGACCAGUGCCAAAGGACUGGUGGGUUGAGGAUCUGUGUGAACUUGAAAUCGAUCUAUAUAAGCGUGUUAUAAUGAGUAUUAAAACCAAAGGAAUACAAUCCCAUGAAGUGAUCGGAGAUGCUUUGAAAGCUUAUUCUUAUCGAAGGUUGCCGGGUUUCAGUAAGGGUGUAAUCCAUUCUCGUGAUGUUGGAAAGUAUCGAUCAACGGUUGACACUAUCGUCUGGUUGUUGCCUGCAGAGAAAGGAAGUGUAUCUUGCAGUUUCUUGUUUAAGUUGUUGAAAGCGGCUAUCAUAGUUGACUCAGGAGAAAUGGCUCGGGAACAGCUGGUGAGACAAAUAGGACAACAACUUGAGGAGGCUUCCCUGAAUGAUCUUUUGAUAAGAGCAGCAGAAAGGGAAGACGUAAUGUAUGAUGUCAAUAUGGUAAAGAAAAUAGUGAACAAGUUUCUGAUGCAAGAUCGGAAUGCUGAAUAUGAAUCGGAAGAAAACGAGGUUCAGGAAAUACAAAGAUCCGGAAUCUUAACAGAUGCUUCCAAGCUGAUUGUGGCAAAGUUGAUAGAUGCAUACCUUGCUGAAAUCGCAACGGAUCCGAACUUACCCUUGUCAAAGUUUGUAGACCUUGCUGAAACAGUGUCUUGCAUCUCUCGGCCUACUCAUAACGGGCUUUACCGAGCCAUUGACAUGUAUCUUAAGGUGAGAAUCUUGCCAAAACCUGUAUUUUUCCAUGCAUAGCAAAUCCGCAUUUACAUGAAUUGUGCUGUUUCGAUGCAGGAGCACCCAUGGAUAAGCAAGAGCGAGCGGAAAAGGAUAUGCAAGUUAAUGGACUGCAAGAAACUAUCAGCCGAUGCAUGUAUGCAUGCUGUUCAAAAUGAGAGGCUCCCAUUGCGUGUGGUCAUUCAGGUUCUCUUUGUCAAGCAACUCCGGGGGGCUGCUGCCACUUCAUCCGGAACUAGCACUCCUGACUUACCCAAAUCCCUGAAAAACCCAAAUGGCGGAUCUCACGGGAGCUCAAGAUCAGCACCAACUAAUCCGGAGGAAGAUUGGGAUUCAGUGUCUGCAACCGAGGAGCUGAAGGCUCUGAAACCCGAACUGGCUGCCUUAAGGUUGAGAAACCGCGGAGAUAAUAGAAACAACGUUGACAACGCGGCCGCCAUUAGUAAAAUGAAAGGUUUAAUGAAGUCAAAGAGGAUAUUUACAAAGAUAUGGUCAAGCAAAGCAGCCAUAGGUGAGAACAGUGGUUCAGAUUCAUCAGAGAGUCUUGGUUUUGCAAAUCCUGAAGAAGCUAAAUCAACACCAUCUAGAAAUAGGAGGCAUUCAGUUUCUUAGUAGAAAAUGUGGGAAAAUACAUUAACUUUUUGGUGGGGUUUUUUAAUGUUUUUACCUCUCCUAAUGACAAUGGUAAAUUCAAGACUAGUUUUAUGUUAACUCAGUAAAAUGAAGCAGACUAUAUACAUAUAAUAUUUUAUAUAUAUAUAGGUUUGUUUGUCUGGCCAUCGAUGAAUGCAAGAUGCCACUGCCAUGUACAUCAUGCAACACUUUUAGUAUCUGUUUCAUUUUUUUCAGUCACUCUUGAGUCCAAGAUGGGCUGAAAAUGAUCAAGUGCAUGUAAGUAGAAUAUAGUUACUAUAGAUAUCCUCAUACCUCCAAACGAAUUUACUUAGACUCUAUAUUAGGGGUGUUUCGAGGUCUUAAGUUGCAUAAGGUGAGUUUGAAUGGGCGGUGUACUUAUCUGCAAUAAGUGUAAAAACAACAGUGGCAGUGUGAUUAGAUACGGUAGGGUGAGACGCAUUGUACCACACCUCACUGCUCAUCCAAACCCACCUUAAAUUGGAUUGAACUCGUCAAUCAAAUCGAAAAUUAAUUUAUAUAUCGGUCCAAACAAAACAACAAAGGAGUUAAAAUAGUUUCAGAACGAAUUGCUGUUGGAACUGCAUUUUUUAAAUGUUUUUAACCUAAAUUAAUGGUCCAAAUUGAAAAAAAACACAAUUGGCCCAACCCAAAUACUUAAACCAGCUGGCCCAACUACUUAAAUACCUUAAAAAGUAUUUAAUAAAUGAGAAAAAUAAGGGAAUUUUUUUUUGAAUCGAUUAAAUUAUUGGCUUGUCUUAUUUAAUUGAAUAAAUUAUUAAAAUAAAUUUAAAAUUAAAAAAAUAAAAUUUAUUUAACAAAUAGUUCAACCUAUUUUAUUGGUCGGACAUUCUCAAUCCAAUAGGCUAUUCUUAUUCUAAAAACAGUGGAAAAGAAAAUAAAAACUAACCUAAAUAUAUAGGCCCGAUUAUGGAUCGGGCUUGAAAACUCGCUUAAAAAGUGAGAGGAUUUGGGUAAAAAUAUAGGCCCAAAAAAUGAUCUUGGGCAGAAAAAGAGGUUUGUUUUCUAAAAGGGCCAGACCUCAAGUAAGCUUUUUUGCCCGAAUUUGCAAAAAAAAUCUGCUGCUUUUUUCUGUUAUUUUCACUAUUUUUGUUACUGUUUUGGUGUCGUUUCACUAUUAUGUUGCUACUAUUUUAUUAUUAUUAUUUGGAUAUUGUAUAACUCUUAUUUUAUUAUUAAUUUUACUACUAUUUUAGAAGUAUUUGCUCUCUAAGAUGUACCUAUUUUAGUGUUAUUUAAGUAUAAAUAAAUUUUUAAUUUAUUUUCAAUUUUAGUGUAUUUGAUGUAUUAUAUUUUAUAAAUUUAUUUUUAUAUAAAAAUAAUAAUAUAAAAAAUUUUAAUACGGAGAGCUGAACUUAGCUUGGAUUUUAACAUUUUUAUUUGGGCCGAACUUAGACAAAAUUUUAAGCCCAUUUUUAAACCGAGCCUACAAUUCUAUUGAGGCCCUACCCGACCCAUUAUCACCAUUACCUAAAUAUAUUUGUAUCAUUAUUGUUUUAUAUAUAUAUAUAUUUGUAUUUCUAAUUUUUUUUAAAUAUUCUUUCUCAAGAAUUAGUUAUCUUCCUCCGAUUAUAACAGCAGAACAAAGAAUCAAAAGUUGGAUCUCAUACAAGCAUACAUAUAUAUAUUGUUCAAAACCCUGUUUUCCACAUAUAUUAUCCAGUUAAAAAAGAACCUUAUAUGAUUAACUGUGAAGCGGCAACAAGUUUAGCCAAACCCUAUCCAAUUAAACCCCAAAAAAACAAAAAAGAAGAAGAAGCCAUAGCUGUUACCAUACAAGUUUCUGACCGGCUUUGUACUGUUUCAUGUACCGUUUAUCUCGAAGGUGUUUUUAGAUUUUGUUAAAGCUGACCUAUCUGAUCUGUAUAUAUAAAAACUCCAUUAGCAUAAAGACACAAACAAAACCAGUAAAAUUUUGUUCACUGCUGCGUUUAUUACAAUGGAAUGAAGAAACAUUCUUGCAUUGACCAACCAUGUUUUGUGUUUUUGCAAUGGAGGAUAAAAAUCUUAUAUUAAAUUGGGUUAAUUUCAUCAAACGUCCCUAAACUAUUAUUUAGAUUCUAAAUUGAUCCUAAACUUCAAAAUUUUCUAAUUGGAUAUUCAAUGUAUCAAUAUUGUUUCAAUCUUAGGUUGAUUGAGCAGUAAAAGUAUCAUGGAAGCCUCUAUAUUAGGAGUCGAAUGUCAUUUUACCACCCCAAAACUUAAAAAAUGGGUAAAUUAGUUCUUAUACAUUAGAUCAAAAAGUAAAUUGGUCAUUCUGUUAAAAAUUAUAUUCAUUUAUAUUGUUAAAAAUUGGUCCACAUACAUCGGCAUAAGGUACACAUGGCAUGUCACAUGUCAUUGUCUAGUUAUUCUGUCAACCACACCAGUUUUUAACAAUACAAAUGAAUAAAGUUUUUAAUAUAAAUGACCAAUUUGUUAUUUAAUCUAAUGUAUAGGGAAUAGUUUGCCCAUUUUCUGAGUAGAUGGGGCAAAAUGCAAUUUGAUUCCUAGUAUAAAGGCCUCAAUGGUACAUUUACCUUAAUUGAGCUUUAGCUCAGUUGACAUCAUUGCUAUUACAAUAACAAGGAAGACAUGAAUUCAAGUGGGCUUAAGCGUGUUUUUCCUGCAAUUUAAAAGUUUAUACUUUAUAGGUAGAACUAAGCAUUGUAUAAAAAAGAAUAUUGUAUCAAUCUAGUACUUUUGUCAGCCUACCUGUCAAUUUAGGCACUAAUGUUAGUUGAUUAGGAGGGUUUACAAAUAAAAGUAGCCAUCCAAUAAAAAAAUAUAUUGUAACAAUCUAGUACUUUUGUUAGCCUAGUUGUCGAUUUAGACACUAAUGUUUAUUCGAAUUUGACAUAUAAUAUUAUUUAAAAUAUAUGAAUCAAAUUGAAUCUGGCACAUUAAAAAGAAAAAGAAUGGUGUCAAUAAAAUUUAGAAAUGUUAUUUUUUUUAACAGAUAAGAUCCAAUUUCUCCAUGCAACAAGUACACAUAUUUUACAAAUUGGCUCGCGUGUUUUAAUGAUGUUAUUGAAAUUGUCCAUAUAAUAAAUACACAUAUUUUAUAAUUUGAUUAACGUAUUUUAAACAUUCUUUACAUUAAUUUUGAACUGAGAAAAUGUCAUAAUUGAGGCAAUAUUGAUAUUUUUUAACUCAAUUAAAACAUUUUAAAAUUUGGAAAAAUGAUUAAGAAUAUGAGCUUAUGACUUGAGGAUGUCUAAUAUAAUUAACCCUAUAAAAUUUAUAAAAUCACAAAUAAGUCAAUGUUGUUUAAAUUCAAAUGGACCGUGAACUGGUGAGGAUAUCAGUUGAAAGAGAGGAAUUAGACCAAUUGAAUCAUUUGUUUUUUUUUUAAUAAUUUAUUUAAUUAAACUAGACAAAUUAAAAAUCGAUGAUUUGACUGGUUCAAUUAUCGAUCUAGUUUUGAAAACUUUAAAAUAAAUUGGAUUCGAAUACCUGAAUUUAAAAUACCAUUAAGAAAAAGGCAAAAAUCAAAGGAAAAUCUGAAUAAAUUCUGAUUCAUGGGAGAGGAUAGAGCUAAAAAAAAGAAAAAUCUGACCCUAUGAUUCUUUUUUCUUUUUUGCCCAAACCCACUUCCCAAACCUCAUUUGUCCUUCGAUUCCAUGGAAGGGACACUUUGAGAAUAAAAAGGGGAAAUUGUUUUUGUAUGCUGUGAAGGAAAGCACCAAAGCUCGAAAACGUCACACAUUUCACCCAAUCUUAGGCUCUUUUCUUUGUGGUUUCAAAUAACGCCAAGCCUUGCCUGACCCUGACCACAUUCAUUUCUUUUUUUUUUGUUGGGGGGAGGGGGGGGGGGGGAGAGGGUCAUGCAGGGACGAAAGCAAUGAAAAGUUAAAGCCAAUGGUGAUGGAUUAGAAUCCCAUUCCCCACCCAACAAAAACAAUUAAUAAAUAAAUAACUUUGAUCAAUUUUGAUUGUAAUAUAUUUGGAUUGAGUCCUAGCUUAAUUGGUAUGGAUAUUGUUGUCAAUGUAAGAGGAUAUGAGUUCGAGUGUGUUGAAAUGCAUUAUCUUCCUAUUUAUAGGUAGGGGUGUGCAAAUUUUGGAUAAAACCGAAUUAAUUCGGUCAGGGUCGGUUAAUAAUUUUUUGAAAGUUCGGUUCGGUUAAUUUUUUUUUUAAAUUUCGAUUUGGUUAACAGUUUAAAAGGGUCGGUUAAUUUAGUUAAUGAUAGUUCGGGUCGAUUAAUCGGUCGGUUAACCGAUUGAACACCCCUAUUUAUAGGUUGGAGUGAGGCUAUGGAUAGCUUUAGGUUUUGUGUAAAAAAGAGCACAUAUAUGAUUUGUUGGUAUGAGAUUACCUAUAGUGGUUAAAAUAUGUUCCAAAUUUUUGUAUUUUUCAUAUAUUUAAAAUUUAAAUCUAAUUAUUUACGUUGGUAAAGUUCUUCUAUUAAAUUUGUUGGUAUGACAUUCUAAAAUUAAAAGAAAAAUUACUUAGUAGUCAUACAAAAAAAAUGAAGAAAUAUUAACAUUACAAUUAGGGGUUUAAAUGACACAGUUGUACUUAUAAGCUAUUAAAGUUCGACUAUAAAAAAACUUGAAUUUGAUUUGGUAAUUAUUGGGUUCAAUUGAGUUUAAUUAUGAAAGUUCGAGCGACUUGCAAGUCUAAUUGAAUUUUCUUUUGUUUUUAGUAUAUUUUUAUAUCAUGAAAAUUCAGUUUUACCUUUAUUACUAGAAAGAGCUUAAUUGUGAAUAAGCUUGAGCUUAAAUAUGAAUAAACUUAAUCGAGUUCAAGUAACUCAAUUUUGUCUCAAGCCGAGCGCAGAAAUUGAUGCUCAAGCUCAAGCUCAAGCUUAUCACUGUUUGAGCUUGACUUGAUUCGAUUACACCCUUAGCUGUAAUAAGACUGAAUUUAGCAAAAGAAAUUUAACUGGGUUAACAAUAAGACUUACAUUUUUUAACUUGAAAGUAGAAGGAUUGAAUUCUUUAAAAUAAAAAAUAAGAAAACUAAUAUAUAAAAAUACAAGAGCUUAAAACAUAUUUUAACCAUUAUAUGUAUAUAUUUAUGUUUGAAUGUAAUGUUUGUGGACCAAACUGAAGAAUCGGAUAAAGACGGUGGAUGAGUGGGGAGGUGCGUGUGGGGGGUGACUAAAACUUCAAUGUGUGUGUCGGCUUAUAAAUCUAUAAACAUCGUCAUCCUCGUCCCCCUCUCAACAUCACCACCCCACCUUAUUUAUUUUCUUCCUAGUUUCCGCACUUCGUAAGUACAGUCACUUUGAUUCUAUGUUCUCCUUAUUAACCCCUUUCUCGUUAUUAAUCUUAUCCCAAUCCAACUUAUGAUUCUUUUUAAGGCUAAUUAUAUCAAAUGUCCUUAAAGUGUGGUUUCGAUUUUAAAUUGAUCACUGAACUUUAAAAUUCAAAGUAUUGAUAUUGUAUCAAUUAGACCCUCCCUCUCAUUGGACGUUAAAAUAUUAGCUCUAUUGAUACAGUGUAUCAACAGAGAUCAAGAUGGAGAGGGAAAUGGUGUUCUGGUAGGAAAAUAGAGUCGGACCCCCCUAAUAGAAUGUGUUUGAAAUUACCUAAAUCAUGAGUACAGGAUCCCGAAUCGAGUUAUUAUAUAUUUUAUUUUAUUAUAAUAGUUAUAACUCUUACUUUAUAAUCAUCUUUAUAUUUCAAACUUAUCACCAAAUUUAAAUCAAGUAUUUAAAGGUGAAAGCCAGCUGGAUUGAUGGAUUAACCCCUUUUUUCCCAAAAUAGGCUAACCCCAUUUUAUUUAAAAACAAUUAGGGUUCAACCAAAUGAAACUUCCAAAUCAAACAUUAGAUGAAACUAAUUCUUUUAUCUUUCUAAAGCUAAAAUCCAACAGAAAGAUGUAUGAAUAAUUCCGAAUAAAAAACAAAGGGUAAAUUACACCCAAAAGUACUAAAUUGUUAGUAAAUUUACGUUUUGGUCACUUAAUUUUAAAAAGUUACAAAAUAUCAUUGAACAGUUCAAAAGUUUUCAUUUAAGUCACCAAACUAUAAAAAUUAUUGUUAUAUGACAUUUGUUUGCACCAAUCAAAAGCUCUCCUUCUUUCCCUUCUUUUAUACAACUCAAUAUUUUUUACAUGAAACAAUUUGAACAUUAAGAUUUAGGGUUUAGGGACAAAAGGCGGGAGGAUGGCAAGGGCGUUGGCCUCUCUAAAUGAGAAAUUGCUUCUUUAGACCCCCAAAGAAGUAUAAAAUCUUAAUAUAUGACAAAAUUAUAGUUUCUCCCCAAAAUGCUAAAAUUUCAAUUUAGAUAUUUUGAAAACCAUUAAAAUAUAAGCUAAUACAAUGGUGAAAUUGUAUUUUAGUUCUCAUGUAAAUAUAUAAAUUAAUCUUGGGCUGUUAAAAAAAUUUCUAACCUUGCUCUUGUUGAACGUCAUGAAUUUACAAACUAAAAUCCAAAUAGUUUUAUCCUCCGAUCUCCAACAUUGAUCGUCAGAUUGACUUGAAAUUAAUGUAUGUUAUUUUACUUAUUAAUGAGUAUUAAUCCACUAUAUUAAUCAUCGAAUUGUCGUUCUGAGCUCGUUAACCAAAUUGAAUAAUAAUUAAAUCAACUUGGAUGUAAUUUAUUCUAAAAAUCAUUUGUCAGAAACUUCCAGAUCAAACAUUAGAUGAAACUAAAUCAUUUAUCAUUCUAAAGCUAAAAAUCCAAUAAAAAAUUUAUGAAUAAUGCCAAGUAAAUAUACAAGGAAAGAAUCUAACGGUCAUAGAUAUCCACGAAACAGAAUCCAACGGCUCUGCCAACUUGCCUAGGACCUCUCCAAUCUUCUCCUUCCGCGGAGACCCGGAGCCGCCUCUCUCUCUCACCCAAUUUCUUUGGAACCCCCAAAAACCCCACACCUCAAAUUUCCCCCAGUUUAACCAUAGUUAACUAUCCAAAUAAUAAAAAAGUAAACCAUGGUUAACCACCAACACUCUAUAUAUUCCUCUGGUUAGCUUCUCUUUUUAUUAUUGGCUUCAAUUAUUCUUUUCCUACCAGUCUUUUCAAACACCAUAAUAAACCUUCCUCAUUUCUUGUUCUUAUGCUAAGAGUACAAGGUUUAUCAAAAUGAGCUGCAAUGGCUGUAGAAUUCUUCGAAAAGGUUGCAGUGAAAAUUGUAUGCUUAGACAAAGCUUACAAUGUAUAGAGAACCCACAAGCUCAAGCACACGCCACCGUUUUUGUUGCUAAGUUCUUUGGCCGUGCCGGACUUAUGUCAUUUCUCUCCUCCGUCGCCAGUCCUCAAAGACCUGGUAAUUUUUUAAUGGCUUUUGUUGGAUUUUUGUUUUGGUUUUUGAUUUUUUUUUACUGAUGUGUGUGCAUACAUAUAUAUAUUUGCAGCUUUGUUUCAGUCGCUUUUGUUUGAAGCAGUGGGACGGGCAAUUAAUCCGGUGAGUGGAGCCGUGGGGUUGUUAUGGACAGGGAACUGGAACGUCUGUCAGUCGGCGGUACAAACGGUGCUCCAAGGCGGCACGUUGCAGCCGUUGCCUGAAUUUAGUGGUGGGGUUUCAGGAUCGGAUUUUGAGGAUGUUGGAGAAACGGUCGGUGUUGGUGGCGGCGGCGGCGCUGGGGGGCCGUGUAUCCAGUCGGGAGGUUUCGUUGACGUUGUUGAAUGUAAAGCAUCUGAUCUCAAUCUCUGCCUGAUGAUCGGCGACGAUGAUAGAGCGGUUAAAAGGAGAAGGGAAUCUACAUCGUCGGAAGAGUCCGAAACGACGACGUUGGGAAGCCGGUUUUCUGGAGAUGGUAAUAGUUCAAAUGACAGCUGCGGCGCCGACGGUGAAAGAAAGCUUUUAAGACUGUUCAUUUGAGAGUUUUUUUUUUCUUCUUCACAUUUUGUCUAUGUAAUUUUGAUUAUAAUUGAACGCCUGUAUGAGCUAUGAUCUUUUGUUUCUAUUUUCGGCUAUGAAGGAUGAAGUUCGAUCAAAUUUUAUAAAAUUUCGAAUUUCCCAUAAUUUUCGUAUUAUAAUUUUUGUUUUGCUCCUUCAUUGAUUUCCCAAAAAAUGAAAGAUGUGAGUGAGAAACGUUUAUGCCUUUUAUGGUUCAUGAGUUGCAAGUGAGUGGGCACUACUUCCUAUCGUGAAAUAUGAACAGGAGAAAUUGUAAAACUUGGGGCAAUCUUAAGGGGUGGCUUGGAACGUGAGAUUGCCCUUUGGCUACCCUAAAGAGUCAUUUUUAUUCUACUAUUUUGAAUGGCUUUAAAAGAAUAACUUUUUUCUAUCUAGUAUGAGACUCUUCGAUAUCCUAUACUUUUUGACACGAAAAUUCUUUGAAAUUUUAUAUUUAUUAAAUUCAUAUCGAAUCAAUCCAAGUAGAAAAACAUUAAACUCCUUGUUACAUUGAUUCAACAAUACUAUCAAACUUAUUUUGAUUGUAUUAAGAAUGUCUCGUACAAAACAAGGUCAAACAUUAUAGGUUCUGAUAAUAUAUAUUCUUUUUCUUCCCAAACCAAUAAAUAGGAGGAUAAUGCACUUCAGCCACUCGAACUCACGUUCUCCUACAUUGGUAAUAAUAUCCUUACUAAUCGAACUAAGACUCAACUCACACACAUAAUAACACUUAAAAUAAAAUAAAAUAUAGACUCAUAACUCAAUCAUAAUUAAAACAUGAAGAUAUUAAAAUAUGAAGGUGAACCACUUAAAAUUAACACCAUUAAACAUAAUCAUUUUGGUCUCUUUGUGAAACCACCCUUUGUUGGUUUGGGAUUUGGGGUCCAUUAUACCCAAUAUAUAUAAUAUUGGUGCUGUUAUUUUUCCCCGCAUCAUCACAGUCCACAAAUCAAAAUAAUGGAACCACCUUCCCCAUUUCUCUAUAUCCAUAUUCCAUGGCCGUCCUUUUCUUUCUUUUUUUGUUUGUCUGGAUUAUAAUGCCAAUAGGGUCCCCUUCCUAAUUUAUUUUUCAAUAACUGGAGACAAGGAUAACACGAGUUUCCCAAACUUCAUAGCCUCUCAACAAAUCUUAAAAAUUUCAUGCAAAAUAAUAUAUAUAUAUAUAUAUAGAUAAAUAUAAAAGGACCAUUGAUUUGCUUGGAUGGAGACACCCCUAUGCUGGUGUUGGAGUCUCUUAAAUCUCCACUUGCUUCCAUGUAAGAAAUUGACUUGUGUUGAGCAUCAAAUAUCUUGAAAUUCGGAUCCUGUCUGUAUUUAUAUUCUUUGGACUUUUAAGUAGGGGUUUAAUGAGAAUUUCUAAAAAUUUUGAGGGGUAAGUUAAAAUUUUUAAAGAUUUUGAAGGGGUUAAUGAAAAAAUGUUAAUUUUUUUCUCGUGUUUGAAGAAACAAGAAAUUGUUGCACAAUCCACAGUUACUGUUGCUGCAAAUAUUUGAUAGAUUUGCAUGGAAUAAGAGGAAAGCUGGACAAUCAAGUUGCAAUAUCAAUAGCUAAUAAUCCAAUAUUCCAUGGUAGAACUAAUCACUUCAAAAUAAAAUUUUACUUUCUUCGUGAUGUUCAAAGGGAAGAAGUGUAACUAGUUACAAAAAAUGAAUAUGCUGGUAUUUUCGGACAAGCAUUGCCUAAAGCCAAAUUCGAGUUCUUAAGACAAAAGCUUGGAGUUAAUUUGCAGCUCCAACAUCAAGAAAGAGUGUUAACUUUUAUGAUUUUUGAAGUUGCAUUAGUUAUAAUUUAUCUUUGUCUUUAAGCAAAUAUCAGCCCUUAUUUUUAGGCAAAUAAAAUAGUCAAAAGUCAAUUUAGAUUAUGAUUUGUAGACUUUUCUAAAUUUUAAUUUAAAAUUUUUACUGUAUAAAUAGAUAGUUUGGCAAUUCAAUAAAUAGUAUGAUUUCUACAAAUCCUUUAAAAACUUUCGAAUUCAAAAUGUUUAAAAAAUCCGAAAGCUCUAACUAAAUUUUUAAAACUUUUGGAAGCUUUAAUUAGAAAUUUUAAAAGUUUUGAAGGACCUAAUUAAAAUAUUUAAAAAAUUUGGAAGGCAUAAUGAUGUUGAAUAUGAAUAAGUAUUGUGAAUUGAAUUUUAAAUAUUUAAAUACCACAUAUUAAAUUCAACAAAAUUUCAUUAGCAAUAUUAUUAUUCACUACACCUUAAUUUUCAAAUCAAACUAGUAAAAAGAAAUUAAUUUCAAUUAAUUCCAAAUGUAUAAAAAGUACAGGGAUUAGAUACAUAAUUAAACCUAAUUAUAAAGUUUAAAAUAUGUUGAUGAUCUUCAUAAAAACUUAAAAGCAAGUUUAAGAAUCUUCUUCUCUUAUAUGUUUAUCCACAUAAACAAGUUUUUGCUGCUUUUCUUGCAUAAUUGAACAAAGAAUCAGUAUGUUUGAUUUGUUGGACAAAUUAAAAGAGAAAACCGGGCUUUUAAAUUGUAGCACAUGAUGCAAUAAAGAAACAUGUUCAAAAGGCAAAAGAUAGUAACGGAGGUGGAGGAGGUCAAAAAGAAAACAGAGCAGCCGGUAAAGGCGGCGGCAAUGGCAGGGAAACGCAGCCCGUGUUAGUGGUGGGGGCUUGGGGUUUUAAGUUCCCUAUGCGCCGUAACUUAAACGUGAGUUGUCGCUGACUGGCUACUUUGGUUGUGUAGUCAAGAUACAUUUUAAGUUGUCGCUGUCUUGUCUCCUAUUUUUCUUGCUGUUAGGUGUUCUUCUAGAAAACAAAAUAUUAUUUCUUAAGUGAGUUGCAGACUAGAAGGUUUAGGGUAAAUUAAGAGCUUUUAAAAAAUAUAUAAGUUGGUCAAUAGCUCUGCUUCAACUGGCUUACAUGUUAGAGCGACGAUUGGACAGAUUAUCAAUCACUUUAGAUGAAACGUAAUAGUUGGUGUAGUAAAUGACGAUUGUCGUGUGAGUCCCGCAUGACUUGACAUGAAGAAGUUAUUUUUCGAGAAUUUCUCCGAAAAGUUAUUACAAGAGUUGCUUGUGCUCCGCAUAUGCGAGGAGUUAUUUUAAUAGGCUCGCUCCGAGGGGUGAUUCCGAAGAACGAAAAUCUAACAGGCUUGUCUGAGAAGUAGGGGUAUAACAAUAUGCUAAGUUACUACUAUAAUAUAAUUCAUCAUUCCAAGUAAUAAUUUCAUUAGACAUUGUUGACCAAUACUUCCAAAAUUUGGAAAAGAUUGUGAGUGCGAAAAACUUGAAUCAUUAUAUUUAACAGAUAAAUUAAUAUGACACAAGAAUCAUGUCGUGUAGGAUAGGUUGAUGUUUUUGGUGGACAACAACAUAAUUCUUGUCAAGUAUCUAUAUCAUAUGUAUUGAGAGUUUGACUAAUAUCACUCAUUAAUCGAGUCUUAAUUCAGUUGUGAAUUUACUGUAUUUUUUUUAUAAAGGGUAAAUAUUAUUUUGAGAGUAAUUUCUUUUAUCUUUUUAUGUUUUUAAAACAAAAUUUAUAAAAUACACUCAAAACAUUAUGAAAUUUUUUCUCUAAAUUUUACUAUCUCUACUAAAGAUAUUUAGUAUUUAUAUCAACUUUUUUAUAAAUUUAUUAGAUAACAAUGGUUUUAGCCCAUAUCUUAGGUCAAGUGAAAUUACCAAAAAAUUACUUUUUUACAUGGCAAUAAAUAUUACUUUAAAGACAUUUUUAUAUUUUUAGAUAAAAUUUUUAAAAAUACAUAUAUAUAUAUAAAACAAUAUUAAAAUAAAAAACACCAUGACAUUCACUCCUUUUAACUUCAUCAUUUCAACAAAUUUCAUAUUUAAUUUUUAUAUUAACUUUUGAAAAUUUUAUUACAUAAUUGGUUAUGAAUUUGUUCGAAUCAUAGUUUGGUAAUAGUAUCAUUUUUUACACAUAUUUUAUUAUAUAGGUUAGCAAUAAACUAAUUUAAUUAGUAAUAUUUAAUCAUUCCGGUGACUUUUUUUUAAUGAAGAGAAAGAAAUUUUUCACUUAUUUCGAAAAAGUUUUAUUUUUUACAAGAGUUAUUACUCAUGUUUCUAAUUUUAAGUUUAAAUUUGUACUAACUAUUAAUUUAUUUUAUAUCUAUUACAUAUGUAAUAAAUAAUUUUUUCGUAUAUUAUUACACUAGUAACUAAACGAGGUAUGAUGUUAAUCUAACUCCUCCAAUAAUUUACCCUUCAUAUUUUAAAAUGAUGUUUUUUUUUUGGUAUAAUGAUUUAUUUAGCUUUCGAAGUUUAAAAAAAUUCAUUGUUCUUAAUUUAAUUUUUUGUCUCUUUUUAACCGUUGAACUUAUAAUAUUUGUCAAAUCAUUCCAAAAUUAAUGGAUAAGAUAUCCACGUGGUCCACGUGUAUUAAUAAUUAUAUAUUUUUAUAAUAUUAAUAAAUAUAUUUUUUUUAAUUUUUUUUUAAAAACGAUUAAUUAUUAACAUGACAUGCACAUGUAUGCCACAUCAAUAAAGUUGUUAGACGUUAAUUUUUUCAUUCAUUUUAAGAUAAUUUGACAAACAACACAAAUUUAAAUGCUAAAAAAUAAAAAAAUAAAAUUAUUAUUUUAUAAAAUUUAAAAAUUAAAUAAAUCGUUAUCGCUUUUUUUAUAUUAGUAUAUAUUCAUUUUACUAUUUAUAUUUUCAAAUCCAGUAAUUUCGUAAAAGAUGAAAAUGCACACUGUUCUAUAGUAUCAUAACAUUACAAGUUGCAACUGGAACAGAGCUUGCUCCACUGAAAACACCAGGGUUAUGUUGGGAAACAUUGAAUGUGGUAAUAAAAGAAAUCAUGAACUAGAAUUUUGGUAAUGUCAGCCCCUAUCAGCAUGCCUCUCGUGAUUCUCCAUGAUUCAUGAACGCAGUACGUUCAUGUCAGAUGCACGGCAUGAGAUACACGUUAAUUGUAUUAUUUUGUUAAUUAGACUAAUUUUUAACAGAAACGACUAAUUUAAUUUUUAAUAUAAUAUUUUGAGACUAAUUUGUUAUUUUUGUAUAAAUUAAAAUAAAAUAUAAUCUAAUUCCAAGACAGAAAAAGACAAAAUAAACCAUGGGUCAUAGCUUCAUGAUGAAGAAAGUUCAUUCAAUUCCAUUUGGUGCACUGAAUCUUGAUUACAAUCACACAACAUCAACGUGAAUGCAGUUAAUAUGAAUAUAAGGAUAAAAAUGGAAAUGGGGACUGUAUCUAUAAGUUGAACAAGCAUCAACAAACAUUAUACAUAGAUGAUUAAAUCAAACCAGGCCAAGAAAAUACAAUGAUAUUUUUGGUUAUUAAAAUAUUUACAUAUACAAUGCUUUUUUCCUUUGCAAGUAUGCAGAAAUCAGUUGAAAAGGAAAAGCCACAUUCUAAAAUGAGAAACCCGAACCUAACUAUAUUCGAUCCGCUCGUGUUUUGUCCAGUGACCGCAUCCAGACAUCAGAAAAAACAUUGAGUUUGAAUGUAAUGUUAGGAUUUACGGUGAGUAGUCAAAUAAAGAUCAGUUCUAUGCAUGUGUUGUCAAGCAGCCGGUAGUGGGUACACGGUUUAGUAGUAUUAUAUGUGACCUCAAGCUACAUUCGUUAACCUAAUUGAAAAAAAUGGACCUUUAAUGAUAAGCAACAAUGAGCAGAUCAAGUGCAGAAUAGUUUGGAAUGUAAAACGGAAUGUCGUAAUUACCUGGAUGGCAGCUAGCGUGGACAAAUGUUCUUUACAUUGUUCGAGCAAAAUCCUUUCGUUUGUGGCCACACUCACGAGUUCGUUCACCAAAGAAUUCAUUUCCUUCACCUGCAAAGGACAAAUGGUACUGUUAAUUUGGAAGGUUUGAUUUGCCACUUUUAUGAAAUGCAAAUUCGGGUGGAAUAUAAAUAAGCAUGAGGAUUUUCUUCUGUCCGGUGGUAUUCGUUACAGCUCUUUUUUUUUUUGGUAACGCUAACCUUUGAUGAUAAUGAGCAUAUUGAGGAUGCCAUUGCGUGCAUCACAUCAACCGCUGAACCGACGGCAUCCUUCAGAUUCUGGAUGUCUACCUAUUAAGAGAGAAAAACGGAUUGUCAUAAGAGGAAGAAUUAACAGAUUGUAUAUUCAAAUGCAGAGAAAAACGGGAAAAAGGAAGAAACUUACUAUCGCUUUUCCAACAAUUGGAAGACGAAGAGUACUGGCCUUUAAAGCUUCAGUUGCUCCUAGAAAAGAACUCGAGUGAUCUCUAUCGAGGACUGCCCACGCUUCUAAAUGAGCUAUCUACAGUCGUCAAUCGUAACAAGUUUUAGUCAUGACGAAGAGUCAAAUUUAUCCGUCUUGAUUAGGACCAACCAAUAUUCGCUAACUACUAAUGUGGUGAUAAAAGUGAACGGUGAUUGCUUCUAAAGCAUGUUUCUAAAGGGAUUGGUAAAGCCCGAGUCAAUGUAUGUAUGGUCAAGCAGCCCCCUUAAACCCUUGCAGAAAGCUUAAAAUUUCCUCGUUAUAAUACCCAAGUCCCGGUUUUGAUAAUUUCGUUCUCAUCAAAUAGUAUUUCUAAAAGUAGUGCUUUUUUACUUUCAUCAAUUGAGACCGAUGCAGCAUGUGGUUUCUUCUGGACUAAGCAAAGCAUGGAUACAGACAUAAAUAACAUGUUCUAUAUGAUAAAUACGAAGAAAGUAAAAAUAGAAGCAGUUGUAUCUAUGAAAAGAUCUACACAAUUCGAUGCUUAAAUGAAGUCGAAGUUUCGGAUCUUACUUGUCCCUUCAGGAUGGAAGUCAGUUUCAACUUUUGCCUCAGUAAUAGAAACUUCAUUCUCUUAAGAGUGAUGGAAUGCAGCAGUUCCGAUAUUGUUACCCACACAUUCCACAGAUUUUUCUGCUACAAAAGAAGGAACAUUCACCAUGAACAUACCGGACUUAUUAGAGAGCAUCACGAAAGUGAUAACCCCAAAUUCACAAAUUUAUUUUCCGAACCGGCUAUUGCAUAGAAAACCUAGCCAUUCAUGCUCAUUGUAUAGCAAAACCCUGCAGCUCAACUUUAGUACUAGCUCAUAUUAUUAGCAAGUAACGAAACUAACCAAUCAUUAAUCGCAUUUACCAUUCAAAAACAUGACCAUUAUAUGCAAGAACUAUGCUGUCACUUGCAGUACAAGUAAUCUUUAUAGUAAAAUAGUUGGGUUCGGCUUGUUUGACAAACUAUUACAAUGAAGUAAAUCGAAAAAUUCAUCAUCGAACAUCUUUGGCAACAACAAGAUGGACAAGGAGGAUUAACCAUACCUCUGCACUGAGUUCCUGCACCAUGAAAGUAGCUUCGGCCCUUGCAUUCGCGAAUCUCCAUUGCAAAUAACGGUUAUAAAGAAGUCUCAACGUGUGUGCAUCGACAAUCCGAUCCUCCCCCAUUCUCCCUCUCCGAAUAUCAGCAGAAAAGCUGAGAAUUGAAGGAGAAUUAACCGAAUUACCAAGCAUCUGACCACCACCAACUGCAUUUCUCACCCGAGCAGGACUUAGCCCCCUUAAAGGAGACGAAGCCGAAGACGUCCAAAGCUUACUAGGAGAAGCAGGUCUAGUACUACCUAAACUUUUUGGAGCACUGAUUCUAGACCCGGGGCUCGUAAACAACGGUGAACCUGGAUCCUGCAACUGCCUUAACCGGCUAUUCGUUUCUUGCCAAAACCGAGCAGAUACAAGGAUAUUAUGGGAACCAUUCCUCCCUUUGGAAACCCCAUUUCCUCCAUUGGUGCUACCAGAUGACACACUAUCAGUAUCAGAUGCAGUGAGAUCAUAAGAAACCUCAUUUACAUAAUUGGCAUCAAGCAUUAAUGAUUGUUGCAAUGACUUAACCAUCACUGCACCAGAUCCGAGCAUUUUCCUUUCACCAUAACAAUCCAAGCUCCUCGACAGCGGAUUCGAACCCGAACCCGAACCCGAAUUCGAAUUCCCUUCCCGGGUUCUCCCCGGCCAACGGUGCCGAUCCACCGGUUUUGAGUUCUCAGCGUGAUCUCUCACUGGAGUAGUUUUACGCCUCUCGGGAGUUACUGCUUUCCUAGUACAACCCACUUGGGGCUUAGCCUUACUAACCGGAAUCGAAAACGACUCACCUUGAAACGAAACGGAUAAGCUCCUCGAUGAAGUGAUUAACAUCUUGGUAGCAGCUGAUAAUUCAGUGGACACCUGGUCACCAGGCCGCCUCCGGUCCACGGAUUGAGACCGUUUAGGAAGCACCGUCGCCGUUUUAUUCCCCGUCGUCGCCACCGCUGUCGUAUUAGUAGAACGGGAAAGAAGAGGAGAAGGGAAUCUCGUCGGCAACUUGGCUGCUGCUGCCGCCGCCAUUGUUGUUGCCGCUGAAGAAGAAGGAGACAAGUACCGUGAAGGAACUUGUCUACCUCUGGGUUUUCUUUUAACGGUGGAGCCAUUAUCGUUAAGAGGAGACCAUUUUUUCGGGGUGUCUUCGUGAUGGGUACUUUCUGGGGGAGUUUGUGAAUGAGAAAAUGCAGCCACCAUCAUCAUUAGAGACUGCCAAAAAGGAAAUUAAUCUUCUCUUCUACAUUUCCUUGGAAAGAAAAUUCUCAGUAUUAACAACCAUGGGUCUUCCUUUUCAUGGCUGAUAAACCUGAAAAAUAAUCAAAAUAUACAAGAUUUUAAGCAAUUCUCACGAUAAUGGAGAAGAACCCAUAAAGGGAUUCCAAAUGAUUCUGCAUUUAAACUCCAAUAGCAGUGAAAAACCCACAAAGAUUUUCUGGGUUUUCUAAGAUACUGAAGAAAAUAGUAUGUAUGAGGUGAGAUUUGGAAGAAGAAAAACUAAAAAAAGAGUUCUUAUGAAUCUUUGGAAAGAUGUUUAGGUUAAUUAGUUAUUCAUAAAUUAUAUUUGAGUUCUAAUGAAUUGAAAGCAUUAUAAAUGAAACUUUAUGGUGUAAAAUCAUAUAGAAAUCCAUUCAGAAACUGAUUAUAAAAUAAUAAACUUGCUUCUUCUUUUUCCCUUAAUUUUUCAGAUUUCUCGAUAAAUCAAUCUCAUAACUAUUUCAGGUUAACUGUCCCCAUUCCCAUUCUUUAAAAACUUGAAUACAUUUUAUUCUUUUGAAAUUAAUUAGUAUUGGGUAUGGUAGGUACAUCAAUUGAAUACUUAUGUUUACAAUGUUUGAUGCAAUUACUUGGUUUUUGGUUUAUAUUUUAAUCGUUUAAUUUUAAAAAGUUAAAAAAUAAUUAUUAAAUUAUUUGAAAUUUUUAUUUAAAUCACCAAAUUAUUAAAAUUGUUAUUGUAUGACCUUUUUUAUUUGCACCGCAUGCACCAAUCGAAAGUUUUCAUUCCCUUUUUCUUCUAUAGUUUAGUAUUUUUUUUUUAUAAAACAAGUUUGAACGUCACGAAUCUGCAAAGCAAAAUCAAAACAGUUUUCCUCUCCGAUCUUCUGCAUUGACCACCAAAUCGACUUGGAGUUAAGGUAUGUUCUUCUAUUCGUUGAUGGGUACUUAUCCAUCGUACCGAUCGUCGAAUCAUUACUUGGAGCUCACUAGCCUGGCUUAUGAAAAAAAAAAACUCAACACUCCGGUGACUUAAAUGAAGACUCUUGAAUAGUUUAGUAACUAUUUUAUAACAUUUUGAACUUAAGUGAACCUUAACAUAUAUUUACUAAUAAUUUAAUAUUUUUGGGUGUAGUUUACCCUUACAAAAUAACAAUGUAUCAAAUAUAAAAUAGACAGAUCUCAAAAUUAUACAUGAACUUUGAUUUUGUGUAAUUAUACAGACGAAAUUUUGAUCGUGGUUCAAAUGCAUAAAUGAAACUUUGAUUUUAAUUCAAUUAUAAAUAUUUAAAGAAACGAAGAAAUCGAUAUAUUUUUAUAUUGGAUAAAUUCAAUUGUCUGUGUAUGCAAUAUAAAUAUAAAAUGAUGAUAUAUCGAUAAUUAUAUUAAAAGUUUGUAAAAAUUAUAUCAGAUUAAAAUUUCAUGUAUAAAAUUAUAUAUUAAAUUAAAAUUUAUAUAAAAUUAUAAAAUAAUGAGAAUAUAUAAUCUUAUUAUUAUAAGUAUGAAAUAGAAGAGAUAAAUGAUGAAUGCCAAUGUUAUAUUUUACAACUUUUUGUAUAAAAUCUCUAAAAGUAAAAUUAUAUGAAUAUGAAGAUGACCUUUCAAAAUUAAAUUUUUGUUUUCUUUUUUGUAGUACAAAAAUUGAGUACUUUUCAAUCACAUUAAGCAACUAUCUACUUCUUCAAUUUGAAGCAUACAUCAAUGAGGACCAUGAAUUAUUUAGGGAAAAAAUUAUAAAUAUUAAAAUUACACAUUAAUUUCAGUUUAAUGUGUAAUUUGAUAUAUAAAAUUUAAUCUGAUAUAAUUAUACACGUAAAUUUUUUUAUCAUGAUUUAUAUAUACACAAUCAAAAUUUUGUUUUGAUUUCAAAAACGUUGAUGAUGUUAUUAGCCUUUUGUGAAAAUUGAAUCAAAUUACACAAAAUCAAAGUUCAUGUAUGGCAUUACACGUUGAACUGAAAUUUUUUAUAUAGUUUUUUUAUAUUUACCCAUUAGUUAUAAAAUGUAAGUUUUGUUAUUUAAAUUUUUUUUUUACAUUCUCAUAGUUAAAUUUGGAUGAGACUGGACCUAAAUUUAAAAUAUCAUGUUUACAAGUUUGAUCUAAUUUGAACCGAAUAAACAUAGGUGAAGCUAGAAAAAAAAUUUAGGGGAGGCUAGAUUUAGGUUAUGCAUUUUUUAUGAGAGUUGAAAUGUAAUUUCAUCAUUGUAUUAAAUUAUAUUUUUCUUAAUUUUUUAAACAAUUAAAUUAAUUUUUUAUUAUUUUGGGGGUCAAAAUACAAUUUAACUAUUUAUUAACUUAUAAUUUAUAAACUUUAUAGGGCCAAAAAUGUUAUAUUCUUAUUUUAGGAGGCCCUCGCUUUGGCACCUGCCACCUCCUCAACAUCACCCCAGUCAAUGAAUAUCCUGACCAUUAAACAUGUUUAAUUUUAAAUCGAACAAUAAAUCAUAAAAAAAUAACAACUAUUUACAGUCCAAUAAAAUAUAAUUAUUAGAAUUUAAAUUUGAAAUGUAUUAAUUAAUAUCUUUUAAAAAUAAUUUUACAAACCAACUAAUUUAACCUAUGAAAAUAAAAAGCACAAAUCUUUGUAUUAAUGUUACAUUAACUUGAUUAAAAGGUUGAACAAUUUAAGCAAAGGAGGGACAUGAAUGAGCUACCCCCCAUGAAAAGAGCUUCCAAGCAGCUGAGGUUGAUGCAAGUAACUGAGCCCUUGUAUUAUUUUUUUUACUAUUGUUCACGUGUUUACAUUUGAUUGACUUAAACAGUCACGUGAGAUUUAUUUUUAAUGCAAAUGGGGGCUAACAUGAUGGAUGGAAUAAAAGUAAUGAACGUAAAGUGAUAAAAAAAAUGUAGUAAAAGGGCCAAAGUAAAAAAUUCACUAUAAUACAAGGGCUAAAAUAAGCAUUAACCCAUUUAAGAAAAAAAUUUAUUAAAAAGAAGGAAUGGGAUUGUGAUUAUUGCAAGCAAAGCUAUAACCCAUUUGUUAAUUUUAGUUUAAUAUAAGAUGGAAUGUCUCUAUUUCUCUCUCUCAAUCUCUAUUCUUCCUUCCUUCCAACUCUUUUUUUAAUUAUUUUUCCCCUUUUUUUUAAGUUUCUAAUAUGUCAACUUAUCCUUCUGUUGUCAUUUUAUAUAUAUUAAUUUUCAUUAUUCAACUUUAAAAAGUUACAAAAUAGUCACUAAAUUAUUUAAAAUUUUUUAUUUAAGUCAUUGACCUAUUAAAUUUUUUUAAAAGUUCGGCUGAUGAGCUCCAAGCGACAAUUUGACGAUUGGUAUGGUGGAUUAGUGCCCAUCGACAAUGAAGAACAUAUAUUAGAUCUAAGUUGAGCGGACGGUCAGUGUUGGAGAUCGGAGAAAAAAGUUGUUUUAAUUUGGGUUCGCAAAUUCAUGACGUUAAAGAUUGUUUCAUAAUAAUAAAAAAUAUAUACUAUAGAAGAAAAGAAGAAGGAGAACUUUCGGUUAGUGCAUGUGGUGUGAAUAGAGAAGGCUAAACAAUAACGAUUUCAAUAGUUUGAUAACUUAAACGAAAACUUUCGAAUAGUUCAGUGACCAAAAUAUACAUUCUAAUAGUUUACUAACUUUAAUUUACCCGGAAGAUAUUAAUAUAAAAAAUAUAAGUUAUAUAUAAAAUAAAUAUAUACUCCAUAUAUGUAUGAAAGUUGAAACCCAAGGAAGUGAAAAACAAUGAUAUUAGUCAACUAUAAGAAAAUAUAGGAAAGGUGGUGGGUCGUUUAUUUGAUUGUUCCACACUUGUAAUCAUAUGAAAAUGACCCAAGCAAAAUGCUUAAAUUAUUAUUUUUAUAAUUAUUUAUUAAAAAAAAUGGGUGUUAUGAUCCAUAUGUCUAAAAACAAAUAGAAGUUUCUGCUUUGCUGCUGGGUUUACAUCAAAGCCCUUUUUAUAUAAACAUUCUUUUACAUUUUUAAUUCCCUUAUAUUCUGGAAAAUAUAUGAAGUUUAUGAACUAAUAUUUUGUUAUCAUCUACUUUAAUUUGGAUAGUAACGAUGGUGGUAUCAAAUAUUAUUAGUUUUAUUCGAGAAAUUUUUGAAGUGUUAUUCACUUAGACGAAUGCUAUUAUUCCCGAUCAAGGUUUUCUUGGUAGUAUAGUUGCGCAUACUCUUAUAUGCUCACAAUUUCUUGGUAGGCUCAAGCACUCGGCUCUUGUCAAAGUAAAGACAAAGCUGUGACGGAUUAUAAUUAAAUUGGAACUAUUGAUGAAUUUUUAAAUUUAACCAUUGAAAAAAAUGAAAGGGAGGUUGCAACUGAAGAAGGGAAAGAAAAGGAAAAAAAAGGGUGAAGGCGUGAAUGAGAACACACACAUUCAUGAUUAAACCAAAUGCAUGAUUAAACUAAUUAACCAACAAUUAGACUUUCUAAUUAGAGGCUGUUAAGACUUUGUAAUUGGUCAGCUGACUUUAGCUUGCAAUUUCGUCAGCAAAUUGUUGAUGUUGUUAAGCUAUGACUUACGAAAUGAUGGUGGCUAGAUGAAGGAUGAAAACUUUUCAAACAUUGCAGCCAUGUGGCAUAGAAUAAUUGGUUUGGAAAUGAAAAAGACGUCAUCAUCCACUAAGUCAUGUUCUAAUUUGUUUGUUUAUUUUGGCGUUGUAUCAGUCUAACCAACUUUCUAAGUGAUUACAUACCUGUGAAAUGAAAAUGAUUGUUGUUGCUUUCCAACUAUGCUUCUCUUUUCCACUUUCGCCUCACGGUAUCAGAAUACAAAUUAUUCGAGUUUGAUUCGAAAAAAACUCAAAUCCCAUUCAAUAACUAUCAAACCAAGCUUAAACUAUCAUACUUGAUCUCGAGUACGCAAAUUGAUACACAAGUUUAACUAAACUCAAGUAGUUCAAUUAUGUCUCAAACAAAAUUUAAGCUUAAAAAUUAAUGUUUGAUCAAGCAUGAGCUUACAAAUAUUGAACCGAAUUUUGGCUCGAUUACAUCCUAUUAUUAUGACUCUUUUAGAGGAUCCCAAUUAAAUCUGGAGCCAAACUCAAUCAAACUCAACUCAAUUUUCUACAUUCAUCUAAAGUCUUAAAAAAAACAUUCGUCUCCACCCGAUUUAAACAAACAUGGGUUCAUUCGUUUCUUCUUUGAUCUUUCUUUCCUACCAUUCAAGCAAAACCCAAGACUAUUUUACUGAUUCCGCAUGCGCAAAAGCAUGUAUCUUAGUUUAUUUAUGCCAUUGUUCUAUGGCACCACCUGUCUUGGGAUCUAAGAUACAAAAUAAAUAACAAACAUGUUUUUAAAAAGGAUUUAAUUUAAAAAAAAAAUCAUUCAUCUUCACAUCUCAACUAAAUAAUUGUGAUUGGUUACCAACAAAUUUCACCACGUGCUUUUAAUUCGAUUUCUAACCUUUAAAAAGAGACAAUAACACAAACAAGAUUAAAGACAAAGGUUUGGUCUGAAUCAGUGUAGGAAUUUAAAGAACAUCUAAGGGAAGAAAGCCAAUUUGACAAUUAUUUGAACCAUUGUUAAGCAUAAAUUCUAUCAUGAAGAAAGGUACAGAGAGGGUACAAAAGAUAACUUGAAGAUGAAGGAACUUAAUGAAGGAAGUUGGUGAAAUAGACAAUUUGCAGAUACCCUUUUUUUGCUAGUUGUUGAACUCACUUUUAAAUCUUGUCAACUUCUAUAUAUAUAUAUGAAAACAUGACCUCAUCUCUCACUGAAUAUCACACAAAGAACUUUGUUAAGCAACAUCUUAACAGGAGAAGUUGAUAUCUUAGCUCUCUUACAAGGAGUAUUCUAUGUUUAAGACAUAUUGCCUACUGUUUAGGAAAAAAAAGGGACCAUUAUGCAUAAAUAAACUUAAAAGCUAAGUUAUGGUGCAAUAGGGUAGCAUUACAAACCUAUUAUAAACGUGCUAUAGAGGCCCACAAGUUAAGUAAACUUCUAGAUUAAAUUGGGAUUUUACAAUCCCUCUGUUCUCUAAUGAGAGACCUUGGAUGACCCAAGAGAAAAUGAUUCUAACAUGCAUGAACCAUACUAAAACCGAAUCGCCCAAAGCAAUAGCAUAUUUUACAUAAAGACUACAAUUUUGACGGUUUCAAUGAGUAACUAAUAACUGCUAAAUGCUAAUCGUUUUUCGAAUAUCAAAUGUGACAGUAAGACUUCAGAACCAUACAUUCUGUGGGUUUUAAGGAAUAAAUAAUUUAAGCCAGCAUCUUAAUUCCAUUUAGAGAACACAGGAAAUGCCAAUAACCAACAAGAUCAUCACCUUGCAAGGACAAUCAAUAAGCACACUUAACAAUAUGCAGUCACUCCAUGGACCAUACUAAUCAAACGCCUUUAACACCAUAACAAGACCAAACAAUAAGACUUCAAAACUAUAUGUACUGUGGUUUUUAAUGAAUAAACUACGUAAGCCAACAUCUAAAUCCAUUUAGAGAACACAUAAAAUGCCAAUAAUCAACAGGAUCAUCACAUUGCAUAGACAAUAAGCACACUUAACAAUAUGCAGCCAUUCCAUGGACCAUACUAAUCAAAGUCCUUUAACACCAUAGCCUAUGACCAAAUAUGACAAUAAGACUUCAGAACCAUACAUUCUGUGGUUUUUAAUGAAUAAACAAUUUAAGCCAACAUCUUAAUUCCAUUUAGAGAACACAUGAAAUGCCAAUAAUCAACAAGAUCAUCACAUUGCAAUGACAAUCAAUAAGCGCACUUAACAAUAAAGAAAAUACCAAAUUAAACCAGUAUGAUUACUUCAUUGAGGAACCACAAAGUAUUCUUAGUUCAACAAUCACUUUGGUAAUUCACCAAAACAAAACAGCAUCUUGUUCUUUCAAAUUCAAAAAAAUAAAAAUACUAACAUACUACAGAAGGCUCAUAGAGGGACAAAGUCCUUCCUACUUUACACCAUACAAAAUUCUUCAACGGUACUGCAAAGGAAAAAAAGACAAGAAAACACCCAAGUUUAAGAAACUGUUGAUAUGAACAAUUAUGAAGAUUGAAGAUUAAGAUAACGUUAACCAUCAAAAGAGUAAUACCUUGAUGAAUCCGAUUUCCUUGGCAUUGCUACGGAAGCACUGCCUGCAACACAUGAGACCGUACUUCCUGAUGAUGGCAUGGGGGUUCCCACAAACACGGCUAUCAAAACAAAACAAAACAAAACAAACAACCCUAAGUCAUUGUAACAUAAUAAAACACAACAAGACAAUAACAGAUUUGACAAAAGCCUAAGAUGCUACUACUCUCACAUUUAUUACUAAUAAUCUCGAACAAAGCAAAUUCCCAGCCACUAACACUUAUAUGCAAAAAUAAAAUUGCUACAUCGUUCGAUUAGGUAUCGAAGAAAUCAACAACCUAAAUUUUGAUUUCAUUCCGUUGUACUACUAUAUGCCUAAAAUAAAACAUCAGUCGGAAAACUAGUAAUACAUGCUAAGGAGUUAACAAAAAUAGCUCUUGGGAAUUUUGCAAUGCAAUGCAAUGCAAAAAAAAAAAACAGAGAGAGAUGAAACAGUUACCAGGCGCGAGAGCCAGGGCCGUAGGUUUGGGGGUGAGAGUUCCAGACGUUAGAGUGACCCAUGAUUGCUCUGAAAAUGCGAGAGAAAUGAGACUGGAAUUGAAAACCCUAGAUUUCACGGAGGUGUUUGGAUCAUUUAGAAAAUGAUUAUAUAUAUGCGGAGCCUAAAACCCUAGUUUCCGAAUUAAGCGGGGCCCCGAUUUGCUGACCCGUAUACAGCUGUGGGUUUGAUUGUUCCAUAAAAGCCUAUUUAGGCCCAAUAACAUCUCCUGGCCAAACUAGUUUAUAAAUGGCCCAAUAAUAUGAUUAAAUUAAAGAUGAUAUAUAAAUGAUUUAAAUUGAAGUUGCAUUUUUAAAUCGGAAAAACACAUUAUUUAAUUAAAAAACAUAGGGUAAACUAUAUUAUUAGUUACUAAAUUAUGAUUAAGUUUUAUUUUUAGUCACUUAACUAAAAAAAGUUACAAAUUGGUGACUGAAUUAUUCUAAAGUUUUCAUUUAAGUUUUUAAACCGUUAAAAUCGAUGUUAUAUGGCUUUCUCUGUUCGAAAUAACUAAACCAGUUGGAAGCUCUCUUCCCCCUUCUCAUCUACAGUUUAGUUUUUGUCAUGAAAUAACUUUGGACAUCAUGAAUAUGCAAACCGAAAUUCAAACAACUUUUUUCUCUAAUAUCUGACAUUGACCGUUAGAUCGACUUGGAUUUAAGGGAUGCUCUUCUACUCAUUGAUUGGUACUAAUCUACCGAACUGAUCGUCAAAUCGUCACUUGGAGCUCACUGACGGAACUUUUUUUAAGAAAAAGCUUAAUAGCUCAAUGACUUAGAUAAAAACUUUUGUAUAGUUUAGUGACUUAAAUGAAAACUUUUGAAUGGUUUAGUGAUCAAGUUGUAACUUUUUUUAGUUAAAUGAUCAAAAUGAAAAUUUAACCAUAAUUUAGUGACUAAGGGUAGAAUGUACCCAAAAAUAAAAGCAUGGAACUAAAUUGAAGGAUAUUUUAACCCUAAAAGACUCGUCUUUUGCUGGCAGGCUUCAUGGCGAACCGAGCGGGCUCUUCAUCGUCACGCCUGGUAACCAUUGAUUUCAUCACUAAUUGAUCUCUAAAUACAGCUUCACUUGAAAAAUAACCAUCGACACAUUUGUUCUUUAACACUUCUGCAACUAUUCUGCUACUGAAUUUUCUUGAGCAUUCCAUUUCCCAGUAGUUUCUUCCAUUUUCACUAGUUUUUUUUUUUAAUUCAUUUGCGUUUUCAGGAAACCCUUCACGAAGAAGAUGAUUACGACUCAUACGGCGCCGAAUCAGGAUGGGUGGAAGCUAAAACGCACUGUGAUCACUUGCCUUCCCUAUCUUCUGAUCUCACUCACAUUCCAAUCCCUAGCACUCCCUGCAGCAGGUCAUUAUCCCCUAUGUUUUUUGAAUUCUAUAAUUCUUGUUAAACUUCUUUAAUUCAUGUCCUUGUUUGGUUGAUUAUUUUGAUACUUCUAAUAAAAAAUUGGGUUUAGACAUUUAGUUUUGUAACAUAUUUGCAGUUAAUUUUUUGGCUUAAUUGCCUAUACCUGAAGUGAUCUUCUGAUUCAUAUUGAGGGACUAUUAAUAAUUGGCGAAUCUAGGAAUACAUGGUUAAGGGGAUCCAAGAUUAAAUUAUAAAUUUUUGUGUUAAAUUGAAUCAUUAAGCUUUUAGAAUAGCUAAAAUGCAAUUUUUAUAUUUUAAUCAAGGGAGGCUAAGGUCCUGCCUAUGGCAUGUAAAUGAGAUACCAGUGCUUAUAAGGGAUUCGAGUUCAACUUGAAAAUUUUGAAUUCAAUUUGGUAUUUAUAGAGUGAGCUCAAGCUUGCUAUCAAUCAAGCCAGCAAAAUUUGAGCAUUUUAAUACUCAAUUCAAAUGGAUCAUGAGCCUAAUCGAGUUUUCUUUUUUAGUACAUUUUUAUAUUAUCAUGUAGAAAGAGCUUAACUCCGAACAAGCUUAAUCAAGCUAGAGUUCGAGCUUGAAUACGAAAAUUGAUCAACAAGCUUAGUUUAAGCUCAAGCUUGAGUUUAGAAAUUCAUGUUCAAGUUGAGCUUGAGACAAGUAUUGAGUCCUGAACUUUGAGUCGAGUUUGAGCUUGAACUUGUCACUAAUCGAGUUCUGCUUGACUCGAUUACACCUGUAGGCCCCUGCUUGCCCUCCUUUGCAUCCACCUCUGCUAUUAGUAUUUUAAGUAAUUGAGCUACUAAAACAUCUCUGAAGUUUGCAUUUUUAGGAUUCUUUAAUGUAGAUUUUUAGGGCAAGAUCAUACGAAUUCAUUAUCCUAAUCUUACAAAACAUUUUAUGCAUACAAGGUGCCAGCACCCAAGUGAGAAUUGGUUAUGCUUGUCCUGCAAAGUUGUGCUUUGUAGCCGUUUUGUGAAUAAGCAUAUGCUUGAGCAUUAUCAGCAAACAACCCAUUCCAUAGCGCUCAGUUUUAGGUAUGUAGUUAUAAUUGCCUUCUUUUUUAACUUCCCAUUUUGCUAUAUAUUUGUUGCUCGAGAAAGAGAAAGUAUCUACGGAAGUUUUUCUCGGUAACUUCUUUUUUCUUGGUUGUGUGAAUCCAGUGACCUGUCAGUUUGGUGUUUUGCUUGUGAUUCUUAUCUCGAUGCUCAAUUGAUUCAGCAACUGCGACCUUUUCAUGAGACAGCUUACAUAUUGAAAUUUGGUCAAGCCCCUCCUUUUCGGUCUGUUGAAUCUUCUCGGGUGGAAGAUAAACCGGCCAUGGAUGUGCCAUCAAGCAGUUGAAUCUGGUAUGGUUUUUAGACCGAAGGGCUGUAAUGGCAAAAGAAGGCUAGUUUGGAAUUGAAUCAAACAAUAAAUUAGUUGAAUUUAAUUAUAUGAGUUCUGUUCUAUGCAUACUGAUGGCUAGAAAUAGAUGGCUUUUUCAGGUUCAUAUUGCCUCUUCCAAAUACAAAACCACAUAUAUUUACUCAGUCUAGGUUAAGGCAGAGAAAAUUUUGCAUACCUUAUUCAGCUGUUGAGAUCUUGCUGCCCUUAUGAAUUGUUUCAAUCUCAACACAUUUAAUAAUUUACACAAACAUUUGAUCUUCUGCCCAUAUAAAUUUACUCAGUCUAGGUUUUUAUCUGAAUUGUUCUUUGAUAUUGAAUAAGUCUUCAUUAGACGACCAGGCAUUCUGUUACACAGAAUUUGCUGCCAUGUCAUAGACCUUGUAUUACUAAGGUAACCUGUGUGUUUCGGUUGUCGAGCAUUUGUUCAAGUUUCACUAAUGCACCUGCAUUCGUGUAGACGGAUUAUUUUCCGAUAGGGUAGUGAGUUCCCUCGGAAUGGAUCCCUGUUAGAUUUUUGUUUAGAUGAUUGUCUGAUAGAUUCGAGCACGACAACUUAUCGAUGUUUAAGUUAGGGGAAUCUCAGUGACUUAUGUGAAAGAUACAAAUCCAUGAUUGAACACAAACAUUAAGUUUGCACGAAAAAAAUCAGCUAGUGAGUUUUUUACAGGCUUGUGAAAGAGAAUUUAAGAUAAAUUAUAGAGUACCAAGAUACAACAUAGAUAGAUGAUAUGCAUUACAAGCUGUCUUGACAUCUCCGUUCUUUCUGUGGAGUUUCGAUGUUUAUUUUUUAAGAUGAGGAAAGCACGCGUACACGUCGGACUUUGGAUGCUUCGCCUCAGCGUGCUCCCGGCAUUUCACUUCCGUUGUGGUACACAUGAAUGUUUGCAUACACACCUUGCACUGUUUUCAGGCACCAUCAUAAACCAGUUAUGUUAUCAGAGGAAACCCAAGCAAAGGACGACAAUGAUAUGAACAAGAAACCAAAACCCGAGUCAUGUAUCUGAUAAUGUAGUUCAAUGUGUCUAAAUUCAUUUUGACAGUAUCAACUAGUGAUGUAACAUGAUGAAUGUUCGAAGUUAAGAAAUGUUAUUUCUGGAAUUCUCAAGUGCAUUUAUUACCAAAUUCCACUCAAACAGAACACUAGAAAGGCAGUUUUUGCAAUCAAUGAUUACUUAUAAGAAUUUUAGGAAGGCUCAGACAAUCAUACAAAUUCUUCUCAUCAAUAUUUGUAACUUGAGAAAGUUCAUGCAAGAGAAGCUUAAAUUCAAGUAUUGUGUCUGCUCGUGGUUUUCUUCAAUGGAAGAUGUAGAGAAAAGGCCAAUUCCUCCCUAAAAUGUCUUCCAAGUGUCAUCUGUUGGGAGUCGAUAAAUCCCUCAACAGGUAGGUAUUGCCCUCGGUUGGAAUUUGUCUCCCAACUCUAACGAGAGAUCAAGUGCUUGAGGCAAUGGUUCAUAGAGCGGGAGUAACUUUUCUUCUAAGUGGCAUACACCACGCACGGUCCAUCUCAACGAGGUGCUCCAGCUGUGUGAACCUAUCACCUCAAGCAUUCAAGCUCUCGACUUUCCGAAGACAAACUCUUAUCACUUUGAAGACUUCGGUCUCCCUCGACAAAACAAAAUAAUGACCAAAAGUCUACUGACAAUGAACAAUUGACAAGCGAAAAACACUCUCAAAUCGUAAUUCGCGCGUAGGAACUACGCAAUAAGUUCCCAUGAAACCAUACAAAGCUUUAAUCCAAGAAUCUCUCUCAAGAAUUUCAACAAACACUCUCUUCAAAAUACAUCACAACAAAAAUAGUCAAACUACAAACACAGAAAACUAGCGAAGGAAAUCCCAACUUUUUCAAAGGAAGAUAAACAAAUAAAUCAUAAACCACUGGACAAAAACAACAGAUCAAGCAAAGUAUAGUUUUAAAAUCAAAGAAAGAAAUGAAAACCAGAGCAUCCAAAGAUACUACCUGGAUGGACAUGGCCUUCUUGUUAGACUCAAGCUGGCUUCCUAUCAAAAAACCAAAGCUUAAAGAUCAAUGAUGGAUCUAACUAAAAAGAUGGUCUAAAAAAAACAGACCCAAAGAUUAGCAAAGAGAUGGAGAAAGAAAGAAAAAGUGGAAAGGAAGGAUUUGGGGAGCACCUUUGCCAGCAGCUUUUUGCUUUUCCAAGUUCUUCUCACGGGCCAUCUUGGAUUUUUGGCCAUUUCCUCCUCCCAUGGUGGAUUGAUGAGGGAAAAAAAGAAGGGUUUUUUGAUCGAAUUGGAAGUGAAAACUUGGAAGAGGGAACUAUCAGAGAUGAUUAAGGCAAAAUAAGGGAAAUGGGGGGCAGAAUAGAGACAAGACUAUGAACCACAAAGAAAGUAGAUUCGAAUAAAGUAAUGCAAGUGGGGCCAAAAGGAUAAAGGCUGGAAAUCGCCGAUAAAGGAAAACGCCAACUAGUUGAAUUUAGGUACAUCAGUCAGAUCUGUUACUGUUCUAUAUAUCACCCGAUUGUGAGGUGGAAUUACAGGGUAUUAUGGGGGAGUUUGGGUUCCGAGCGAGUUUAUUUAAGGUAUUUAGAUUAAUUAUUUAAGUUCGAAUUUAGUCAAAAAAUAAUUUUUUUUAUCUAAAUUUAAUCUAAUUUAAAAAAAAAUUAGAUCUAAUUUGAUCCGUAUAUAUUUAAUUUUUUUAAGUUACUUUUGUUAUACAAUUAUAAUAAAAUAUAUAAUAAUUCAGCCUGAAGUCCGACCCGAUAAAUCUCUCUCUAUAUAUAUAUUUAAAGAUUCUCUUUGAGAGGAGGGUACUUCAUACACUCUUUUUCUUUUAUCUUCUUCUUCUCUAUUGCUUCACCAGAAUGUCUUUCCCUUCUUUUUCCACGUACUAAGAAUGAUAAAAUAAAAAUUUUUUAACACAUUAAAAAUUAUUUAUAUUAAAAAAACACUAUCUUAAAUAUAAUAAAUAUUUUUUAUAUUAAAAAACAUAAAUAAAAAUAUUAAAUAUUUUAUUGUAUUAAAUAUAAAUUUUAAAAUUUUAUAUUUUGGUUUAGGUUAUUUAGUUGAAUAAGUUUUUUUAAAAGUUUUGAGUAAUGAGUUUAAUUGUUAUUGGGUUAAUGAUUUAAUAUAAGUAUAAAUAUAUAUAAUUAUUAUUUAACAUAUAUAUAAUUAAUAUAAUAUUAUUUUAUAACAUAAUAUUCGGGCUGAAUCGAGCUCGGGCCAAGAAAAUCUUACUAAAAGCUCAAAUCAUAUAGAAAAUAGACCUUAAUUUUACCUAAGCUCAUUUUUUGGGUGGAUCUUGAGGCUUGGGCUAGCGGUCCAGCCCAUGAGUAGGUCUAGGUGGAAUAAUAAAUAAAUAUUUAAUGUUUGAAUUUAUUUUUUAGUAAAUAAGUACCGUUAAACAAUAUUUUUUAAAUUGAAUUGGUGGUCGAACCGGUUAGGCCAUCAAUUCACUGGUCCAAUCGAUUUAAUUAAAAAAUUAUUAAUUAAAAAUUUUUUUCUAUUCAACUGAUUUAAUCGUUGAUUAACGAUUCAACUGAUUUUUUACUUAAUUUAUACUGAUUCUUAUAUACAAAAAAAUAUAAAAAAUAGUUAUAAUAUUAUAAAAUUUAUAAUUUUAAUCAAGAUAUGUAAAUUUAAAAGAGGGGUAUUUUGAUAGUUUUUAGGGGUGGGCCGAUGCAGGCUUGAUCAAAACUGAGAUCAAUUUCAUCCUGACCCAAAACUCGAUUUUCUUUUCAAUUUCAUCCCCUCUCUAACCAAAUCGGGUUGAAAUCCAAUAGAUUUGGGUUAAUUUGCUAGUCAUCAAUUAUUGCUUGGACCCUGUCAACUCUAAGAUCAACUGGAUCUUCAUCAAUUGCCCUCAAACAUUUUACAUGAAUGUUUCCAAAAAAUAAUAGCAAUUGGAAUUGAAAAAUUAUUUUUGUGUCGUUUUAGUUCGAUUGGUAUCGGUAUUAUUGUCAGUGCAGGAGGAUGUGGGUUCAAGUGCGUUGAAAUGUAUUAUCCUCCUAUUUAAGGGUUGAGAAUGGGCUAUGGGUAGUUUUAGACUUAUUAUAUCAAAAAGAGCAAAUAUGAUUAAUGUUAAAAAAUAGACCCUAAAAACUUGACCAUUUUUUUCUCUUCUUUUUUACUUGAGAAUAUUACGGGUAAAUUUCAAUUCCAAUCCUUCUAUUUUUUAAUUACAAAAAAUGGUUAAAUUUUAAUCUGAUCCCUAUAUUUCACUCAAUUUUGAGAUUUAAUUUAUAUAUUUUAAAAUUGACAUGACUUGAUAUCUCAACUUUUAUAAUGUCAUUGGUUAGUCUAAAUAUUUUUUUCUCGUUAAAACAAUGGUGUGAAUUUUUAAGAAUUGUUAGCACCAUGAAAAAUCUUUGUUAAAUUCGGGUUUAUUACAAUGUUAUUUUUUUGUUAUGUGGAUACCAAUUUAUUUUAUUUUAUUUUUUUGAAAAUGCCACACCAACACAAUAAUUAAGACAAUGUUAACAAAUAGACCUAAAUUUUUAAAUUUGAAAAGUAAAGAGACUAAAUUUUUUAAAAUAAAAAUUUAGAGAUUAAAUUCUAAAUAUACGAAUAAUACAAAAAUUUCAAACAAAUUAUAAUUUUUAAAUUUUUACACUAUAAAUUAAUUAAUAAUUAAUUAAUAAACUCAACAAAAAUUGUGGGUGAAACCAUACUAGUAAGUAGUAACUAUACAUAAAAUGUAUUGGACUUGCUGCCACGUGUCACACCCAACUAUAUUCAUUUUCUAUUCUUUUUGCAUUUUUACCAAAAACUGUUAAAUUUCAGCUUUGGUCCCUUUAAUAGGCCUAAAUUUGAGAUUUAAUCUAUAUACGUUAAUUUCUAAAAUAAUAUGUCCCUUAUAGUUUUAUAAUGUUAUUAUUUAGUACAAAUAGUUAAUAUUGUUUACUUUUUUAUUAAAACAUUAUGUGGUUAUAUAUAAAUUGAAUACCCUAAGUCUUAGAGACUAACUUGUGGCUUCCCAAAAUAUUUGCGUUAUUUUUUCUUUUUUACAUUAUAAGACAAUGGUCAAAUUUUAAUUUUAACCCUAAACUGUAUUGAAACUUGAGAUUUAAUCUAUAUACUUUAUUUAUCUUUUACAUAAUUCGGUCCCUCUAAUUUUAUAAAGUCAUUAGUUUGUCUAAAUAGUUAAUAUUGGUCAACUAUUUCAAUCAAAAUGUUGGCGUCAAUCUAGAAAAAAAUAUUUCAUCAUGACGAUUUUGAAUGGGUAUUUUUAAGAAAAAUUGUAAUAAAUAUUUUCAAUGUUUUUUUUAAUAUAUGGCUACGAAGUGAAUAUAUAUUUUUUAAUUUCAAAAUGUCAUACUUGAGAAUUAAUAAAAGAAAUUUAACGAUGGUAUCAAUUGGACCUGGAAUUUUAAAUCCAAAAAGUAGAUUAGUAUAUUCUCAAAAAUAAAAGUAAGGGGACUAAAUUCCAAAUGUAUGAAGUGUAUAGGGACUUGGAGAAUAUUUUAACAUUUGAAUUUUUUACUUUAUAAUUUGACAUAAACAAAUAAUCAACCCAACACGAAGUGUGGGCUAGGAACCACGCUAGUUUAUAUUGAAUUUUAAGUUCAAGAUAAGUACAACAAAAUUACCUCUAACAUGGUCAAAGACGAAACCAAAAUAAUGUUGAUAAUUAAGAAAUAAAGAAAUAUAUAAUUGUUGAAGGGGUAUCGACUUCUUCCAGAGAUGUCUUCAAUAUGCCGUCCUCUAAGCAACCGACUGAAGCCCCCAACAACCAAAGGUAUUGUCCUUGGGAGAGAGUAUUGUCCCCAGCCUCCGCGAAGAGCCAAUGUGCCGUGAGUGGCUACCCUGAAAGUCUACUUCAUACAUGGGUGCCUCGAUUAUACGUAGACAUAUGACCACUCAUUGAGAGGCAAUGAAAGCAUCUCGCCCUUGGUGGAGUUUAAACCCCUCACCAAUAACAUAUAAGUCACUUAUUGGGGUAUAUCUGACCCAUAUAGAUCACAAUGACAAUCUUUUUUAAUUCAUUUUCUUCUUCUUCUUCUUUAUCAAGCACCGUCAAUUUUAUUUUCUAUCCACAUUUUCGCUGUCAAUUUUUUUAUUCUAUUUUUUCAUUUAACUAAACGUACCUUAAAUGUCAGUUUGAAUAUGACGCGGAGCACGUGUAAAAUACAUGAAUCAAAUUGUAAUUAAAGACAUGUUUAUAAUGUAUUUGUCACAUAAAUAACUUGAAUUUGACAUGUUAAAAGAAACAUAUAGCAUCAUUAAUAGGGGUGAAUUUAGAAAUUUUCUAAACAUUGGAAUUGAAUUAUAAAAUUUUUGAGAGUUCAAAGUGUAAUUUUAUAAUGUAUUAACUUAUAAUUUCAUCAUUUUAAAAAAAUACAUUUUUUUAGAGAUGUAAAGCAUAAUUUUAUCAUUACAAAAUUUUAAUUUAAUCAUUUAUAAUAAAACUAUAAAGAAACUUCUUAGGGGUGGGUUUCAAAGCCCACAUAUCCCCCACAUUGUAUUAUCCUCUUAACGUCCAAUGAAUGUCCGAAAUUAACCUAUAUUAUUUUUUUGGUAAAAAAGUAGCAGAAAUCAGCUACAUCAACAUAGUUCUAAUGAGAAUUUCCCAUGGUUUCGAUUUGCUGAAGAUCAGCUAACAACAAUCCUCUAAUAUUCAUUGGAGGCUAUUUAAAAGUGCAAAUCAUAUUUAAAUCUUCAGCAUCCAUCUUCGCCAAGUAAUCCACAACCUUAUUUUGUUCCAUUGGAAUAUGUCGAAAUUAAUAGCUAAAUUGAUGGAAGGAGCUAAUUAUAUGAAACCAUAUUUUGAAGACUUAAUCAAAAUUCUUUGAAGAUUAGGACCAAAUUAAAAUCUAAAUUAUAAAUUGAGAACCACUGCUGCAAUUAAUCUAAAGAGUAUCAUAUAAAGCCAAAUUUGGCGUUAAAACUUUAAAUUUUCUAUUUAUUUAUCAGUUUCCCACCGUACAAGUUUUUUCCCGCGUUUCUUCGAAGGUUUCUAAUAACUUCUAUUGGUUUCCAUUUCUUAAUCCAAAAUAUAAUUUACAAAGUAUGAAGUUAAUUAUUUUUGUAAAAAAUGGAAGCUUAGUUUGCAAAUCAGAUCAAAACAUUCGGGAUUUUAGCCAUUUUUUCAGGUGAAUUACGAGCGCAUCGGAGUUAUUCUACACUCGAAGGUCGAGUGGGCCGACGACCCGACCCGCAUUCAGGAUUUGGGUCCUUAAUUGAUCGGAAUUACAAUCGCGCCGGAAAUCAUUUCAGUCACCAUAAUCGGAGGCUUGAUUUGGACGGCCGUGAUCCUCUCCGCCGUAUUCUCUACGCUCACGUGGCUUCUCCCUUUCCCUACGCUCAUUGCACAUAAUGUUUUUUUUUCGUUUGGUUGCUUAGAAAAGAAAAACGGAAAAAGGAAAAAAAUAAGUAUACGAAUUAAUAGAUGUUCUUGGAAGUGAAAAUAGAUUGAAUUUUCAUUUUGUUGAAAUAAAUUUUGAUUAAUUAAUUUAUUUUGCUUUGAAAAUCAGUAGCUUAAAGAUAAAUCUAUUAGUUGAAUUACUGAAAGUAGUUAUGAAAUGUAAAAUUUUCUCGAUAAUUUAUCUGAGUUCUGAGCCCUAAGCUAAAUUGCUGUAAAUUUCAUCCAAUAACAUAUAAUAUGUAUACAGAUAGAUAAGAUUGCUUGAUAUUGCAUUACCUUGUGAUUUGCUUUUACUUUGGGGAAAUUACUUAACAGUUAAGUGCAUUGAGCUAGUGUUGCUAGUACCUCUUCUUCAGUAAUGAAUAUUUUGAGUGUCUUUCAGAGAAAUGCUAUAAUGAAUUUGGCUUUGUCAUGCAGCAACCAGUUUGUGUAAGUAGUUCAAGUAGGCCACGUUUAAGUUCGAACUAGCGACUUCCCGGAGUUUUGCUGCGAGUAAGAGGCGCGUCCAUUUCUUCAAACAGGUUGGUGCUUAGAGCUCUCUGCAAGUUUCAAAUUCAUAGCACUUGCAUUGGUUGUAUUUACUGUGAUUAUUUACCUUGUCAAGUAGAGCUAGUAAUUCUGCAAGUUCAUAGCAUUUGCAUUAAUGCACUUAUGGCACUUUUAGUGCUUUUGCUGCACUAGUUGGACUAAAAAUAUAUCCACCAUUCUUGCUUUGACACCAAUUUCCAUUCAACCCGUUUAAAUUCUCGAAGGACAGCAUAUCUAUAACUUUCUCAACUCUACUAGAAUCCAAAUCAUGAUUUUGCUUUUUUGUUCUACUUUUAUUUCGUGGAUAUGUUGAGUGGUGCAAAAUGAUCAAAAGGGGGGCAACUAUUAAACUAUCAACUUGUGUCAUAAUCUGUAUAGGACGAUUCAGUGUCAUAUAUGGUUGAUUGUGAUCCAUUAUUGUUGCUGCAUCCAUAAAAUGAAAUUGUGGGUCUGACUGGGUUUAGCAAUAAGGAAAAGAGGUACCAUGUGAUCUUUUAGGAAGAUAGAUGGCUUGGGUUAUCACCGGUUUAUGCAUAGAUCAAUUUCAUAGGAGUAACCUAAAAUGCACUCUGAUGCAGCAAUUUGUCGGUUGCAUUGUCACUAGUGUAUUCAAUUUUCAAUAAUUGUUUUGGCGCUUGAUACCCUAGCUAUUUUUUUAUAGAAUUGCCUGCUAUAAUCAUCAUGUUUCAACAGACUUUUUUUUGUCCCUCUUUAGACAUUAGAUAUUCUGGUAAAAUUUUGCUAUUAGUCCAUAUACUAUGCACAAGUUGCAAAUUUUUGUACUUAUACUCUAAUUUGGUUAUUUUUAGUCUUUGUACUUUUCAAAUUUUGAAAAUUUAGUCCUGAACAAUGGCUGACAAAUUCAUUAAGUUAAAAUUUGUUAUUUCCAACAUCUUAUGCCACAAACAUAUUAUCACAUUUGUAAUUCUAUGUUAACUUGCUAUUUUCACAUAAUACUUCAAGAAAAUCGUUUCAUAUUAGUUAAUAAAUUUAAUAGCUCUUGUUUGAGUCAAGAUCGAAAUUUUAAAAUUUGAAAAAUAUAAAGAUUAAAAAUGAUCAAUUUGAAGGACGUGGAUUAAAUCCACAAUUUAACGCCAUAGUAUGGAACUAAUAGCAGAAAUUUUAGAGUACAUAGACUAAAACCUGCAACUUACAUAUAGAACAUGGACCAAUAGCAGAAUUUGACCACUUAUUUAUAUUCUUGAACAGAUUAAAUUCACUCUUUUUAUGCUCAAAAAAAAUCUGUCAUUACUUUGAGCCUACUUCUGUUAAUGCAUUAAAUCAGAUAUUUCUUUUGCUACUCCCCAGCUAUUAGUAGUACCAUAAUUUCCAGGCCCACUGCUGCUUGACUUGCAUCACUAACAACCAAAACGGUCCAGUCCCACUGCCGGUGUGCUUCCCAUGUAGUAUAUUAUUGUUAUUUACAUCACUUUCCACUACCACUAUUACCCAGCUAACUUCCUAGUAAAUUAGCAUUUCUAACCAUGUGGACCACUAGAACUUGUGGCACUCAGUAAUGAAGAUAUUUAUGUUUCUGUCUUUCAUUACGCAGUGGACUACUUCAAGGUCCGAACUGCGGUUUAAACAUUUUAUACUUUUUUUCCCUUUUUCGUUUUCUAAUUUACUUAUUUUGUCCUUGUUUUAAUUUUUUGAAUUUUCUUUUGACUGAAUCAGAAAUCAGUAUUUUGAUUGAUUUGAACGUCGAUUUAAUUUUUGUGACACAGCUAUCAUGUAGGCAGAGGUUUCGUUCACUAGACUUGCUUAGAUCUUGGGUUAGAGCUUGUGGGAACUGACCUUACUAUAGAAAAAGCAUAUACUAUCUCUAUUAUGUACCCAGUUGCAAGGUAUUUGAAUUAAAUCCCACUUAAAAAGUAUGAGAUUUUUAGUGAAAUUUAUAUGAACCAUGUUUGUCUCAACUUCAACAACUAGCUUUUGAGGUAUAAUUCUCCAUUGAUCUAUUUUUGUUAGUGCUUCAGUUUCCUUAACAUUGAUAGCGUGUGAACUUUAAAAUGUAAAGUAUCUAUCGGUUUCAAUGUCCCUUUCCUUGCUUGACCAACCUGCCCUACUUGUUUUCCAAAAUGGACUGAAACCAAAUUGUUUUAUGUUGUUGUCAGCUACAGUAUUGGUACUCACCAUGCUCAGAGUCUCAACCUCUAUGUUAAAACCUUUUUCCUUGAAAUUUCCUAGGCAAUUUUGGACACAUAACAUACAUAAAAAACAAUACAAAUAUAUAAUAUUAAUAUAAAAGUAUGUCAAUAGUAAGUUUAAGGUUAAAAUAUAUCAUAAGUCCUCAUGUUUUUCAAAAAUCUAAAAUUUAAUCUUUGUAUUUUGUUAAAUUUAGAUUUAUUAUAAUGUCUUUUUUUUAGUUACAUAGCUAUCAAAUGGAUAUUUUUUUAUUUUAAAAUAUUAUACUAAUAAAUUUAAUAAAAAAAUUUAACUAUAUUAAUAAUUAAAUCUGAAUCUUAAAAUAAAAAAAGUGAUACAAUUACUGAAAUAGGGAUUAAAUUCUAAAUUAGGUAGAAAGAAUUUACCUAAUCUGAUAUGACAUUUAUCAUGAUUUGAAAGUUUUGUAUUAAAAUGCCAAUUUCCCCACACGAGAAAUGUCACAUGUAUCACAACUUGUUAGGAUCAUUAUUUAUAAUAAACAUAAAAGCAGAUGUAAAUCAUAUCCCUCAUUUGACUCUCUAGAGGCAAAAAGAGGGAAGCAUAUUAUACUCCACUUAAUACAUUGAACAUAUACUCUUCCUUUUUCAAUUGUAUAAAAUAUUCAUUUAAGAUAAUCUUUAUCAUGAAGAAAGCUAAAAAGAAACUUAAAGGAAAAAAUGAAAAAAAGGGGAAAAUGAAAGUUUAAGUUUUACAGAAGAUCCUUAUACUAUGAAUUUUUUGUAUAUCUAGUCCUAUAUAAUUUAAUAUUUCUACUCCUAUUUUACCAAACAGGUAUUUUUAGUUUGGAUGUCAACUUUUUCUUCUAAUUUUGCUAAAUAUUAUAAUAGGAUAUAGCACUUGACUGUACAUCUACAUUUUGUACAAUUAGAUAUUAUUUUUGUAUAUUUAGAAAAAGAAUAAAAUUAUAAUAAAGUGUAUAAAAAAAUGCAAAAGUGAUAAUGUAUUUAAAUAUUAAGGUAAAAUUAAUCUCAAGUUAGACCCAUGACAACCCACUACCUCUACCCCUAUAAGCAUUACAAAAAAGUGAUUGAGGGUUAAAAAUUAUCAAAGUAUAGAAAAAGGACUAAAUCCGAAAAAAUGAAAAAUGCAGAGUCCUUUAUGAAAUUUUACCAAAAUGAAAACGGAAACUUAAACGCGGAGAGUACAGCAGUAUUCGGGUCUUUGGUCAUCUUCCUCUUCACGCGGCAUCUUCCUCUUUAAUCGCCAUUUUCGCUUUCUCUCUCAUUAUAUAUCUUUAAAAACCAUUCUUCAACCUAACAAAAAAAACCACAGCAACAAAAAAGAAAACCAUACAAACAAAUCCUAAAAGACUCUCUUUACAACGUAAAGAGCAAAAACCCCAACAGCAAAACGUGUAGUAAUAAGGCAAAAACACGGUAGGGAAGGAAGGUUGUUAAUAUAUACAUAUAAAAGUUAUAACGGAAGAAAGGUCGAACGAUUCAAAAAAACCCAACGAUGGCUAUGAUGUUACGGUCGCUCGCUAGGCCGCUUGAACGUUGCCUUGGGUUAAGGGCCGGUGGGGAUGGUCUCAUGUGGCACACUGAUCUUAAACCUCAUGCUUCGGGCGAGUACUCAAUCGCCGUCGUUCAAGCCAAUAAAAACCUUGAAGAUCAAGGCCAAGUCUUUACAUCUCCUUUAGGUACCUAUGUUGGUGUUUAUGAUGGUCAUGGCGGACCCGAAGCUUCCAGAUUUGUAAACAAGCAUCUUUUCCCAUUUCUCCACAGUAAUUGUUCUUUGACCCUUUUAAUCUUUUUCUUAAUUAUUUUUCUGGGUUUUUUUUUAGAUUAUCUGAAAUGGGGUUUUCUUUGCGUCUAAUUUUUCAAGAUUCAAAUAUUCUUUUGUGUUUUAAUGGUCAAAGAGAAUUUUGGGUUUUUGUCAGUUAAUGAUAUUUUGAACAACUUACAAAGUGUCUAUCAUGCACGUUUAUUUAGUUAUUAUUUGUGUAUCUGAAUGAAUAUGAAUUACUUUGUCUAAAUAUAAAUCUUUAUGCGUUUGAAAUUGGAAUUUGGUUCUCAAGAUUCUAAAACCAUUCAGUUUAAUUUCAAUUUUUGGCACCUUUCACCUCCUUGCUUUAUUGGGUUUUGUCAGUGAAUGGUUGUGUUCUUGUUUUAAUUUUUCUGUCUUAAUUGUAGAAUUUGCUACAGAGCAAGGGGGAUUAUCUGCAGACGUGAUAAAGAAGGCGUUCAAUGCUACUGAAGAAGAGUUUUUACAUUUGGUGAAGCAAUCAUUGCCCGUAAGGCCUCAAAUUGCUUCAGUUGGAUCAUGUUGCCUUGUUGGUGCGAUAUCCAACGAUGUGUUGUAUGUGGCGAAUCUCGGCGACUCGAGAGCAGUUCUUGGCAAAAGAGUUUCGGAGGAUAAGAAAAACAAGGUUGUGGCAGAGAGGCUAUCAACAGAUCACAAUGUUGGAGUUGAGGAAGUGAGGAAAGAGGUUGAGGCUCUUCAUCCUGAUGAUUCGCAUGUCGUGGUUUACACUCGCGGAGUUUGGAGGAUUAAGGGCAUAAUCCAGGUACUUAACAAAAUCUAUUGGCAAACCCAAUUAUAAGAGUUUUAAGUUGAAUCAGACAGGUUGAAGAACAGUUCAUGUUUUGGUUCAAUGAAUUCGAUGGAUAUACAUGUUUCUUUCCAUCAAUUGCUUGUAUGUUUGUAGAAAAGGUAUAUUUACAAAACAAAUAAACAUUGUGCAUCCUCUGAAUCAUAAUGCUAAGCUUAUGUGACUAUAUGGAGUCUUCUCUCUUUUCUUUUUCGGGUUUUUUGGGUUCCUUUUGUUGAUUUCUUUCCCCUUUAACUUCAGCAGUUAAAUGGUUCUCUGUAAUGGAUAAUGUUGGUCUAAGCAUUGAACUUGUUUCUUUAUUCAGGUGUCAAGAUCUAUCGGUGAUGUUUACUUGAAGAAACCCGAUUUUUAUAGAGAUCCAAUCUUUCAACGAUUCGGAAACCCUGUUCCCCUUAAAAGACCAGUUAUCACGGCAGAACCCUCCAUCCUUAUUAGAAAGCUUAAGCCCCAAGACUUAUUUCUGAUAUUUGCAUCAGAUGGCCUAUGGGAACAGUUGAGCGAUGAAACCGCGGUAGACAUUGUUUUCAGAAACCCCCGAGCUGUGAGUAUUUACCUUUGUCUUAUUGGUUAAUUUAGUCUUCAUUAGCAGCUGGACCGAAUGACAGAGUAUUGAUUUUAAGUUUGCUUGUAUUACUUGCAGGGUAUUGCUAAGAGACUGGUAAGUGCCGCACUUAGAGAAGUUGCAAAGAAAAGAGAGAUGAGAUACGGCGAUAUUAAGAAAAUCGAGAAGGGAAUAAGACGGCAUUUCCAUGACGAUAUAACCGUGAUCGUCAUUUACCUAGAUCAACACCGAGGCUCUUCACAUAACAUAGUUAAACAUAAUGCCAUGGGGUGCACGACGGCGCCAGUCGACAUCUAUUCAUACAAUGCAGAUGAAGGAUAUGAAGGAGAUUUACUUCAAACAGUUUCUUGAAUACACAACAGAAUGAGUUAAUAUUAGGUUUAGCACACUGACUUUUUAUUCUUUUUCAAGUCUUAUUCAUGUAUAGAGAAACCAAAUGAUGGGGUGGGAUUGGUUCUUAAACCAAUGUUUCAUUGGGAGAAAAAUCGAGAGUUUGGAAGGUAAUUUUAGUCACCUCAGACGGAUUCCGACACAGGCGGCUAUAGGUGUUCCGGUUGAAGUUCUAACGGUUACCGAAAAGGCUACAUUGUUUUAUUGGUUUAUUAAAUUCAUUGCUUAUAUUAUAUUUAAUUCGAAGUGAGUAACUAAAGACAAUUAAUUACGUUAUUAAUUUUUCUUGUCAAUUAUACAUAAUUUUGAUUGGUGUAAUAACAAAUUUAACCCUUAAUAUUUAUAUAUUUUGUGCAAAUGUUGACAGAAUAUGUAAAUGUUGUAGGUUAAUUUCGUUAAAUCGUGAUUAAAUUGACAGAACAUGUAAGUGUUAUGGGUUAAAUUUGUUAAAUCAAUGUUAAAUUGACAAGAAGUAUAAACUUUAAGGGCGAAUUUUGUUACUAUACCGAUAGAAAAAGUAUAAUUGAUGAAAAAAUAUUGAUGUUAUGAUUAAUGGUCAUUAGUUGCUCACUUUUAAAAUCGACAAGAUUAAAUUGUUAUAGUUUUUUUGAGAGGGACCAAUUUGUUCAAAAUGAAAAUUGAGAAGAAUCAAAAUGUCAUUGUACCUGGUUCUUAUACAUACCAUAUCUAAGUUGUGAAUUUAGUUUUUGUACAUUAAUUUACUCAAUUUCAGUCUCUUUACUUUUUAAAUUUAAAAUUUUAGUUAUGAUUUAGAUUGUAAAUUAAAUUCGUUUCAUUCUAUUAUGUUAUUAGUCUUAUACUAUUAUUACAGUUGUGAAUUUAAUUCAUGUUUUUUAAUUUUAUCAUUUUUAGUCGUUAUACUUUUCAAAUUUUAAUGCAAACGAAAAUAGUUAAAUCCAUUAAACGUAGGUUUUCUAUGUGUGCAAUAUAUGAAAAUAGCAAAUUGCAACUAUUAUUUGAUCGAGACUAAAAUUGAAUAAUACAAAAAAUACAAAAAUUAAAAUUAAAUAAAUUAAAAGAUAGAUAUUAAACUCACAAUUUAUUCAUAUACAUAAACUAAUAACAUAAUUCUUAAUACUCUUAAAUUAAAAACAACACUUAAUAAACUACGAGAGUUAGGUGAGAUGACAAAUAUCUCUCCUAUAUUAACCAGUGGUUGAAAGUUUGAUCCUCGCAUUGGGUAUAGAAUAACUUUAAAAACUCGUAGUCGGCAUCUAUUAUUUUAAUAGACCUAAAAAUGCGGAGAAUUAAUUACUGAACUCGCUCUAAGCAUGACAUAACACGACAAAGUUGGCUUGUAAUUUGUAUAUCUAAACCAAAAGGGAAAAAAUGUUUUGCGAGACAAAUUCCUUAAACUGAAAGACAUGGGAAUUUUGGCAACUAGAUAGCAAUAACCAAACUUGUUAGGUGAAACGAACCAAACUAAAGCACAAAACGACAAUCAGUUGCGCUAAAGUUAGGAUGUCUUGUCACUUUUAAAUUUUUAUUAUACAACUUGCUUCACUAAACAAAUACUAUUUAAUGAACUUUUUAAUAUUCUUACUCUACUUUUCAAUAAUUCAUAAAGCUAAUAAAUAUAUUAUAUUCUUUCAAAUUACUUUUCUUUAAAUUAUUUUUUCUUUAUUUUAAUUGAAAAUUUUUAUUGUAUUAAUUGCAUAAAAAUACUCAAAAUUUUAAUUUAUUCUUUAAUUUCGAAAUAUGUUUAAACGUUAAAACGUUAAUUUUGAUAUGAUGUAAAGUACAUUUAAAAUGCCCGAAUUAAAUUGUAAAUUUAUGUAUACUUACAUCAUUAAUAACUUGGAUCUUACGUAUUAAAAAAAUAGUGUUAAUAAAUUUUAGGAGGGUUAACACUUUUAACUGUUAGAACGAUUUUUUUAAGUAGAAAUCAUGUUGGUACUCUAACUAGAAUGGUUAUACUUUAGUUACUUGGGUUAACUGUUAAUAUUAUAAAAAGUAGAAGAUUAAAUUACAUUAAAUAAAAUUAUGGAGAUUAAAUUUUAAAUUUGAGCACAAUAAAGGGACCAAAACUAUAAUUUAACUCUUUUUAAAUUCAAUAUUUUGUUGAAGGAUUAAAUUGGGGUUGAACUUGAAACCUACUUCUAUAUUGGGGCUUGAACUUUUUUUUUGUCUAAGUUGCUCCCUAAACUUAGCAAUUUUUCUCAUAUUGAAGUUUGAACUAGGCCAUUGUUCUAAGGGGCGAAGCCAAAAUUUUUUUUUUUGGGAGUUGGAAUUAAAUUGUAUAUUUUUAUGGUAGUAAGAAUGUAAUUUUACCAUUUUAAUAGCCUAUGUCAUUAUAAUUUUAAAGGAUUAAAUCAAUUUUGUAUUAUUUAAGAGGUUAAAGUUCAAAUUUAUCAUUACUAAUUUAAAAUUUUAUAAAUUAUAAAAAGUUUAAAUAGAAAAUUUUUCAUUUUAGGGGGAACUGGGGGCCUUGCCAACCUCUCUGGCUUUGCCAUUGAUUGUUUCCAUAUUGGAGCUAAACUUGACAAUUGUUCCUACAUUGAUGCCUAAGUUUUAGGGUUUUCAAAGAAACAUCAUGGAUUAAUUUGGAUCAAAAAAGGUUCAAGCCCCAAUAUAAAAACAAUUACCACAAAAAAAUUCAGGUCUCAAUAUGAAAAUAAUUACCAAUUUCAGGCCCAAAAAGGUGAUUUAACCCUUUGCCCAACCCCAUUCAAGUUACCAAACGAGAGGAAAAUAACAAAUUCCUAGAAAAUCUACAAUUUUGUGCGCUAAAAAAGAAAAUACAAAUAGUCGUUUCAGUAUAAUUUUCUCGGAAAAUAACCAAAACCCAGUCCUUUAAGCUUCAACAUCCAAAGAAAAAAGAAUGACUGCAAGUCAUUUGGUUGCUGAAUCCGUGUGGAAAACAAUAGAGUCAACUCAUUCAGGUCUUUCUUUUUUUCCCCCCUUAUUUAUUCUUUCUAUGUAGAAACUAAAUUCCAUCUUCUUCUUUUUUCCUUUUUUAAAUCCCUAAAUUUUGUGAUCUUAUGACCCAAAUUGGCCAGUAAAUGAAGAGCAACUAUCAAUGUAAGCAAUACUCAUUUUCUUUUAAAUCUUUUAUUCUUGGGCUUUUUAAAAUAAAAAUAAAAAUAAAAAUGGUGGGUAUUGAUUAAUUUUGAAUUUUCUUUUAUUGUAGCUUGCAUUUUCUGUUUGGUAAAAACUUCGAGAGAGCAACAAGGAUAGUUGACCAAAGGGGUGUCAAGAAAAUCUCCGGUGAACCCAGCGGUCGUUUUAUCUUUCAGGUUCAUUCUCUUUGUUGCUAUCUCAAUUUUUGAAUAUUGGUCGAAUUCUCCUAUUAGUCCAUGCACUCUGCAUAAAUUGCAGAUUUAAUCCAUGUUCCUCGAUUUAAUGUUUUUAAUGAUUUGUUUUUCAAAUUGUAAUUUUAGUAUCAUGUUAUAUCUAUUUAAUUUAAUUAUUUUAUUUCAGUUAAUAAAUUUCACUGCUAUUGGAUAUAAGAAUAAAAAUGAUAAAAUUUUAGAACAAAUAUUAAAUCUAUAAGGUUAGGACAGAAAAAUCCAAAUAUUAUAAAAUUAAAAUUGACCAAAUUAAAAUAUGUAGACUAAAUCUGUAAUUUAGACUUAGUAUAUAUACUAAGGGAAGAAUUUGUCAUAGAAUAUUUGGACGAGUUGUCGGCUACCUUAUGUGUAAAAUAUGGUCAUUUUGGCAAAUAUUCCAUUUUAAGAACUUUCCUGGAAACUUUUCUGAAACUGUGAGCCUUGAGAUAAAACCCGAAGCAGAAUUGAGACACAUCAGUAUAUAUCCAUUUGUAUAUCUCAAUAUAUAUAUAUAACAUACGCCUGUCUAGUUAGAAUAUUUGGACAAGUUGUCGGCCACCUUAUCUGUAAAAUGUGAUCAUUUUGGCAAAUAUUCCAUAUUUAAGAACUUUCCUGGAAAAUUUCUGAAACUAUGACCCAUCAAGGCUCUUGGCAGAAUCGUGAGAUAAAACCUGAAGCAGAAUUGAGACACAUCAAUAUAUAUAUCCAUUUGUAUAUCUCAAUAUAUAUAUACAGACGCAUGUGUAGUUAGAAUAUUUGGACAAGUUGUCCUCUACCUUUUCUGUAAAAUGUGAUCAUUUUAGCAAAUAUUCCAUCUUAAGAACUUUCCUGGAAAUUUUUCUUAACUAUGACCCAUCAAGGCUCUUAGCAGAAUGGUGAGAUAAAACCCGAAGCAGAAUUGCGACACUUCAAUAUGUAUCCAAUUGUAUAUCUCAAUAUAUAUAUAUACAUAGGCAUGUCUAGUUAGACUAUUUGGACAAGUUGUCAUCUACCUUAUCUGUAAAAUGUGAUUAUUUUAGCAAAUAUUCCAUCUUAAGAACUUUCCUGGAAAAUUUUCUGAAACUAUGACCCAUCAAGACUCUUAGCAGAGUCGUGAGAUAGAACCCGAAGCAGAGUUGAGACACAUCAAUAUAUAUAUCCAUUUGUUAUAUAUAUACAUACGCAUGUCUAGUUAGAAUAUUUGGUCAAGUUGUCAUCUACCUUAUCUGUAAAAUGUGAUCAUUUUAGCAAAUAUUCCAUCUUAAGAACUUUGCUGGAAAAUUUUCUGAAACUAUGACCCAUCAAGGCUCUUAGCAGAGUCGUGAGAUAAAACCCAAAGCAGAAUUGAGCCACAUCAAUAUAUAUAUAUCCAUUUGUAUAUCUCAAUAUAUAUAUACAUACGCGUGUCUAGUUAGAAUUUUGGACAAGUUGUCAUCAACCUUAUCUGUAAAAUGUGAUCAUUUUAGCAAAUAUUCCAUCUUAAGAACUUUCCUGGAAAUUUUUCUGAAACUUUUUUUUCCCAUUGUUUGGUGCUUUAGGUUGUGGGAGAAUCUAGAAGAAAAGAAGAAUAUUUCUGUUUUGCUGAACAUUAUUGUGCUUGUUAUUCAUUCUUUUAUGAUGUAAUUAACAGAGCAGAACAGCUUUGUGUAAGAUUUCUUUAUUCCUUUAUUCCCCUUAUUUUAUUGCAUUUAAUAUAUAGGUAAAAUUUUUGAAAUUGAGCAAAUUGGUCCCUCUAAAAAAUUAUAGCAAUUUAUCUUUGUCAAUUCCAAAAGUGAGCAACUAAAAAUAAUUAAUCAAGACGUUGAUAUCAUUUGUCAAUUGUACAUAGUUUUGAUUGGUAUAAUAACAAAUUUAGCCUUGUUAUUUACAUGUUUAUACAAAUAUUGAGUUGCAUUUAUUAAAUCAGGACAAAAUUGAAAGAAUAUGUAACUUUGAGAGCUAAAUUAUUUAUUAUACCAAUCAAAUUUAUGUACAAUUGAUGAUCAAAAUAUUAAUGUUGUGAUUAAUUAUUCUUAGUUGCUCACUUUUGAAUUAAAACGGAUUAAAUUACUUCAAAUUUUUUAGAGGAUUCAAUAUGCUCAAUUUACUUAAAUUUUUUUAGAGGAUUCAAUAUGUUCAAUUUUAAAAUUAAAAGGGAUUAAAUUACUUUAAUUUUUUUAGAAGAUUCAAUAUGCUCAAUUUCAAAAUUGAGAGGGACUCACCUAUAUAUAUUUGCUGUAUUUUCAUAUUUUGUUUUGCUUUUGUGUAGUGUAAGCAUCAAUUAGCUGCAAGGCUUGCUGGAUCAUUGGGAGCUUGUAUUGAAGUUAAAGUGUCUGAUGAACAGCUAGCUGUAUUACUUUCUGAGCUCUAAAUUUUUGUAGUAAAAUCGUAGCGGGUCGGAUCCGAAAUUUAAUCUAGUUGGUUCAUGCAGUUACAUUUAAAGAAAUGACAUUCAAUAAAUAUGAUUCAAUUUUUGAUAAAUAAAAAUAUUGUUUGUAUGUUUAACAACAAAAAGAAUGAACAAAUUAUAAUCAUCAAAUCAAGGAACAAUAUUGUGAGUUUUCAUCUUUUUAAUCCAUGAAUUGAACGACGUUUUCGAGUUUCGGAACCCGACAAAUCCAUGUUCUUUGCUCUUGUUCAUGCUAUCCAACAGUGACUUCCCCGAAAGCACCGAAUCAACGAACUGCCAUGCUCCGGCAUUGCUCAAUUUCAUCGGCAAAAGACCGUUCUCCCUCACGAUGUUGUCCCACACCGGACCUUUGUCUUUCAUCAUUUCAACCAAGCUUGGCACCUUCUCUUCGGUUUCUUGAAAUCCGUAGUGUUCGAUACCGAACUGGUCAGCUAACACUUUCCAUAAGUCCUUCCACUUAAACACAUCUCCAUUGCUACAAUUAAAGGCUUCGUUUUUCGCUCGCCGGCUCAUUGCUGCCCAUAUUUGAUGUUCUGCAAUCAAAUCCGCAUCCGAUGCAUCCCAGUACCCUUCCCACGCUUGUCGGUUCCCCGGAAACCUCAACGGCUCGCUUUCAUGCUUACAUAUCGACGCGUAAAUGCAUAAACUCCGAACUAUAUUCAUCGAACUAAACGGAGAAAACCCAAAAACCAAUCCCGGCCUAUGAACAGACCAUGUCAAGUUCUCCUUCUGCUUCACUUCUUCCAACAAAACAUCCUCGAGCGUAUAACACAAGUUUGACGACUUAAGCCUCGGAAGAUCCUCGCGAAAAGGAGGAUCAUGGGGCUGAACAUGAUAUUUUCCGUACAAAUCAAUCGGACCGGUGUAAUGCCGACGACCGGUUUGCAAGCAUAUAUGUUUCAACUUGGGUGAAUUCGGGAUUACCGCUUUCAACACGUUCCGUAACAUAGUACCAUUGAUAACGCAGUUUUCAUCUUCAGUUGAUCUCUUAUCCCAUGCAACAUAAAACACAUGAGUCACAUCGUUAAGCUUUGAUAAUUUAUCACAUGUUUCUUCUUCAUCUAAAACAUCGCAUUGUAUGUACUCAAUAGGCAAAUGACUAGUCGAGGCUGGUCGAGGCUGACGAGCAACACCGUAGACCUUCCACGGUCCGCCGGGAAUACCGGAGAACGGAAGAAUCUCGGCGAGACUGUUACCGACUAUGCCGGUGAUGCCAAUGACCAAAGCAACACUCUUGUACUUGGAUUGUUUAUCAUGUUCUUCCAUUUUCUUCUGUAAAAAAAAAAAAAAUCUGGGUUCAUUAGAUUAAAUGCAGAGAAAGAGAACCCAAAAAAAUGAAUGAGCAUUAACGUACCUUGGCAGCACCAAUGGCUCCUGCCCACCACCAACUCAUUGUAUGUUUUUCUUUUGCUGUUAAUGAAAAAAAAUGCUGAAUUACAUCCUUAAACUUUGUCUGCAAUGUUUUUAUAGUGAUCCGCUUUGAUAAAAGUGACGUCUGGGAAUUUAAAAAAGGAAAAAAAAACCAAUCUUAUCUAUUUACAUGUAUCAACUACAGCUCAACAAGAACUUGUUAUCAAUUUGAUUUCUUUAUAAUAAUAAUAAUAAUAAUAAUUUUAGUUGGGAUAAAUUACAAGAAUAGUCACUCUUGUUUGUCUUAGAUUAUAUUUUAGUCAAUUAUGUUAUCGUUUUGUUACGAAGUGGUCACUCUACCGCUAAACUCCGUUACCUCCCUAGCGGUAGUUCUACGUGACAGUUAAAAUUAAAUUUAUUUAAUUAAAAACAUAUUUUCAUCCCAGUAGCUGGACAUCCAAGUUGGCAUUUAAAACAUGUUUGGAUUGCUACGUAGGACAAUCGUUAGGGAGGUAACGGAGCUUAACGGUAGAGCGACCAUUUCAUAACAAAAUGAUAACAUAUGUGACUAAAAUAUAACAUUUUAAACAUAAAUGAUUAAAAUGUAAUAUGAUUCAAACAAAAGUAACUAUUUUUAUAGUUUACCAUUUUAUUUUUAAUUUGUUUGAAUAAACAUGGAUACAACACAUAUAUUUUAUAUAAAAUAAUUUAAGUGGCGGAAUUUUUUAAAAGAAAAUCAGAAAGGACGUGGAAAAUGGGUUAAUUGGUGAAUAUGUGUAAAUCCUUCAAUAAUUGAAUUGGUCAGCCAACACUUAAAGACUAAGGAUUAGACAGCUAGUAAACACAUCAGCAUAUAAUCAAGCUUGCGUGGAGAACCUAGCGUGUAAGGAAACAAUACAUCCUUAUCUAUUCACUAAAUCUUCUAAUGCUAUGAAAAAAAAGGAUAGAAUUUUGUGAAUUUUAUAAUUGGAAAGUUUAAGGAUAGGAAAUUAAUAUGAAAUUUGGCUUUUUUGUUUUUUUAAUUUGUAUUCCAAGUUAGUUUUUUACUAUUUAAGUCAAACAUUUCUAUUGGGUAUUGUUAAAUUAACAUGAGUAUUAUUGUUAAUAUAGAGGAAUGUGUGUUUGAGUGCGUUGAAGUGUUAGGUCUGUUCUUGACGUUUUUGGGCCUUAACAAAACAAUAAAAUGGGUUUCAAGUUCCUUAAAAGUUGAAGAAAAAAAAUUUGGUCCCUAAAAGUUGGUAAAAAAAAUUUGGCCUUUAAAAGUUAAAAAUAAGAAUUUUGGGCCCCUUAACAAUUGGAGAAUAAUAUUUUAGACCCCUUUCAGCCUUGGGCUCUGGGAAGCCGCACCUCUAGACGACCUCUAGAGCCAGGCCUGUGAAGCGCAUUAUCCUCUUAUUUAUGGGUUGGAGUAUAAUCAGAACCUAUAAUGAGAUUGUUAAAAAAAAUUUUAAAACAAAAAAGUUUUAAGAUGGAUUGUGAAUUUAAGGUUUUUUUUUAAUGGUUACAAGUUGCUUGGAAACAAAAUAUUAGUAAAUCAGAAUAGAAAAAUAAAUAAAUAAAUAAAUUGAAAACAAUUAGUCUCUCGAUAUGAUAAAUUAAUUUUGUUUAACAUUCGUUGUAACGACGGUUAGAAAGAAAACAAGCAGCGAAAAAAAUAAAAGAAGAAAAGAAUUGACACAACCGAUCUUUGUUAAUACAGUUUAGACACAGUGGUCCUAUAUUUGCGGAGCCUCUCCCAGUGAAUGAUUUUAUUCAACAAUCGUUCGGAUCACCUAUUGGCUUAAGCCCGAUUACCUUUACACAAAGAAAUAAUUCAAGCUUCAAUAUUGACCCCAAUUGUCACAAAUCACUCACCCAAAUACCUCACAAUAUGAUAGACUUUAAACUCCUAUUUAAAAGUUGAAAUUAUCCCAUUAAUUAUCUUUAGUACCCCAGGGUGAAUCAAACUCAGUAUAAACGAAACCUAUUUAAGGCCCAAGUCAAUAACUUAAGUAGAGAAACAGUUUCGUUAUAAUUGGACAUAAAACAAACAGCAAUUUUCCCAACAAAAACAUAAUGGGGAGAGCGAGACUUAUUCCUAAGUUGGCAAAUGCAAUUGCUCAGCUGUUUGUUUCAUGCAAAACUUAGUUGGCAAUUAACAAAUUCAAAUAGGCUCAACAUCUUUAACCUAUGGAUAGAAUUUCUAAUGCCAAUUUGAAUUCCUUCCUUCCAAGAAAUCCUUCAACAUUUUUAUCUCUUUGUGCAAGCAUUAUUGUAACAAGUCCAUCUUCUUAACUUUCACUAGAGAAUCUGUGGUGAUAUGGAGUUUACAGUAAACCCUAUUCGAAUGGGGAGUAACAAUCCUCUUUUGUCCGAUGAUUCUUUUGUUUUGGGUAAGAAUUCCAAAAUUCAUUUUACAAAGAGUAAACGAAAGUUGUGUUAUUGUUUAUGGGAAUACAUGAAAGUAAUCUAGAGUCGAGCAUUUUAUACCAUUUGUCUUAUAGAAUUUUGGGUUAACUUCGUUUGGUCGGUAAAUUUGACGAUAUAUGUCAUGUUAAUCUUUCUAAAAAAGUAAAUGGUGAAUUACAUUAAUGGUUAUCUAAUUAUGAUUUUUUUUUAUCACCCAACCAUAAAAAAUUACAAAAUAGUUAGUCAAUUAUUAGUAUUUUUUUUAUCAUCCAAUUAUAAAAAAGUGACAAAAUAAUCUUCAUUUUCAUGUUAACCGACUAAUAACUAAAAAAUUAAUUGAAUAAUUAGAUGAUCAUUUUGUAAAAUUUUCAUAGUUAGGUGAUAAAUGAAACUAUAAUCUGAGUGUCCUCUAUUAUAGUUUUGAGUAUAUAAAUAAUAAAAUUGCACAUCCUAUUUGAUAUUUUUGAGCAAAAGAAAAGAAAAGAAUAAUGAACUUGGAUACAUGGUAUUAGAGCGACUUAUGAUUGCAAUUGCACAUCCUAUAUGAUAUUUUUUUAGCAAAAAAAAAAAAGAGAAAAGAAUAAUAACCUUAAAUACAUGGUAUUAGAGCGACCUAUGAUUGCAAUUCCACAUUGACUUCCCAUAGGAUGGAUCAAUAGGUACUCCAAGUCAAACUCCUAAAGUGUGCAGUAGGAGAAAAUAACAACAAAACCCAUGACAAACGCAACACGAGUUUAGAUGGAGAAGAAUAUUAAGCGAAACACUAAAAAAAUUAGAUAACAUUAUUAAUCCCAUAUCAAAAAACAAAUAAGAAAACAAGUAGACUUGUACGCUCUAGGAAAGCAUAUGACUAAUAUCACUAGGGGGGUUUAGCUAGGUACAGCUGAUGGUCCCAAGUUGAAAGGGACUCUUGAGUAUCGCUGAUGUUUUGACCUUAGUCCUAUAUAAUAGGGGCAAAACACUAUCUAUCCGGCGCGUCCACACCCAAUGAGAUAGAUUUUUGGUCACCUAGACUGAAUGGUCUAUGGACGCCUCUAAUCCAGCUGACUUAUCCUAUUUUAUACACAAAAAUGUUGAAAUCUCUAAAUAAUGAAGAGUAAACUAAAAUCAAAUAGCUUCCAUUAACAAGACAUGGGGUUAGAGCUUAGGGUUUAGAAUUAAUAAAGAAUCAUGAUUGCAAGCCAAACCUGGAUCAUUCAUAUACAUUAGAUGACAAUGAUAUCUCUAUAAGUUUUAGCAUUAAAACUAGGUUUGAGGAAACAUCAAAACAGAAAAUCCAAUUUGCAGACAUAAAAUACUUCAUUAAUUACAUUAACAAAAAGCUUAUCAAACAUUCCUUUGGAAAACAAUUUUGCAAAGACACUGUUAACUGCACAUAAUGAUUUAUAUUUGACUUGUAUAAAAGCAAUUGUACAUACCUUUUCAAGAUUUUCAAUUCCCCUCUUUCUUGUUUCAUCUGCUAUAUAAUACAAAAUUCCCCAUCAGCUACAUGCAUAGCUAAAUAGAGCUUUAGGCAUUCAAAAAGCUAAAGAACACAUGUUGGCCUCGAGGAAACACACAGAACCGUGCACAACGUCACAUUUCCACUUUCUCAGCAUGCUCGAAUUGAUGAACACAACGAACAGUGCUAACACAAUACUAAAAAGGUUUUCUUUAUGGAAGACAACUUUCUAUGACCAUUUUUCCACGACACGCUCUGAUAAUCUAAUUUCCUCAUCCUUGGAAAUAUGUGGAUCUAGCUUCUGAAGGUUGUCAAUAAAUGUCUUUGCCUCAUCACGCUGAUUGAGUUUACAAUAUCCAUCAACUAUGGAAUUGUAUGUAUUCUGGUUUGGUUUACAGCCGUGCUUGAUCAUGAAUUGGACAACAUCUAUGGCUUCCUCAAACAAGGAAUCAGCUGCAUAGCUUGCAACAAAGGUAUUGUAAGUGAUAACAUCUGGAACAAGGCCAGAAUCACCCAUUUCUGAAAAUAUCCGAGAAGCCUCUUUCAUUCGACCGUUUCUACAAUAGGCAUAAAUAACAGUGUUAUACGAGAUUAUAUCUGGUUUUAUUCCUUUUGCCUGAACUUCCCUUAAAAUUUGUUCUGAUUCCUCGAACUUUUCAGAGCGGCUAUACAUAUACAUCAAACUGUUGUAGGUCGUCAAGCUCGGAGUAUACCCACACUCAUUCAUGAAGUUCAAGAUCUCAUUUGUCUUGGAAACCAUCUGCCUCCUGCCAUAUAUUGAGAGCAUGGCAUUUAGAGUAGUUAUGUCAGGUGGAAAUCCUUUCUUCCUCAAUUCCAAGAAAGCACGCUCUGUAUCCGCAAGAAGGUCGCAUUUACUAUUAACCAAAACAAGAGUCUUUAACAGCACAGCAUGAGGUUCGAUGAUACCGGAGUAUAUCUCUUCCGCUAGGGCAUGCAUCCGAUCUACCUGCUUCCCAUUGGCAUAAACAUGAAGCAAAGAACAGUAGGUUAGCUCAUUGGGUUUGCAACGACCGUCUCUCAUUUCAGCCAGUAUUUUCUCAGACUGCUUCCAAAGCCCUCCCCGUGCCAAUGCCGCCAAAACAGCAUUAUAUGUAGAAAGGUCGGGGGUAACUCCAGCUUCCAGCAUUCUCUUAUAAAUAGCCAUGGCUUGAUCAAAAGCACCACAGCGACUGUAUGCACUAAUUAAAGUGUUGAAUGUGUCCCUUUCAGGUACAAACCCUGCCCUCUUCAUCUCCUUGAACACUCCAGACACUUCUACAUCCAUUCCAUUUUGCCCAAAUACUGCCAGUAGUGUAUUCCAAGUAACAAUAUCCGGUGCACCAUUGCAUGCCUUGAUCUCGUCAAAAAUCUUCAUCAUCUCAGUGAACUUCCCGCGGUUACCGUGCAUCUUAAUUAGAGCAUUGAAAGUGCAAAUAUUCGGCUUGCAACCAGAAGUUCUCAUCUCCUCAAAAACCGCCAUUGCAGACUCAUCUUUUCCGGCCUUGGCAAAUCCCGACAAAAGAGUGGUAUAGGUAAAAACAUCAGGCUUAAUCCCUUUUCCCUCCAUCUGUGUUUUCAAGUCCAUUGCUUCCUGCAACAGACCAUCCCUAGCAUAAGCGGAAAUCAACGAAUUAUAAGUCACAGUGCUAGGGGCAAACCCAUUAAGCUCCAUCUCUUUUAAAACCUCCAUAGCUUCCUUCGGACGCCGAGACUUACCAUAAACAUCCAACAAUGCAUUGUAAGUAACAUUAUCUGGAGUAAAACCAGCCAAUUUCAUUUCAUCGAAAACCGAAGCCGCUUCCUCAUGCAAAGACCCUCGACGACAGCUACUUAUAAGCGUAUUAUAAGUAUAAGCAUCAGGGGCAAUUCCAUCACUUUUCAUUCCAUCAAAAAGAGCCAUGACCUUACUCCAAGGCAUGCCCAUUUUACCAUACACAUUCAAAACCACAUUAUAAGUUAUCAAAGUAGGUUUACAACCCUCUUCCUCCAUUUUCUUAAAAACCACCAUGGCUUCCCUAUACCUCCCACUACCAGCAUAAGCAGUUAUCAAUGAAGUAUAAGCAUAAACAUCAAGACUAAACCCUUCUUUGUGCAAACCAUUAAACAAAUUAGCUGCAACAGAAACCCUCCCCUCUUUCCCUAACAUACUAAUAAUAAUAGCAACAACAGAGCUAUUCAACACCAAUCCACAAUCAUUUCUAGCUCUAACCCAAUUGAAAACACCCAAAGCCAAGUUAGAUUUCUUGUAAAAACCCAAAGCUUUAACAAUUCCCACCACUUCCGCAGCCAAAAAAUCAGCUUUCACAUCUGGGUUUUCUUGGUAUUGCUCAAACAACUUACUCAAAACAACAUCAAGUUGAUUAGAAUCAAAAGAAGGUUCAAUUAAGGAAUUAAGAACCUGCUGACCUUGAGCAGAGAGGUUGUUAUGAGUCCAACGCUUCCCACGGUUGACGUCACGUGACCGGCCGAGACGGUUCCGGGUCCGGACUUGUGGGUCGAUGGGUUGUUGGGACUUAGAAUUAUGUCGAAGAAGGAGGUCUUGAAAGACUGGAGUCGAGGGAGCAGGUGAAUUGGGUUGUGAAGUUGGGUUUUGUUGAGUGAAGUGAGUUUGGUUUGAUAAUGGGGUUUUAACAGGUGGGGGAUUUGGAAGGAGAAGAGGGAGAGCAAGCCUCUCUGCCAUUAAAGAGAGGAUAAGAAAGUUGCAGCCUUUGUAUCUAUGGUUGAGUUAGAAACAGAGAGGGAGAAAAAGAAAAGGGUAAUUGAUAAUUUUAGUGCGCUUUCGUUAUUACUUGCAGAGUCCACAACUUUUUUUUUUAGAAGUCUAAGGCUUAAAGGGGGACAUGACAAAGAUAUGCGGAGGAUAUUUUAGGAGGUAAAAGGGAGAUUAUAUUCUUCUGUGGUUAAGAAUGAACUAUUGAAAUACUAUGACCAAUAAAAGGUUGCCACGUAAACUCUGAAAGCGGACUCUUAAGUCAAAAUUGGUGACGUUUGCCCUCUUCAAAAUUAGUUCGAUUAGACAAAUUAUACUUAUUUAAACAUUUUCUCUUUUAUUUUUAUAUAAAAAUUAAUUUAAAGUGAAGCUUAAUAUUAUUAUAUUAAUAAUAUUUUUUAUUUUAAAAAAUAUUUAAAAUUAAUAAAAUAUUUAUAAUUUUCAAUAUUAUUAAUCAUACUUAUUUAAUUAUCUAUUUCUAAUCAUAUUAAUAACUUAUUAUUUUAAUAAUUUAUUUAAUAAUUUAAUUUUAUUUUAAAAAUAAAUUUGAAAAAUAAUAAUUUUAAAUAAUAUUCUUCAUAUAGUAUUGAAAAAUAUUCAAUGUUAAUAUUUUAAUAAUAAAUAUUUAUUACAAUUAUAAAUAUAUUACAGAUAAAUAUUUUGUAGUAUAAAUGUUAAAAUAUGUCAUAAAUAUAUAUACUCCUCACAAAUUUGAAAUUUAGUCCCUAUUCUUUUAUUUUCAAGAAUUUAAUCAUUCUACUGUUCAUAUUUAAAAAUCAAGUCCAAUUGUUAACAUUGUUAAAUUUUUUUUGUCAAUUUUGUUGAUGUCAAUUUUUAAAUAAAAAAUACUUGAUAUUCAUGUAACUAAAAGAUGACGUUACAAUUAACAUGAAUUUAACAAAAUAUUUUUAAUAAUGCUAUCAGAUGAACCUUAAUUUUGAUAUAUAAAAGGUAGGACUAACCCAAAAAUAAAAGCACAUGGACUAAAUUUCAAAUUUACGAAAAGUACAAUGACUUAUGACAUAUUUUAACCUAGUAUAAAAAUAUGAAUAUUUUAAUUAUAUAAAUUUGAAUAUUUGUUUAAGUAAUGUUUAGCUUCAUUUAUCCUUUACAACUCUAAUGUGUCAAUAUCUAUUCUCACAUAUCUAAUAUAUAUAAUUAAAAUUAAGUUUUAAUUAAGCAUUAUUUAUUAUUAAGUUUAUAUAUGACACUGAUUAUUACAAAAUAUUUUCUUAUUAUAAAAUAAAUUUCAAUUGUUAAAAGGAAAUUGCACUGUAAUAUUUUAUAACAAAUAUAUUUAUGUCAUGUUUGUUUUACAAAGAACAAUGUAAAAUAUAAAUUUAUAGAUAUAAAAUAAACUCAAUUAAACAAUGAAAAUAUAAGAAAAUCUCAUAUGUAUGUUUGUUUCAUUGAAAACAACUUUUAUGAAAUAUUUAUAGUAAAUCUGUCAAAUAACAGAAAAUAUUAAUUUUUCAAAAAAGUAAGUCAUUUUCCAGAAAUCAUUUUUCGGAAGUCAUUUUCAGUGAAACAAAUGGAACCUAAACUUGAAAAUCGUAAGUUAACUUGAUAUUUUUUUAGGCACCUAAUACUAUUAAAAUAUACUGACAUAACACUGACGAUCAAUUGGAUGGUGACACGUGAUAACCUCACAUUUUUUAUUAUAAAUAUUAUAUUUUUUUAUUUUGCCACGUGUCAAAAUAUAAGGCUAUCACGUGUCACCAUUCUAUUAGUAGUCAACGUCACAUCAGCGUAUUUUAAUGAUGUUAGUCAAGUAGCUAAAAAAACACAAAGUUGACUUAUAAUUUUUAAGUUUAGGUACCAGUCAGGGCCAAAAUUAAACUAUGUAAUUGAUAUUUAUGUCAUUAUUGUUGUUUAUUUGUGUAACUAAGAAUUGAUGACUUUAUUGUUUCAACCACUAAUUCGGUUUCCAAAAAACAUUGAUUCAAAGGAAACUAACCUAAACCGAACUAUAUAAUUGAUGUUUAUGCCAUUAUUAUAUAUGUGUUUAUAAUAACUAGAAUCGAUAACUUAACCGUUUCAACCACCUCUUCCAACUUCUAAAAAAAACAUUGGUAAAUGGAAGUUAGAUUAUUUUCAAAUCUUCAAGCUUUAUAAGUUAUUGAAUCGAGUGAUAAAAUACUUAUUAAUUCAUAAAAAGUUGAUGAAUCGUUUGAAAAGAAAGAAAAAGAAAAAGAAAAACCAAUGCUAAAAAAUGCUUGUUUCUUAUUUAGAAGUCCAAUUCAACUCAAGUUGUGUUUAGUAUUACUUUUAAGAAGUAUUUUUGAGAAAAAAAUACUUUUGAGAUAAAAACAUUAUUAAAUAAAAUGCUAAAUUGACCCGCAAUCGAUACCUGUGGGNNNNNNNNNNNNNNNNNNNNNNNNNNNNNNNNNNNNNNNNNNNNNNNNNNNNNNNNNNNNNNNNNNNNNNNNNNNNNNNNNNNNNNNNNNNNNNNNNNNNNNNNNNNNNNNNNNNNNNNNNNNNNNNNNNNNNNNNNNNNNNNNNNNNNNNNNNNNNNNNNNNNNNNNNNNNNNNNNNNNNNNNNNNNNNNNNNNNNNNNNNNNNNNNNNNNNNNNNNNNNNNNNNNNNNNNNNNNNNNNNNNNNNNNNNNNNNNNNNNNNNNNNNNNNNNNNNNNNNNNNNNNNNNNNNNNNNNNNNNNNNNNNNNNNNNNNNNNNNNNNNNNNNNNNNNNNNNNNNNNNNNNNNNNNNNNNNNNNNNNNNNNNNNNNNNNNNNNNNNNNNNNNNNNNNNNNNNNNNNNNNNNNNNNNNNNNNNNNNNNNNNNNNNNNNNNNNNNNNNNNNNNNNNNNNNNNNNNNNNNNNNNNNNNNNNNNNNNNNNNNNNNNNNNNNNNNNNNNNNNAAUAUAUCUUAAAUUUUAUUUUAUUGUAAUUUUAUAUGAAUUGAUUAUAAUUUUAAUUGACCGAAUAUAUAUCCUUUAUUAUUUAUAUUAUAUUUGUACUUGUAAUUUUUUUAAAAAUUUAAAUUAAACAUGCCCUUUUUUUAAAAAUGUAAAUAUAAAUAUUUGUUUAUAUUAUAAUGUGUUUAUAAUAAGAGUCAGAUUAUAUAUAUAUAUAUUUGUAAUAGAGUCAGAUUAUAUUUUACAUCUUCUGUUCGAAAAAAUUGGAAAAUUAAUCAACAGAUAAAAAUUAAAUCUAUUCUUAUUAUUAAAAAUUAUUUAAUUUCUGAAAAAAUUCUUAUAGGUAACCUUUUAGAUCUUUUUUAGCUGUGUUUAUUAAAAAAAAUAAAAAAAUAUAAAAGUAGUUUUUUUAGAGUAAAUGUAAAACUUUAAAAUAAUUGUAAUAUGUAAAAUUAAAAAUAUUAAACUAUUUACAACCGUCGGAUUAAAAAUGAUAUAUUUUUGAAUGAUGAUGAAGAUCGAUUCCUGAUGUAUAUAAAUACUGCCUUCUAUUCCCUUCAGUCUUCGCUUCACCCACUUUCUCAUUUCACACGGGUUGUGGCGUAGUUUAAGCAGAGAGGGUGCGCAGGAUAAAGCUAUUCACCAUUGUUUCAACAUGAAGGUUUGUAAUAAAAAUUUGUUUCUAUCAGCAUUGCUUUGCAUUGCUGUUGCAGGAGUUUUGGGUCAAGCUCCUAGUAAUCCUCCUACGUCUACGCCGGCGCCACCCACACCACCGGCUUCUACUCCUCCUCCGACGACUCAAGCACCGCCUACACCAACCGCCACUCCGCCACCGGUUUCUACUCCUCCUCCCACUUCAUCACCGCCCCCAGUGACAGCUUCUCCACCCCCAGUUUCAACUCCUCCACCCAGUUCUCCUCCUCCUGCAACUCCACCACCUGCUUCUCCUCCUCCUGCAACUCCACCUCCAGCUUCUCCACCUCCUGCCACUCCUCCACCAGCUUCUCCACCUCCCGCCACUCCACCACCUGCAACCCCACCGCCAGCAACUCCUCCUCCUGCUACCCCACCACCAGCUCCAUUGGCUUCUCCUCCAGCCACAGUCCCAGCUAUCUCUCCAGUACAAACACCAUUGACAUCGCCACCAGCUCCGCCGACCGAGGCCCCAGCACCUACCCUCGGGGCUGCUACGCCAGGUCCAGCUGGAACUGACACGGUACAUUUUCUCUUAUUCCACCAUUUUAUAUCCUUCUUCUCCACCUACGAUCAAGCUUUAUUAUCGGUUGAAAUUUAAGCCUUUACAGCAAGACUUAAAAUAUAAUUUUAUUAAUGGUUUUAUAAUAUUAAAUUAUAAUUUUAUCAUUCUUACACAUUAAUAUAUAAUGUGAUAAAAUUUUUUACUUUGGGUACCGUGCCAACUUCCUAACGUCGCCCUUAAUCUUACAUAAACAACGAUCUGAGCUUGUCUCGAUAUUAGCUAACCCUUAAGCCAUUAGAGAUGGCUAUUGGUUCCGUCUCGACAUACCUUCAACAUAAUCUGAUUUAAAAUUAAAUACUUAUAUCUAUUUUUUAACACAAUAUUUAAAAUUAUCUAUAAUUUCUUCUCAACUUAUAAUUAAAAUAACAAUACUUCAGCGUAUUCAAAUUUACGUACCUAUGUUAAUCUAAUUUGACAAUAAUAUUUAUGUUAAUUGAAUUAAAGCUUGAGAUAUUAAAUUUAAUUAAGACUCAACAUUGACGACAGUACGAUUCAACGUAUUAGAUUUAAUUAAUGUUGAUUUUGAACCUAUUAUUGCAGAGUGGAGCAAAUCAAAUGUGGACCGUACAAAAGAUGAUGGGAAGCUUAGCCAUGGGAUGGGCUCUGCUCAAUCUGAUGGUUUAAAACAAAAGAGUGCCUCACAUUUGAUGCAAUAGCUCUGUAAUGUUUCAUUCAUUUGCUUAUUUCGGCCUUGUUUUUCUCGUAUUCUAUGGGCUGAUGUCUCAUAUGGGACUUUUCUACUAGAGAGCCUACGUUACUUUACCAUUAUAUUGUAUUCUUUGAGACAUUAUUAUUAUUUUUUUACCUUUUGAGGACACUCUUUUUUUGUAUUUGAAGGAAUUUAUUGUUUAUUUUGUUUGGAAUAUGUUUGGUUGGAUUUAUUCGAUUCAUAUAUAUUAUAUAAAAGUAAUUAUGUUAUUAAGAAACGUAGUAAGAACUUACAAAUAUAAGGAUCGAAUCCCGAACUUCAUGCAAAUCAAUUUACAACCCACACAAGUUUAACAUUAAAUUAACGUGAUUGGUUAGUAAAUUCAUGUUUCUCUGUUUAAUUUGUUGAAUUCUUAUCAACUUUUUCAAUUAACAACAUGGAUCACAUCGACUGAUUGAAUCAGUUAUCUAAUCAAUUGAAUUAGUUAUCUGUUGUAAACUUGUGAAAAGAUAAUAAAAAAUUUAAAAAUUGAUAAUUGAAUUCACGAUCUGAACAAUUAAAUUAAAAAUGCAACAUCUUAUAACAUUGGGAGGAAGGGAAAACUGAUUUCUUAAGCAACUUAGGAUUGGAAGUGUAAUUAUAAUGUGAAUUACUUACGGUAGAAAAAGUGUGUCCAAAAUUGGAGAGCAUGCAUGUGGAAAGAAAUGAUUAAGAAUGAUAAUGACUUUAGUUGGUUAUAGUCAUAAAGACUUAUAGAUGAAGUUAAACCAUUAGGUCCACCAUUUAUGGGUUCCCUUUAUUUGCUUUGGAGUAGCUUUGAGAGUUGAGAUCCAUGGGAUGUGAGAAGUAGACUUUGAUUCAUUGGGAACUAGCUACAUUUUUCUUAGUCCUACCAUCAAUCCUAUUAGUGAUUAAAUUAUUAGUGGUAGCUAAUCCAAUAUAAUUAUUUAAUUAAUUAAAAUUUUAUAAAUAAUUUAUUUCUUAUCUCAACUUUUAAUUUUUUUAUAUAUUAAUUAAUUUUUUAUCUAGGUAAUUGGUUCGAAUAACACCAUAUAUUAUGAAUGAAUGUGUGGGGAUAGUUUGUUUUGUUGUUUUGUGAGAACUCAUGCUCUUGCACUUUUAAAGGACAAUCUCUAUAAACCGUAUUGGCUGUUGUGCUUUGGCCAAAUGGGUUGCUAACUAUCAUAUUAUUUUCAGUAAAAUCUAAUUGAAAGCCUUUCUCUUUUACGAUAGAAGUGCAUAUGUAAGAGUGUGUGUACCCUGAGUCUAUCAAUGCAUGCACACAAGAGUCAAGUAAAGAGAAAGUAUCAAUAAUAACGUCAGGUACAUCCUGCUCCUCUUGUGGCUUAAUACAAUAGCAUCGUUCUGGUACCAGAGUACUUGAUUUAAUCGGAAUCUCUUUCUUAGCUCUCUGACUACUCCCAGCAUUGCCAUUCCUAAUAAACUUUCUAUUUCUUUGAGAAGUGGGGGCAGAUCUCUCUGUUUGUGUAGGGUUACUGGCUAUCUUCUUAGCACAAUCUUUGAAGAGGUGAUCUUUGGAGCCACACCCAAAGCAUGCUCCUGUAACUCUCCAACACUCCCCAGAGUGGCUAUUGUUGCAGUGCUCACAAAUCAACUGAGAUGAUCUUCUCACUAACCUUCCUGUACUGGCCACAGAUGUCACCUGCUGUACGGACCUAGCUACUCAACCCUGACUCAGCCUCUGACCAUGCCUUUGAGUGUGAAUUGGUGUAGAAUAUGAUUGACCCUGAGAAUCCCUAGCCUUUUGGUAGCUGGAAAUGAUGCAUAACUAGUCUGUCCCUGACCUCGCUUAAUCUGGCUCCAAUUCUUUCUUUUCUGCUCUUCUUGCUUAACUUGCUCUACUUUCAAAGCUCUCUCCACUAAGGUAGAAAACUCUUGAAUAUUCAAAGCUGCAAGGGGUACCCUAAUCCCAUUAUUGAGGCCACGCUCAAAUCUUGCGCACUUAUCUGCUUCUAUAGAUACCAAUUCUUUGGCAUACCAGCUGAGUCGUAUAAACUCUCUCUCAUACUCAACAACAGUCAUAUCAUUCUGCUGAAGAUACAAAAACUCUGCCCUCCUCUUUUCUAAAUAGAUAGCACCAAUGUACUUUUUCUUGAAUUUAGCUAAGAAAAACUCCCAAAUCAAUAAUUCAUUAUUUGACAUUUUGAAACUAAUAAAAAAAAUUCCCCCUUUAUUUCAAAAACAAAAUAAAUCAUGUGACAAAAAAAUUUAAUGAUAUUAAUACAUUUUAAAAUUCACGUCAACAUUUUAACUAGAAUAAAAUAUUUAGUAUAAUUAAUAAUAUUAUAAAAGUUGAACUAACAAAUUAUAUAAAAAAGUAAAGUAUAAAAAUUUAAAUUUAAAUUUAAUCAUUAUUAUACAAUCUCAAAUAUAUAAACGGAUGAUAAUUGAAAAUUAAUUAUUAUUUUAAUGUAAAUAAAAUUUUAUUUUAUUUUUCUCCCUAAGCUAUUAAUCAUAACUUCUAAUUUGUCUGGAAUGAAAUGAAAUUUUAUUUUAGCCAUGGAGGCAGGGAACACGGUCAAGGAACAAGGUACAAAUGGUACACAAAACGUUGAGGUUCACUAGGGCUGUUGGCUAUGGCGGGACUUAGGGAUCAUGGACAAAUUACAAGAAACGAGGCUAAUUGUAUUUUGUCUCUUUAAUUUAAAAAAUGAGUAAAUUAGUCUUUAUAUAUUAAAUUAAAUAGUAAAUUAAUCAAUCUAUUAAAAUUUUUAUCUAUUUUUAUUGUUAAAAACUAAUUCCUAUAUGUUAGCAUGAAAUACACACGGUUAUUCCGUCAACCACAACCGAUUUUUAAUAGUAGAAGUGAUGAAAUUUUUAACAGUUUGCUCUUUGAUCUUACAUAUAGAGAUUACUUUAUCCAUUUUUUAAGUAAAGAGAAUAAAAUACAAUUUGACUCAUAAUAUAGGGACUUCCAUAAUACUUUUACCCUCCGCACCGAUAAGGUUUAUAAAAUAUUCAUGAAACCCGGGGAAAAUGAAACAUUAAGAGAAGAUAUACUUCAAUACAACUAUGCAAAUAAUCUUGGCCAUUCACAGAUUGAAAAAACAAUGAAAUUCCAAACGCUUCAUUCAAAGAGACAAUUCAAGAAAUAUGUGACUGAUGAAAAAAACUAUAUUUUGUAUUUACAUUUUACUUUCACCAGCACUAUGAAACUGCAACCAUACAGCAAUCAUUUAACACAUUUUACAGCAGGCGAGGCAAUAAAACUAGUUAAUUCCACCUCAUUUACCAUGCCUUGUAUUCAAAAAAAAUUCUCACAGAGGAUCACAAAUCCAUAAAUAUUUGGAAACCUGUGAAUGAAGAUGCUCAAAUUUGAGAUUAAUAGGCUUAAAGUAACGUAUGAAAAAUGAUUUGUACCUUGUAACUUCUGAGGGGUUUUACUCAAAUGCAGUAGCUACCAAUAUGAACCAUUGCCAACAUGUGAUGAUUCUAUCUAUGGUUUAUCAUACAUCCGUUCUCCGAAUCAUGAUGUCAGUGCCGCCAUUCUGCGCUUCUUCUAAAGGUGGAUUGCGUUCUCUCCCCUUUCAUCCUGAGGGAAUUCACAGGUUUCAGUGAUGGAUAAAUCACUUGGGGGGAUAAAACAAUCAACAGAAAGGCCUGGUAUGUUAAAGGCAACCUCUUCGAUCGUCCAAGUUUCUUCCAUCUUUGUUUUCGUAUGGUUCAUUGCAACUUCUCCAAACCUGAAAAGUGUAACGACGGUAUGUCCAGAAUGUGCUAUCACGAUACCUUCGACAGGAUGGUAAUCUUCGAGAAAUGUAUUGAUUGUAGUUUGCCAAUAAACCGUAUCACCGCCAGUAGAUUGAACGCGAGUUAAAUGUGAAUCUUCCAUUUGAACAAGUAGUCCAGUCUUCUGACUGAAGUAGCCAAAUAAAACAUGCCUUAUGAUCUCUGCAGGGCCUUCACUUCUUGCCUUGAGUGUCCGAGGACCGGCACAUAGCUUGAGGAUGAAGCAAUCUUCACCAUUAAUAUUUUUUUCUCCUAUGCAUCUUGCAUUAGCAAACAUGAUAGCUGUAGUUCUAGGGUCAAGACCCUAAAGCAGGAAUAUCAGAAAACUGAGAAGCAGCCAACGAUCAACAAUCGAAUAAAGGGAGGAAAUUUCUCACCUGAAGUGCACGACGCAAGGGUCUAACCGGCCCCUUUGCGGUGUGUGCACCAAGCCAAGGUGUAUACCUCCAUACAAGGUUCCCAUUACAACCAGCAUGAACCUUGCAGCCACUGACCGCAAGUUCGACAUACCACAUGUCCGGAUUCAUUUGCCAGAGUACAAACCAACCGGACUCGGCACCUCUAGAGACAUUACAGCUCUUAACAAUUCUCGUGGCGGUUUCGUAUUCACAAGCUAUCAUUUUGAGCUUUCCCAUUGCAUACGCAUUCUUAAUGGAGCUUUGUAACUUUUGAACCCCAGUGGCAGCUAUAUACUGCUGCAAUAUGUAGUGAGCAGAGGAAGUUUCCUGCACACCAUACCGCAAUCAAUGGAAAAAGAAUAGAAAAAAGAAAAAUUAAUAAUGGGAAAAGUGACAGCAUUUUAGCACUUGAAAUACAGCAAGGAAUAAACCCUAAUAAUGAUCCCUGCAGCCGUUAAAACCCUGUUUUUGCGCCUGAAAUUCUAAGUUCUAACAAUAUCUUUUGUAUCCAUCUGUUUGGAACCCAAGAAAAUUGUAUAUUUCUACAUGAUUUUUUGCAUUAAACAGGUAAUUAAAAAGAGAAAGAAUAAAAGGAGGACUAACAAUGGAAGUAUCUUUGAUGCUCAAGUGAGACAAAGGAUCAUUGGAGCUAACAUGAAUUGGAGCUAAAGGGGCGCCCAUGAUUCCAAGCAACAGCCUUAGAUUAGACCUUCUGUGGUUCGUGGAAGUACAAAACUGUCCUUUAACCCAUUGUCCUGUCACCGACCCAACCCACUUCGGAUCCCCGGAUUUCCCUCGGUCCGGCUCCGGACCUUCCAUGAGAGGAGAUAACGCUUCACCGACUGGCCUUACAGUCCCGGAUCUCGCCAUCAACGGUUCCGGUUUCACCACGUGAGCACCGCCAUGGUGGUUGUCUUUGUUUCCACGUAACGUAGUGGACAUGAGUGAAAGGGGUCUUGCAGGGCUGUUGGACCGCGAGCGGGAAGGUGAAAGCCCGCGAACUAUAUCUUCUUUGAGAGCUGAGAGAAAACCUUGCUUUUUCUCCAUUACUGGCCUGGUUCUUUUUCCUUUCCUUAAAAAAUUCAAAAUAAAUAAGUUUCCUUCUCUGAUUUGGAGCUGAAUAAAAAAAAAAGAAAACCAGAGACAAGAAAAAGGGCGAAAGUAUUAGAGAGGAGAAGGUGAGUGCCCAAGUUCCUUCAUGAUUAUGGAGAGAGUAAGAAGUGAGAACCCGAGAGCAGAAAUAUAUGCAUGUAUGCAUAAUAUUUAUCUUCUUUAUUUCAAAAAUUAGUAAAUUAGGCAUUAUUCACUAAAUUAGUAAAUUAAAAUUAGUAAAACUUACGUGUCACUGUUUAGUUAUUUUAUUAGUUAUAUCAAUUUUAAUAAUAAAAAUUGAUAAAAUUCUUAACAAAAAUGAUCAAUUCACUAUUUGAUCUAAUAUACCGAGACUAAUUUUUUCCUAUUUUUAAAUAGAGAGAGUAAAAUGCAAUUAAACACUAGUACAGUAGCCUAGAACCAACAAGUGUUGGUGCAGUGGUAAGGCAUACUGCAUUUUCAGAUAAAGAAAUUGGAUUCAAACAUUAGAUAUGAUAUUAUUGAAAAAAUCAAUCACAAAUUCAGGAAAGACUAACUUUCAUGAACCAUGAAACCGACCUAAUGAUAUCUCAACAAAACGACUAGUUUAAUUAUAAUAUGAAUUAUUGAUGCUAAUUUAUGUUGCACCGUGAGCGAAAAAUGUAAUAUUAAAAUCAUAUUUAUAUAAAAACUAAUCAACAAUUGAGUUAUUGUUAAAAUAGUAAAGUAUUUAUGAUUAAAUUUUAUUUAAAUAUUUCACAUAAAAUAAUUAAAAAAAUAUUAUUCUAAAUAUUCAAUCUUUUAUUAAAUAAAGACUUCUAAGCAAUUUAUUUGAUUAAAUUGGUAUACAUUAUAUAUAAUAUAAAUACCAAAUUUCAUAUAAAUAUAUAAUACAAAUAAUAAUUAGAAAUGAGAAUUUAUACGGAUUAGGUGAGCCACUUUUUUUCCUAUUACGUUUAUAGAUUUAUAUAUAAUAAAUUUUAUAUGUAUUAUUUAAUUCUUAUUUUGCACUUAUAAAAUGAGAUAAUUAGUCGAUUGAGUAUUAGCUUAACUGAUAUGAACAUUAUUACCAGUGUAAGAGGACGCGAGUUCGAAUGCGCUGAAAUGUAUUGUCCUCCUAUUUAUAUGUUAAAAAAGAACUUUGAGUAAUUUUAAACAUUAGUUUAUGUUAAAAAGAAGAUACAAUAAAAAUACAAAAUAAUUAAAUAAUAAUAAUAUGGCAGAACAAAUUGGGAAAUCCAAAGCAGAGUGUGAACAAAUUAUAUAGGAAUGGUAUUGAAAACUUAGUCGUAAAAUUAAAGCAAUAUCAUGACAUUGGUUAUCUUAGAUUUGGAACUUGUUGCUCUUACCAAACAAAUCCUUUGUCCAAUCAACAAAUUUCGUGAUGUCAUGAUGUGACUAAAUUAAACUAAAUUCGAUGUUUUUUAAGUAAAGUCUCGUUUUUAAGUUAUGUGGAUCUAAAAAAAAUUAUUUAGGAGAAUUUUAUUUCGAUUUAGGAAUUUAAUUUUUACAUUUAAUCGAGACUUAAUAUAAAGUUAUAGUAUUUGGGAGGUUCAUAUAUUAUAGGGAUUGGAUUAAAUUAGUAUCUCUAUUGUUAAAUGAAUUAAUUUAGUCCAUAUACUAUUAAAAAUAAUUAAAUAAGCCUAAAUUGUACCAAAAUUAACAUUUAUUGUAUAAUAAAUGUCUUAAUUUUUUUUUCAAUCACACUUCAAUUUUAAAUAAAAGAUUUAAUUUAUAGAUCCAUAAAAAGUUUAAAAUUAUUACUCUAUUAGACAAUAAAUGAUAUUUUUUAAACAAUAAAUGUUAACUCUGUUCCGGUUUAGCCUUAUUAGAUUCUUUUUAAUGGCAUAGGGAUUAAAUUGAUCCAUUUAAUAGUAAAAGAACUAAUUUGAUUAAGUUCCUAUAAUAGAGGUCUGAAUUUUGGAAUUAUUAUCGUUAGAAGAGUCUUACCUGAAUAGCACCCUCGGCCUAAAUAAGGUUAAGCUUAGAUUGUAAAACGAACGAAGGCACCCGUAAUUAUAAGAAAAAAAGUUCAUUGUAUAAAUAUAAUUAUAACGGCUAAAUCAAAUUAAUCCAUUUGUUAUUAAAUGGAUCAAUUUAGUCCUUAUACUAUUUAAAAGAAUCAAAUAAAUCUAAAUUACAACAGAGUUAACAUUUACUGUAUAAAAAUGUCUUGAAUUUUUUUUUCAACUACAAUUUAAUUCCAAAACCAAAAAUUUAAUUUACAAAACCAUGAAAACUUUAAAAUGUUAACUUUGUUUCAAUUUAACCGUAUUUAAUUCUUUUUAACAGUACCGAAAUUAAACUGAUCCGUUUAAUAAUAGAGGGACUAAUUUGAUCACAUCUAUAUUCACCUAUAAAAUUCUAACCCUUUUCAUUAAAUUGUAUUUGUACUCUUUUCGUAAAUAUGUUGAAUGCGUAGAUGGUGAAUGUAACAUUCCAUCCUCUACUUAUCUUUAAAUUCACAACACGUUAUAAUAAACACAUCUCACCUUUCACUUUUUUUUCUUAAAAUUACUUUGCAACAACUUGUUUUACUGCAAAUUAUGUCAUUGAUUAUUGUUUGCAAGUAAUCAUAUUAUCAUUAUUACUUGGCUUUGCUUAAAAAAUAUAGGGUAAAUUGUUAAAAUAGUCACUUUUAUUUUUCUCAAGUUAUAUUUUAGUUAUUUACGUUAAUAUAUUGUAACAUUUUAGUCAUUGAGUCAUUAAUUGCUAUUAACGGUGUAACGGUAAGCUGAUGUGGUACAUUAAAUAAUCAUUUCAAACAAAAUUUUUAGGUUAAAUUACACAAUUAGUCCCCAUAUUUUUUUCUUUUAUGUUCUUUUAAUUUUUUUUUCUUUAUUUCCAUUAUCUUCUACUUAUCCCUCUAUUUUCCUUCCUCCUCCAUCUCUUUUAACAUAAAAUGAACAAAAUUAAAUUGCUCAAAACGAAAAAAAUAUAGGGACUAAUUGUAUAAUUUAACCUAAAAUUUCCAUUUAAAAUGAUGAUUUAACGUGCCACGUCAGCUUACCCUUACACCGUUAACGACAAUUAACGUUCGGUGACUAAAAUGUUACAACAUGAUAACGUAAGUGACUAAAACGUAACAUUUCGAACAUAAGUAACUAAAAGAUGACCGAGAGAAACAAAAACGACUAUUUCGAUAGUUUACCCAAAAAUGUAUAUUUUAUAAUUAUUUGAUGUUGUUUUUAACUCUAUCCAUAUAUUUAAAGUUUCUAACAAAAUGACACCUAUUUUUUAUAAAUGUAAUAAAAAUAUUUAACAGAAUUUUAAAUUCAAAUGCGAAUAUUUAAAAAAGAUGGUAUGAGAAUCCCGUGUGUUGGCUUGAUGGUCAGGGUGUUCACCACCCUAGGUGUGAUCUGGAUUCGAGUCGCGUUAAUUAUGUUGUUGUUAAGGAUUUGGUCUCCAAUUGUAAUUAAAAAUAAUUGCUAUAAAUUGUCACCUUUAUCUCCCUUUUUUGUUUUAGUAAAUCUUAGUUGUCCAUUAAUUUUUUGUUUUUGAUGUGGAAUUGUGGGGUAUUUUGGACGGUUUGAGUCUUCUUAUUGAGUAAGGAUAUGACAAGGUGCUUAUUCAGUCUGACGGUUUUGAGGCAAUCAUCCAGGUGAAUCCUCCAAAAGGGUCCAAUUCUUUCUUGAUUUGGAAGAUCCAUCAGAUGUUAUCCCGGUUUAGACAGUGGAACAUUAGACACAUUUCUAAAAAGGAUAAUAAAGAAGCUGACUGCUUGGUCAAAUUGGUCCAACAUAUAUCACAUAAUUUACUUUUGUUUAAGACUUUCCCGUCGGAGGGGAUAGUCUAGUUUUUGUAAUUAGUUUAGUUAUGCUAUUUUUUUCACCAAAAAAAAAUCAUGGUCAACAUCUAUUCUAUUAACGAGCCUAUAGAAUGCGGAGGAUUAAUUACUGGGCUCGCUCCGAUAGAUACUUAGAAAAAUAAAAAUGAUAAUAAUAUUUUUUUUAAUAUUCACACAUAGCUUGAAAUUGUAAUUAUUUUAUCAAAAGUGAGGUUUUUGUAUAUUUAAUAGUAAGCACAUUAUUACCCAAAUUUAUUCAUGGAUUAUAUACACAAAUAUGAAUUUUUUUUGGGAAAUUAGGUGGAUUUAUGCACCCAAAAUAAAAAUGUUUAUAGAAGAUUGAGUUAAGCUUGAAUACACAUAAAUUUUUUUAUUUGAUCCGGUUUAAAUUAAAUUUGUCCGAAUAUUGCAUAACAUGAUUAAUCUAAUCGAUCGACGUAUCUUAUUAAAAGAAAAUAUAGGUGAAUAAAAUUGUAUAUGAAUCGGUCGAGUUAAAUUUGACUACAAAUAAUUUAAUUAUUUUAUCCGAUUUAAACCAAAUUUGUUGGCAUGUUAGAUGGGAUGAUUAAUCCAAUCAAACAACGUAUCUAUUAAAAUAUAGACAAAAUAGAGGGAAAAAGAAGAGAAAAUUUAGGUGAACAAACUGAUUUUAAAUAAAAUUAUUUAUGAAUUCAUCAAAUUAAAUUCGAGUCUUGAAUCAAUUCAAAUGGAAUAUGUCGAGCUAAAUGAUUAAUCGAAUCUAUAACCGUAUCUAGUGCAGAUUAACUAAUUAAUCUAAAUAAAUUGUUUAUAGAUCGAUCGAAUUAAUAACAUCUAAAUGACUUUUUAUUUAAUCUAAUUUGCUGAAUCAUAUGCUCGUGCCUAACUAAAAUGUACUAAAAAAAAGUAGACAAUUUGAUCUGAAAAAAUUACGGAUCGAAUUAAAUUUAAGUGUGAUUCUUUUUUUUUAAUUCAAUUCAAUUUAAAAUUAUUGGAUUGGAUUAUCAACCUAACUUAUAGAUAAAUCGGUUGAAUUAAAUUCUAGUCGAAUAUAUAUAUUUAUUACAUGUGCUAAAUUUAAAACUAAGACAAAACAACAAGGGGCAAAGAUCAAUAUUUGAAUAAUUAAAAAUUUUAUUUAUAAUUAUUUAAGGAUUUUAUCAUCAAAACGAAGGGCAAGUUUCGUUUUUUUUUUUAAUGCAUGAAAAGCUUAAACAUAACAUAAAUCAAAUAAUCAAACAACACUACUUCAAGCUUUAGCAUUUUUGGCUUCCUCACCGUCUUUGGUCUUCACCGAAACAUUUUUGGACGCCCCAAUUGGUGUCGAAGUUGCUGGCGGAGGAGGAGUUGGGACACGAGCCACCUUGGAUGGCAGUGCUUGAGUGGAAGGUGAAGGGUUGUUAAUCUCUGUUGCGCUGUACGAUUCGAGAGCUAAGUUGUUAUCAAAAGACCUGAAAACAAAUUGCGAGAGCUUCCUUUGACGACGAUUGCGUAUUGAAGACAUCAUAAGAGGAAAAACAAGAAGAGAAUAAAAAGCAAAGGAGAUUUUGAUAUUUUCUUGCAAUACAUAACACAAAUGAAAAAUAUAGACAUCAAAUUUUUUUAUAUAAAAAUAAAUUUAAAAAAUAUAAUAUAUCAAAUACACCAAAUAUUUUAUUAAAAAAUAGGGUACAAAAAUUACCUUGUAAUGUUAUUCUUUUUCGAGAUUAUUUGUUUUAGUUAUUCAAUUCAUUUUUUAAUUUUAUAUCAAGUUUCUUUUCAUUCCAUUUUAACUUGUGUUCAUAUUUUUUCUUCUUCCAUAUUUUUAAUAUAUUUAUAUUAUAUUCAUGUUUUUGUUAUAAUUAUAAUCAUAUGUUAGAAUACAUAAACUUUUAUAUAACUUUCACAUGUUAAAUAUUUGGUAUCUAUUAAACUCCAUGUGUUGAUCUGAUCGUGUUCAUCGCCUCAAGUGUGGCCUAAAUUUGAGUCGUGAUAGUCAUAUUGUUAUUAGGGCUUUACUCUCUUGUAAUUUACCAAAAAAAUUAUUUGUUAUAUAUAUAUAUAUAUAUAUUUACACAUUGUGUAUGCAUGUCGUAUUUAUAUUAUUUCCAUAUUGUAUUUUACUUUUUAUAUAGUUUGUCCUAGUGAUUAAAUUAAAAGAUUAAAUUAAAAAUAAGUUUUAUGUAUAUUUGUAUUGUAUUAUAUUUGAUAUAGUUUUUCAGAAUAAUUCAAUUGUUUUAAAAAUGAUUUUUGUGUUUGCCUUAUGUUUUAAGUUAUUUGUACGGUUAAAAACCGACAUACCUAAGACAUAACUAGUUAGUGACACGUGGUGUGCCACAUGUACAUCAUACUAAUAUAUGAAAACCAGUUUUUAAGAGUAAAUAUGGAUGAAAUUUUUAACAGAAGGACUGCUUUGCUUUUUUAUCUAAUGUACAGAGACUAAUUUACCUAUUUUUUAAUAAACGGGACAAAAUGCAAUCUGACUCUUAUUAUUGGAGCCUCCAUAAUAAUUUUAUUGGGAAAUAUUUAUUUAAAAUUGGAUUUUUUGGUCCGUGGAGCUCAGGAUAAAUAUGUGGCAUAAAUAAGAAAUGUGAAAAUAAAUAAAAAUUAUAUCACGAUAUGAAUAUAUGAAUAUAAAAUAUUAAUUUAAAUAAAUAAUAUAUAUACAUACGAGUUGUAAAAAUUAAGUGUGAUGUAAUCGACGUUAUAGAAAAAAUGGGUAAAAAUACCAUAAAGGACUUAUACUAGGAGUUAAAUUGUAUUUUACUCCCUUAACUAAAAAAUGAACAAAUUAAUCUUUGCAUGUUAGAUCAACAAGCAAUUUGUAAUGACCCAAAAUUCAUGGGCAUCGGAAAAGUAUAAUAUCGGGCCUCCGUCCUAGUAAAUUGAGUCCGAAAAUAAUUAUUAGAAAUAUUUACGAGACUAGUAGUGUGUUUAAUUAGGUUUUAAUUAAGUAAAUUUAGCUUAAUUUAGAGUAAUUAGUAAAAAGGAUUAAAUUGAAUAAGAGUAAAAGUUUAAUUAUAGAUUAAAGGAAAAUAACAGGGACCAAAUGGGCAAUUAAGCCACAUUUGGAAGUUGAGGCGGCAUAACAUUGUAAAAAUCUUAGAUUUUUAUAUUAUUAUUUAUAUAAAUAUAUAAAUUAAUUAUAAAGUAUAUUAUUAAAUUAAUUACAUUAUAAAUAUUAUAUUAUUAUAUAUAAAAGAAACAAAACAGAAAAGAAACAGAAUAGAAAGAACAAAGAAACAGAAUAGAAGAGACGAAACAGGGGAGAAGCAGGGGAGAAAGAAGAAAAAGAAGAAAAAAGGGAAAAUAGGGUUUUUGAAGCUUGAAAUUUAAAUUGGUAAGUCAAAUUAGCCCUUUUCUCUUAAUUCUAAUGUUUUAAAAGCUUUAAAACAAAGUUUUGAUGGAAUUAAGUUGAUAUUUUGUAAGUUCAUAGGUUUUCAAGUAUAGUUUAUGUUGAACAAAAGAGAUGAAUUAGGGAUUAACUUGAAGGAAUUUUAAGUUAGAAUUGAAAAAGGGAUUAAAUUGUAAAAGAAACUAUAAGUUUUAUGUUUUAGGGACUAAAUUGAGGGAAAUUCGAAAUUACCAAAAUAUGCUGAAAUUUUGAUAGUUAAAUUUUAGUUUGGAUGAAAUUUGAAUAGAAAUAGAGUGUGAAUUGAAUUAGGAAAGUAAGUGAAUUUAGUUAGGAUUAAAUUGAGAAUAAGAAAGAAAUUGAAUAGAAAUUUAAUUAUUAUCAUAAUUAGUGCUGAAAUUAAUAGUAUAAAUUAUUAUCAUUUUCGUAGCUAGCAAAGAACCAGAAGCGUCGGCACGGAAGGGAAAAGAGAAGAUUAUCGAGGAGUAAACUCGAGAAAAUUACGGUUUGUAUUACUAUAAUUCAAAUUAUUUAUUUUUUUUUAUGUUAAAUUUUAAUUUAUGUGUCUAGUAAAUGAAAUGUGAGGUAAGUAUUAAUAUUAGUAUUAGUAUUAUUAUUAGUAUUAUUAUUAUGAGUGGGAAUUAAAUUGAAUAGUUGAUAUGAAAUAAUAUUUGAAUUGUUUGUUGAUUGAAAGCGGGAAAUGAAUUUAAAUCGAAUAGUGACCGAUAUUAAAUUGAAUGGAAAUGUAUUGAGUUGUGAAAGUAUGUUAAUUGCGGAUUAAUUAUUGAUUGAAAGGUGGAAAAAUGAUUGAAUUGAAAGUGUGAAAAAGUGUGAUUGAAUUGAGAAUAUAUGUGAUUUAAAUACCCUAUUAACUAGUCGGGCUGAGUCGGAUAUAGUUGGCAUGCCAUAGGAUUGGAAGAGUUCAGGGAUACUUCGACCUCGAGUCGAUGAGACACUGGGUGUCACUAUAUUUCUUCGGAUAGAUUCGAUGAGGUACUGGGUACCAACUUUCUUCGGCUUUGCCGAUGAGACACUGGGUGUCAACUAUUGCUUCGAACUAUCCGAUGAGGCACUGGGUGCCAUUCUGGUGUGUUUGGUUGGAUCCGUGUAUCCGCCAAAGUCCGAGUUUUGUUAAUAGGGUAAAUGAUGAAAUGAUAAACCGAACGAGUUGGUCAAACGAGCUAUUGAAAUGAUAUGAAAAAGUUGAAUUGUGAAUUGAAAUGUGAAAUGAGAUUGAGAAAUGAACCUAAGGUUCGUGAAUUAUUCAAACUCAAAUUGUGGAUAUACGAUAUUGGUUGAUGAAUUGCUAUUGUUGAAAUAUUUAAUUUAAAUUGUAUAUACGAUUUAUGCAUUACAUGUACAUUAUUGUUAUAAUUUGAAUUAUGGUAAUACCACUGAGUAUGAAUUACUCAGCGUACGGUUGUUUCCGUGCGCAGGUCAAUAGAAGUCAAAGGUCCCGGUUCAGCAUCCAGAUUAAUCCCGGCUUCGGCAAAACUUGGUGAUGUAUUUUUCCUUUGGUAAAGGUGGCAUGUACAUAGAUUGUGUAUAAAGGUUAUUAUGUUUUAUUAUAUAAUGGUUAAAAAUGUUAGUAUUAAAAGUUUAUGGAUUUUAAUGAAAGAAGUCUAUCUAUUUUAUCUAAUUAGUACAUUGUUAAAUUUUAAAUUGGUAUUGUGUAGAUUGAGUUUGAUUAGAAGUAUUUAGAAUAGAAAAUGUGAAUGUGAAAUGAAUUGGUUGAAUUGAUGAUAUUUGGGAACUAUAUGGUUUUAAUUUGCAGGGGGUUUUAUGUAAAAAUAAGCAGAAAUGCUGCCGAGAUUUUUAUAAAAAAAAAAUGAAGUCAUUUGGUAAACAAAUUAAUAAAUUUUAUGAAUUAUUUUAAUAUAUUGGUUAUUUAUUUAAGAAUUGUUGUAAAUCGUUCGAUACGUCCGGUAAUGCCUCGUAAUUCUGUUCCGGUGACGGUUCGGGGUUAAGGGGUGUUACAUUUUAUGGUAUCAGAGCUAUCAGGUUUAGCCGAUUCUCGGCCUAAAUCGAGCUCGGAAUUGAGUCUAGAUGUACAUGCCACUGUCGAGUUAAACUGAGUCGGGAUUUUUGGAUGCUGACCUAUUUGUUUGUUUUGUUUUAUAGAUUAAAGAUGUCUGAAGAAAGAAUAAAUGAUACUGAUGAAAGAAUGUAUAGUGAAGAUAGAGAAUUAGAUGAAACAGAAUCUGUUGCACCGAGUGUGAAUCCGUUAGGCAACCAACCUUCUAAUGUAGAACGAGAAAAUGUCAGAGAUAGAGAUGAAUCCCAAUUACUGAGAAUUAUAGCUGAUGCAUUACAAAGAGUAGCAGGAACUACUCCUGUUACGACUUCAGUACCUACUGUUAGACGGGCUCCGAUAAAGGAACUGAGGAAAUAUGGUGCCACUGAAUUUAUGGGUCUAAAAGGAGUUGAUCCAUCCAUAGCUGAAAAUUGGAUGGAGUCGACUAAAAGAAUUUUGCAGCAAUUGGAUUGUACCCCCCGAGAGUGUUUAAUCUGUGCCGUAUCGUUAUUACAAGGGGAGGCUUAUCUAUGGUGGGAAUCAGUGGUUCGACAUUUACCAGAGAGUCAGAUAACGUGGGAUCUAUUUCAGAAGGAGUUUCAAAAGAAAUAUAUCGGAGAGAUGUAUAUUGAAGACAAGAAACAAGAGUUUUUGUUGCUACAACAGGGUGAUAUGUCAGUAAUAGAUUAUGAGAGGGAAUUCUCGAGACUCAGUAGAUAUGCCUCUGAGUUUAUUCCGACAGAAGCCGAUAGUUGUAAAAGAUUUUUACGGGGUUUACGAGACGAGAUCAAAGUGCAGCUAGUAUCCCAUCGGAUCACUGAGUUAGUAGAUUUGAUUGAACGAGCUAAAAUGGUGGAACAAGUUCUGGGCCUCGACAAAAAGACUGAAGUUGUUAGACCAACCGGGAAGCGUACAGGAACUACCAGUUCGAAUCCUCAGCCGAAAAGACCAAAGGAAUUCCAAAGUGGUUGGAGAUCCAGUUUCAGGUCAGACAGAGGUGGUAGAAGUAGGGGAAAACAGACGAUGACAUCUACUGGCAGUGUGAGAGGUCCUUCCCGAGAAAUAGAUAUUCCAGACUGCCAACACUGCGGAAAGAAACACAGAGGGGAAUGUUGGAAAUUAACUAGAGGCUGUUUUCGAUGUGGUUCUACAGACCAUUUCAUCAGAGACUGUCCGAAAGUUGAUAGUACUGUACCCGUGACAUCACAGAGAUCGGUAUCUACAGCUAGAAGCAGAGGGUUAGGAAGAGGUGGUUCGGUUUCAAGGGGAGGAAGUAUUAGGAGAAGCAAUGAUAUUGCUACUCAGCAGUCUGAGGCUAAAGUACCUGCCAGAGCUUAUGUGGUCAGAACACGGGAAGAAGGUGACGCCCACGAUGUAGUAACAGGUAUAUUCUUACUAUAUUCUGAGCCUGUUUAUGCUUUAAUUGAUCCCGGAUCUUCACAUUCUUAUAUAAAUUCAAAAUUAGUUGAAUUGGGAAAAUUUAAUUCUGAAAUAUCUAGAGUGACUGUAGAAGUGUCGAGUCCGUUGGGGCAAACAGUAUUAGUGAAUCAGAUCUGUCCGAGAUGCCCGUUAAUUAUACAAAAUAAAACUUUUCCUAUUGACCUGUUGAUUAUGCCAUUUGGAGAUUUUGAUAUAAUACUGGGGAUGGAUUGGUUGGCUGAGCACGGAGUGGUAUUGGAUUGUUAUAAAAAGAAGUUUAGUAUUCAGACAGAAGACGGGGACAGAAUUGAGGUAAAUGGUAUCCGUACUAAUGGGCCGACACGUAUUAUUUCGGCAAUAAAGGCUAAUAAAUUGCUUCAGCGGGGUUGUACAGCGUAUUUAGCCUAUGUUAUUAAUUCUGAUUUGGUUGGUAGUCAGUGCAGUAAGAUUAGAACCGUAUGUGAGUUUCCAGAUGUAUUUCCUGAAGAGCUACCGGGUUUACCACCUGACAGAGAGGUUGAAUUUGCUAUAGAAGUGUAUCCGGGUACAGCACCAAUCUCUAUACCACCGUAUCGAAUGUCACCCACUGAGUUGAAAGAGUUGAAAGUGCAGUUACAGGACUUGUCAGAUCGUGGAUUUAUUAGACCGAGCAUUUCACCUUGGGGAGCUCCAGUAUUGUUUGUUAAAAAGAAAGAUGGAUCGAUGCGGCUUUGUAUUGAUUACCGGCAGUUAAACAAAGUGACGAUCAAGAACCGGUAUCCGUUACCCCGUAUAGAUGAUUUAUUUGAUCAGCUAAAAGGAGCUUCAGUAUUUUCAAAGAUUGACUUAAGAUCUGGGUAUUAUCAGCUGAAGGUAAAAGAAAGUGAUGUUCCGAAGACUGCAUUUCGUACUCGAUAUGGUCAUUAUGAAUUUUUGGUGAUGCCGUUCGGGUUGACUAAUGCUCCAGCUGCUUUUAUGGAUCUGAUGAAUCGUAUUUUUCAGCCGUAUUUAGAUCAGUUUGUGGUGGUUUUUAUUGAUGACAUAUUGGUUUAUUCGAAGUCAGAGUCAGAGCAUGAUCAGCAUCUCAGAACCGUGCUACAGAUUCUGCGAGAAAAACAGUUGUACGGGAAACUAAGUAAAUGUGAAUUCUGGUUACCAGAGGUAGUUUGUUAGCUGAGUUAAGAGUCAAGCCGGUGAUGUUUGAUCAAAUCAGAGCAGCACAGUUAAAAGAUGAAAAGUUGAUGAGGAAAAGAGAAAUGGUACAGUAUGGUGCGGUAGAAAAUUUUAGUAUUGACGAGCAUGAUUGUUUGAGAUUUCGGAAUCGAAUUUGUGUUCCAUCUACUUCUGAGAUUAAAGAAUUGAUUCUCCGAGAAGCACAUGAUAGUAUUUUUGCUUUGCACCCAGGAGGAACGAAGAUGUAUCGUGAUCUACGAGAACUGUAUUGGUGGCCAGGAAUGAAGAAAGAUAUAGUUGAAUAUGUCAGUAAAUGCUUGACUUGUCAGCGGGUAAAAGCAGAACAUCAGGUACCAACAAGCCUGUUACAGCCUAUUACUAUUCCCGAGUGGAAAUGGGAUCGCAUUACCAUGGAUUUUGUUACGGGGUUGCCAUUAUCAGUGAGUAAAAAGAAUGUUAUUUGGGUGAUUGUUGAUCGACUCACAAAAUCAGCUCAUUUUAUAGCAGUUAGAACCGACUGGUCAUUACAGAAGCUUGCCGAGGUUUAUAUUCGAGAAAUUGUUAGAUUACAUGGUAUUCCGGUAUCAAUAAUUUCAGACAGAGAUCCUCGAUUCACUUCGAGAUUUUGGAAGCAGCUGCAUGAAUCAUUGGGUACUCGACUUAGUUUCAGUACAGCUUUUCAUCCUCAAACUGAUGGACAAUCUGAACGAGUAAUUCAGAUAUUAGAAGAUAUGCUUCGAGCUUGUGUCAUUGAUUUUGAAUCAGGUUGGGAACGUUAUUUACCAUUGGCCGAGUUUGUUUAUAAUAAUAGUUUUCAAUCUAGUAUUCAAAUGGCUCCAUAUGAAGCACUUUAUGGUCGAAGGUGUCGAUCACCAAUAUGUUGGACAGAAUUAAGAGAAAGAAAAGUGAUUGGGCCGGAAUUGAUUCAAGAGACAGAAGAAACAGUUAAAAAGAUUAAAGAUAGACUGAAAGCCGCUUUCGACAGACAGAAAUCUUACGCAGACUUGAAACGACGAGACAUUGAAUAUUCUGUUGGUGAUAAGGUAUUCCUCAAAGUAUCGCCGUGGAAGAAAAUUUUGAGAUUUGGUCGGAAGGGAAAAUUAAGUCCGCGCUUUAUUGGGCCGUAUGAGAUAGUGGAAAGAAUUGGGCCUGUUGCUUAUCGAUUAUCCUUACCUCCAGAGUUACAGAAAAUUCAUGAUGUUUUUCAUGUUUCGAUGCUUCGGAGAUAUAGAUCGGAUCCUUCUCAUGUUAUUCCCACUGAAGACAUUGAACUUCGAUCUGAUUUAACUUAUGAAGAAGAACCAGUUCAAAUAUUAGCACGAGAAGUGAAAGAAUUAAGAAAUAAACGGGUUCCUUUAGUAAAAGUUUUAUGGAGAAGCCAUAGUGUGGAAGAAGCAACUUGGGAACCGGAAGAGACAAUGAGAGCACAAUAUCCUCAUCUCUUCUCAGGUAAAUUUCGAGGACGAAAUUUAUUAAGAGGGGGAGAAAUGUAAUGACCCAAAAUUCAUGGGCAUCGGAAAAGUAUAAUAUCGGGCCUCCGUCCUAGUAAAUUGAGUCCGAAAAUAAUUAUUAGAAAUAUUUACGAGACUAGUAGUGUGUUUAAUUAGGUUUUAAUUAAGUAAAUUUAGCUUAAUUUAGAGUAAUUAGUAAAAAGGAUUAAAUUGAAUAAGAGUAAAAGUUUAAUUAUAGAUUAAAGGAAAAUAACAGGGACCAAAUGGGCAAUUAAGCCACAUUUGGAAGUUGAGGCGGCAUAACAUUGUAAAAAUCUUAGAUUUUUAUAUUAUUAUUUAUAUAAAUAUAUAAAUUAAUUAUAAAGUAUAUUAUUAAAUUAAUUACAUUAUAAAUAUUAUAUUAUUAUAUAUAAAAGAAACAAAACAGAAAAGAAACAGAAUAGAAAGAACAAAGAAACAGAAUAGAAGAGACGAAACAGGGGAGAAGCAGGGGAGAAAGAAGAAAAAGAAGAAAAAAGGGAAAAUAGGGUUUUUGAAGCUUGAAAUUUAAAUUGGUAAGUCAAAUUAGCCCUUUUCUCUUAAUUCUAAUGUUUUAAAAGCUUUAAAACAAAGUUUUGAUGGAAUUAAGUUGAUAUUUUGUAAGUUCAUAGGUUUUCAAGUAUAGUUUAUGUUGAACAAAAGAGAUGAAUUAGGGAUUAACUUGAAGGAAUUUUAAGUUAGAAUUGAAAAAGGGAUUAAAUUGUAAAAGAAACUAUAAGUUUUAUGUUUUAGGGACUAAAUUGAGGGAAAUUCGAAAUUACCAAAAUAUGCUGAAAUUUUGAUAGUUAAAUUUUAGUUUGGAUGAAAUUUGAAUAGAAAUAGAGUGUGAAUUGAAUUAGGAAAGUAAGUGAAUUUAGUUAGGAUUAAAUUGAGAAUAAGAAAGAAAUUGAAUAGAAAUUUAAUUAUUAUCAUAAUUAGUGCUGAAAUUAAUAGUAUAAAUUAUUAUCAUUUUCGUAGCUAGCAAAGAACCAGAAGCGUCGGCACGGAAGGGAAAAGAGAAGAUUAUCGAGGAGUAAACUCGAGAAAAUUACGGUUUGUAUUACUAUAAUUCAAAUUAUUUAUUUUUUUUAUGUUAAAUUUUAAUUUAUGUGUCUAGUAAAUGAAAUGUGAGGUAAGUAUUAAUAUUAGUAUUAGUAUUAUUAUUAGUAUUAUUAUUAUGAGUGGGAAUUAAAUUGAAUAGUUGAUAUGAAAUAAUAUUUGAAUUGUUUGUUGAUUGAAAGCGGGAAAUGAAUUUAAAUCGAAUAGUGACCGAUAUUAAAUUGAAUGGAAAUGUAUUGAGUUGUGAAAGUAUGUUAAUUGCGGAUUAAUUAUUGAUUGAAAGGUGGAAAAAUGAUUGAAUUGAAAGUGUGAAAAAGUGUGAUUGAAUUGAGAAUAUAUGUGAUUUAAAUACCCUAUUAACUAGUCGGGCUGAGUCGGAUAUAGUUGGCAUGCCAUAGGAUUGGAAGAGUUCAGGGAUACUUCGACCUCGAGUCGAUGAGACACUGGGUGUCACUAUAUUUCUUCGGAUAGAUUCGAUGAGGUACUGGGUACCAACUUUCUUCGGCUUUGCCGAUGAGACACUGGGUGUCAACUAUUGCUUCGAACUAUCCGAUGAGGCACUGGGUGCCAUUCUGGUGUGUUUGGUUGGAUCCGUGUAUCCGCCAAAGUCCGAGUUUUGUUAAUAGGGUAAAUGAUGAAAUGAUAAACCGAACGAGUUGGUCAAACGAGCUAUUGAAAUGAUAUGAAAAAGUUGAAUUGUGAAUUGAAAUGUGAAAUGAGAUUGAGAAAUGAACCUAAGGUUCGUGAAUUAUUCAAACUCAAAUUGUGGAUAUACGAUAUUGGUUGAUGAAUUGCUAUUGUUGAAAUAUUUAAUUUAAAUUGUAUAUACGAUUUAUGCAUUACAUGUACAUUAUUGUUAUAAUUUGAAUUAUGGUAAUACCACUGAGUAUGAAUUACUCAGCGUACGGUUGUUUCCGUGCGCAGGUCAAUAGAAGUCAAAGGUCCCGGUUCAGCAUCCAGAUUAAUCCCGGCUUCGGCAAAACUUGGUGAUGUAUUUUUCCUUUGGUAAAGGUGGCAUGUACAUAGAUUGUGUAUAAAGGUUAUUAUGUUUUAUUAUAUAAUGGUUAAAAAUGUUAGUAUUAAAAGUUUAUGGAUUUUAAUGAAAGAAGUCUAUCUAUUUUAUCUAAUUAGUACAUUGUUAAAUUUUAAAUUGGUAUUGUGUAGAUUGAGUUUGAUUAGAAGUAUUUAGAAUAGAAAAUGUGAAUGUGAAAUGAAUUGGUUGAAUUGAUGAUAUUUGGGAACUAUAUGGUUUUAAUUUGCAGGGGGUUUUAUGUAAAAAUAAGCAGAAAUGCUGCCGAGAUUUUUAUAAAAAAAAAAAAAUGAAGUCAUUUGGUAAACAAAUUAAUAAAUUUUAUGAAUUAUUUUAAUAUAUUGGUUAUUUAUUUAAGAAUUGUUGUAAAUCGUUCGAUACGUCCGGUAAUGCCUUGUAAUUCUGUUCCGGCGACGGUUCGGGGUUAAGGGGUGUUACACAAUUUGACCAUUUCUGUUAAAAAAUUUAUUUAUUUGUACUAUUAAAAUUUGACAUGACUAACGAAAUAACCAAAUAGUGACACAUGGUGAUGCAAGCCUCAAUGUCCAAUUCUAGACCCAUGGAUGCAAUGAGCUUUUUUUUUUUACCUCAAGGCCCAAUAACAAGAUUAAAAAAAAAGUAGAUCAAACCAAGAUUGAAUGAGAUUGCCCAAGACUUUGUUACAAAGAACUUAGAAACGCAUACGAGGAGAAAAGAAAAUCAAGAUUCACUUUAUUGUUUUCAAGAAAAUCAAGAAACCGAAACUUGAUCAAAUUUUACUUUUUUGGGAUAUAAUCAAGAAAAUCAAUAUUUUAAAUAUUGGAAUUCUUGGUCCCAGAAACUAAUUCUUGAAGCCAAUGCGCGAUGGAUCACACUGUCGAGCUUGAACGAGCCAAUUUUGGUAGCGAACGAAUCACAAUUUCAAGUUUUUGAAAAUCGACCCAUUUGGGUGUCCACAAGCCCAAGGUGUCCCUCCCCCCAAAUGUUAUUGUAUUAUUCAUCUUUUGUUUAAAUAAAUAUUCUUUGAGUUUAUCUCUCCAAGAAUUGUUCUUGAAUUUUUUUUUAGAAGUUUUACCAAUCUUUUAGAUUGUAGGAAUCAAUUGGAGGGGAGAUAAGAGUCAUUUGAAGAGUGCCGUGAUUUAUUCAAUUUCAAGACUCCUUAAUAUACCUAUCAUGCCAUUUUCAUCUUCUUCUUGCUUUCUUCUUUCUUUUGUUUAGGUUUCUGUUCGAUUCUUCUUGUUUUCAUUUUAAUCUUUAUUUGAUUCAAUUUCAUGUCAUGAACAGCCAAAAAUGACGUUCUCCCAUCACUAUUCCUUAAGAAACACUCAAAAAUACUUAUUUUAUUUUCUUCUAGUGUUGGUUUUUUUAUUAUAAAAUAAUUUUGUUUUGGCUUAAAAAUUCAUUCUAAUAAAUCGUUUUGAUUGUUUUGUUUUAGAUUUGUUUGGAGGCUUUCUUAGAGUUCAAGAACGGUUUCUUUUCUUCCAAUAAACCCUAUUAAACUCAUUCUUGAACUCUUUUUUGGCCGCCCUUCUCUUCUUUACUCUUUGAUUUUCUCUUUUCAUUCUUUUAAUUCAAGAACUAAUCUGAUUUUGUUUCUUUGUUCUAAUCUAAAUCGGUCACCUAUUAUCUCAACAAAAUCGGUUCAAAUAUUCUCCAGUUUAUUGGAUCUUCAUCAUUCUUUGUUGGCCGCACCUUCCUUACCUAUUUUCUGGAAUUUUCAUUCGAUUUAAUACUUAUUUUUUCAAAUAUGUUCUUAUUAACCUAUUUUCUCAUCUUGGCAACCUUAAUUCAAAUGGAGUUCAUUAUGAACAAGUUCUUUCCAUAACUGACUUGAUUUCAUUUGCUACUGUUGACACCAUUUUUUGGAUGAAAACGGAGUCAACUUGGGUUUUGAAAAAUGAAACGGGAGUCGCCACCAAUCCUUUUUUAUGAGGUGUGAUUGGAUCACCUUGGAAAGUGGUUGUUUUUAAUAAACGGUUUGAUUUUAUUAAAACAACAAGUUUGGUUCACGAAAUUCAGAAAAACGGGUUCGGGAGUCGGUUACGCACGAGGAAGGAUUAGCACCCUCGAUACGCCCAAAAUUGGUACCUAGUUGAUUACUUAAUGUCUUAAUGUCGAAAAUUGAGAACUUUGAAGAAUUUUAAAAAUACGAUCCUUUUAUUAAAACGUUGAAAAUUUUUAGGAAAAGGGAAAUAUUUCACGUUAUUCGAGAAAGAAAACCAUAUCCAAAAAAAUAGGACACAAUGUCUUGAAUUCCCGAUAUGCGACUGAAAAAUGCUUAUUCAAAAAGUACUUUUAGCUAUCUCGGAUUUGAAAGCGAGAUCACAACCAGUAAGUUAGGACGCAAUCCUGUUUUAAUCCCGAGAUUAUUUAAAACUUGAAUUUGAAAAGAUUCGUGUAUUUAGAUUUCUUGUGGAAAUCGAGACCCAGUAAGCUAAGGUACGGCAUUCUCAAAUCUAAACACGAGAUUUUGCUUAUUCAAAAAUCAUAAUUUAUGCAAUGAAAUGAAUUAAUCUAACAUGAAAUAAUAAAACACGAUGUUAAUACUCACAACAAGACAAUAUUGAAUACAAUAGUGCAAAAAUAAUACGAACAAUUGCAACAAAAAUAAGAUAAAUACAAAGUAUAAAUCAAUAACAUACGAAAGCAAAUAAAAUUAAAGCAUUCAUUCAAGUCAAUAAUGAAAAUGAAAUAAAUAAAUAAAUGAAUAAGAAUAUAAAAAAGUAAAAAGAUAUAUGUGUGUGCAUAAAUUAUGAAAAUGUAAAAAUCUAUGUAUGUAAAAAUAUAUGUAAAAAUGUAUGUGUACAUUUAUGUAUAUGUAUAAAGUUAUGAAAUAUAUAAAAUAUAAGAUAGGUAUAUGUAUAUAUUUUUAUAAAAAUAAAAACGUACAUAUAUAUUAUGUGCAUGUAUGCAUUAUAAAGUAUAUAAAAGUAUAUGUAUACAAGGAUAUAUAAAUAAAUAAGAUAUAAAGUAUAUAAGUAUAUAUUUAUGAAAAUUAAGAAAUAUAUAUAUAUAUAGACAUGCGGCUAUAUACAUAGAAUAAUAAAAGAUAAAUAUGUAUAUAUAUUCAUAAAAAUAAAAUAUGUGUAUUCGUAUAUUAAAGUAUAAAGUAUAAAUAAUAUAUAUCUAAGUAGAUAUAUAUAUAUAAGUAAACUUGGAAAAUUAUAUGCGUACACAUACUAUAAAAAUAUGAAUGUAUAUAUAUAUAAAUUAUAGAAUGUAUUAAAGUGUAAGUGUAUAUAGGUAUGUACACAUAUAACAUAAUCUAAAAACAGUGUAAAUGGAUAAACAAUAAAGGCAAAUAAUAAAAAUAAAAGCAAUAAUGACAAUAAUAAUAAUGGUAAUAAAACUAAUUACUUUUUUGUAAUUAAACAAGCAGAAGCGCAAAUAUGAUAAAAAAGAAAAAAAGUCACCUCCAAAAAUCUAUUCUGGUUUUCUAUUUUCCUUAAUGUUCAUAGCCAAAUGAAAGAAGAGAAAACUCUUCUUCUUUUACAGUAAACUUGGCACUUGCCGAAAAGGAAAAAGAAAAAUCAAAGAAAACCCCCCUCUCUUUUUCAUUUUUCUGCGGCCUUUUCAGUCGAUUUUACACUUUUUUUCUAUUUCUAUUACUAUUUCUUCCUCUGUUCUUGCUGCUUGUUUCUUUCGUGUUUGUUUGCAGGUCUUUGGUGAAGGCGGAGGAGUGGCUUGCCGUUUUGGUGCAAGGCUUGGCUGGCCGUGGCAGACCUCGGGCGUGGUGUGCGCUGAGGAGGCACAUGGGCAGCAGAGGGUGCGGCGCCUUGGAUUAGGGUUAGGGUUUCAGUUGUGUUUUACUGAAACUUAGUUAAUGUUUUGGGCCGUCUAGCUUUGGACUUGUAAUUUGGGUUUUAAAUUUUAAUUUGGGCUAGUAUUGUAAUGUGAACUGGACUAUUUUUUAUUUUCUAGCGGGCCGGGUAAAUUUGGGCAUGUACAGCUACCCUUGUCAUUAUUAGAUCUGACUUGAUUGUUUGCAUUCCGGGUUGUUUCAAACACCAAGUUUUGCCUAAUUCGGUUUAGAGUCUUAGGUCAAAUUUGCGACAAUUUUUAAUCCUAUUUCGCACGUGUCCGUAUCAUACGGUGUGUUACAUAUAUUUCAUGUUAACGUACAUAAACCAAUUAUUAAUAGUAGGAAUUCAUGAAAUUUUUAACGAAAGAAUCUAUUUACUCAUUAAUCUAACCUAUAUGGACUAAAUUGCUCAUAUUUUUUGAAUAAAUAAAAUAAAAUGCAAUCAAAUUCUUAAUACAUAACCUUUACCCAAAAGAAUAUUAGUUCCACACCUCUAUAAAUCAAGCCCAAACUAAAAACACAGAGGGUAGGUUUGGAUGGGCGGUGGGAUGCGGUACGGUGCAUGUAGCUUAUUUUUUGUCUUACAUUACAGUAUUUUUACAAUAUUUAAUUUUAUCGCCACAAUUAUUUUUAGACUAACUAUCGUCCAUCCAAACUCACUCUAAAUCACCUAAGCUAAAGUUGCACAUUGUGCCACACUGACCCUGAUAUUUAAGCUAACUUGUUCCAAAAUAAUUCAACUAACAAAAAAAAAGUUGUAUAUCAUUUAUUUGACAGUUACGUGAGAGUUUGUUUUAACUUUGAAAUAUAAAGUAUUCGGAUCUUGAGAUUUUUAAGUUGGAGUUUUGUUUUACAUGAAAAACAUUUAAAAUGUUAUUAUAAAGUUAAUUGGAAUAUAUUCAAAUUUGGAUUAAAAUAAAUUUGAAUAAAGUUUAUACGUGAUGAGACUUAAAUUCAUAAUAAAAUUUAGAUCGAGAAUUCGUAUGUGCAUAAAUACACACGGUGAAAUUAUUAAAAGCAUAUUGAUUUUAUAAAGUAACGUACAUUAUUUCAAGACUAUUUUUGUCUUUUUAUAAUUUAUAUAAAAUGUAGAAUAAUACAUAUACAUAUUAACAGCAUGUUUGGUUGCCAAUACACCCCUAAUCGGUGGGCCUCACUUAUUACGCCUCUAAUCCGUUAUUUGGUUCAAUGCAUUAUUAUUACGGUGCUAAACCGUUACUGACCUAAUCGGUGAAAUCCACCGAUUUCUAAUCCGUCCAUUUUGCUCAGUUUAGGUACUGCUUCACUUUACCCUCCCUGUUUUGCUCCCUUUGUUUCUCACAGUUUCUGCCGAUUUGCUCCCUCUGUUUCUCAUAGUUCUCCACACGCCCACAUCUCUACAAAAAUAACAGCCUUCAAAGUCGGCAGGAUUUUAAGGCAUUUUUAUUUGAGCCCUGUUCUUCUCCUUCUUCCUAGACGUGGGGUUUCCAUUUCCCAGUUCUUCUCAUCCCUUUCUUAAAGUCGGCAUCUUCCUUUGCUUUCUCCACCCAGCACCUUCUUCAAGGUUCCAAGUUCUUUUUGUUUCUCCUUUAAUUUCUGUUGUAUUGAAUUCCAUGGAUGUUAUUUUAAUUUGGAUUUAAUUAUGCCUAUUGAGGUUGUUUUUGCUCUUGAGAAUCAUAAAAAAAUAAUUGGGUCAUUUUUAUUUCAGUUUAUUUUGUGUUCUUUUAGCCUCUAUAGGGUUGUUAAUUAUUAAUCCCUACAUGUUCAUUUGUUUUUCAGUUUCUUUUGAUGGGGUUUUAUUGUUUUAAACGUUGAAAUUUUAUCUAAUAAUGCAAUCUUUCGUAUAUUUUUCAGGGUUUUGAGAGAGGUUGGGGUCGGAUGUUUAAAAUCUAUAUCUGAUAUGUACAACGAAUUAUUUUAUUUUGCUGUUCUUUUGGGCUUGAUAAUGGCUUUAAAGGUCACCAGCUUUUAGCAGUUCUGCUCAUUUACCUUCCGGCAAUUGACAUGACUUGAGUGGCAAAUGUUAUGCUUUUACCUUUUAUAACAUUGAAUUGUAUGCUUGUUGAAUCAUAUUGAAAUGCUAGAUACUUAACUGACUAAACUUGUUUGAAUGUAGGAACUACAGUUCCAUCAAACACCACUACUGCAAUUCUUGCUGCUCCCAAUUUGUCGAAUCCCAUGGCUACAGUUGUUGGUGCUGCUUCAAACCCAUUGUCCAAUCCCAUAGUUUCAAUGGUAGACGGUGUAUCCUCCAAGGUAUUUGAUGAAGUACUGAAAGCAACACCACCUGCUUUGUCAGCAUUUUUGGCUGGCUUGCCUUCUAUCGAGGGUAAUCUUUCAAACUCCUACUGCAGUUGUGCAUGCUGCAAUAUCUAAUGCUGAUGGAUAUUAACCUAUAAUUUGUAGUUGAAUUUGAAUUAUGAUCCAAAAUGCAACAUAUCAAUGAUGAAAUACGGCAAUGCAUCUGCUUGAAUUUCUCUGUCUAGUUGGCCUUUUAAGUCCCUUCUGAUCUGGUAUCCUUGGAAAAUUAUUUGUUUUGCACUCUUGGCAUUUUAAUAUCGUAUUAGAAUAACUAGUUUAUAACUUUGGAGUAAUGAUUCAUUGUAAUUUUACCCAUUUUUAUAUAUUUCUUUAAUUUUUUAAUUCAUCACAAGCUCCAUGCCAUAGGGGCAAAGCUAGAAUCAAAAAAUAAAAAAAGAACCUCAUUGAGGAAGAAAGUUCAGAGAAUAAGGUAAGAAAACCAAAAAAUAUUGCAACUGAGAGAAUAUACAGAGCUAUGUUUCUCCGACUCUUCAUUUUGCUUGAAGUAUCCCUUUUUUAUACCCCUGUCAGAGUCUUCAUUUUUCUUAAAGUAUCUGGUUUCAACACCCAUGCUCGACGAUGAAAGAACCUCUUUGAGAAAGUUAUACAAUAGAUUUUGUUGAAAAAUAUUUGAAGUGAAAAUUUUCAUCAUAGUUUCUGUCAAGAAUACAUUAAAUGGUAUAUGUACAUGUCCACACAAAAAACCAUGUUACUUGGGUUCGGGGAAAGUGUCAAAUAAGGAUAUGGGUAUGGGAUGUGAUCCUUGUAUGAUACCCGUGUGGAUGCAUGUUUGGCCAUCGGUAUGGGAUAUGAUCCUUAAAGGAUUCUUCAAAUAUAUAGAAAAACUUAAAGAAAACUGAAUAUUUCCAUAUCUGACACAUAUUCGUAUCUUGAUAUCCUUAUUUUUUAGGGUUUGUUCUUAUUUGAAUAGCCUUUGUUGUAGCUAUUUGCAAAAUCCUGGUGAUGAACACCUAAGCCUUCAGGGGACAGGGAUAGAUCCCUGGCCAUAAGGAACUCCCUUACCUAUGGUGGGAUAUAUCAUAUAUCCAACUGGAUUGAACACCAUAUAAUUUUAAAGAAAGCGUAGCUAACAUCAUGUAUUGAAAUGCAGCAAAGGAGAAGUCACCGCAGCUAGAUGAUGGUGAUUCAGGAUUUCCUCCCCGUGACGAUGAUGGUGGUGAAGGUGGCGGGGGAGGUGGUGGGGGCAACUGGUCAGGUGAAUUCUUCCUUUUCGGAUUCCUCGCGUUUCUAGGCUUCUUAAAGGAUAAAGAAAGCGAAGAAGAUUACCGGGAUAGCCGAAUAAGAUGAUGAGAGAUUCUCUACAUAUUGAUAACAUUUUUAAAACCUAUAUUGCAUGUUGUUCUUCAUGUUAUAUACUUUUGAGAACCCAAUGCAUAUCGUUCUUCAUGAUAUAUUUCUAUUUUUGGAACCAAUUGCAUAUUUGAACCAUUUGUAGACUUAAUUCAAACAUGCAAAUAUAUUUAGUUAAAAAAGGACUAAAUUAAAUAUCAUCUAUACUUAUUAUAAAGUCUAUAUUUCUAUUCUCGUGACAUCAACUCAAUCAGUAUAGAUAUAAAUAAACAAAAGAUGUCACCAACAAAAGAUAAACAAAAGAUGCAGAAUGUAAUUUUCAAGUUAUAUUUUGAUUUUAGUAAAUUCAUAUAAGAACAUUUUAUUAUUAAAUUAUAUUUAAUAUUAAUUAUUUUAAAUUAUAUAAAUUCAUAUAAGAAAAUUUAUUAUCAAGAAUUUUAUGAAAUUAUAUAUCAUUAUUAAAUUAUAUUUAAUAAUAAUUAUUUUAAAUUAUAUAAAUUCAUAUAAGAAAAUUUAUUAUCAUGAAUUUUAUGAAAUUAUAUAUUAUUAUUAAAUUAUAUUUAAUAAUAAUUAUUUUAAAUUAUACAAAUUCAUAUAAGAAAAUUUAUUAGUUAUAAUAAUUUUAAAUUUUAUUAAAUCAUAUAUUUUAAUUAAAAUAUAUUUAAUAUUAAUUAUUUCAAAUUAUAUUUUAUAGUAUCAUAUAUUAUGAUUUUAGUAAAUUCAUAUAAGAAUUUUGAUUAUUAAGAAUUUUAUUAAAUUAUAUAUUUUAAUUAUAAUAUAUUUAAUAAUAAUUAUGUUUAAAUAUGAUUAAAUUAUUUAUUACUGAUGUUAAUAAUCUUAUUAAAAUUUAAAUAACAAUAACAAUAAUCAUUUACCCAACAAAUUUAUGCUAAGGGUAUUCUAGUCAUUUUAGUUUUUUCCAUUAUGCUAUUACACCUCUAUUCCAUUCAACCAAACACAAAAAUGCUAUUACGCCUCUAUUCCAUUCAACUAAACAAUUGAUUUGCUAUUACGCCUCUAUUCCAAUACAACGAACCAAACGUGGCCUAAGAUUUGAACUCAGGAUAUCGCAGUUUUCACUGUCUAAAUUUUAUCAAUUCAAUCAAAGUUACAUUUGAUUUUUAUAUUAAUUUUUAUAAAUUUGUUACAUUUUUUUUCACUUACAAGCGUGUCAUAAUCUAGUAUUAAUUACACAUUUAAUUAAUCAAAUAUUAUAAUUAUAUAAUUAUACUUGUAAUUAUUUUUUGUAAUAACAAAUGAUUAAAAUAUGUUGUAAGUCUUUGUACUCUUUGUAAAUUUGAAAUUUAGUCUCUUUGCUUUUUUAAUUUCAAGAAUCAGGACCAAUUUUAAAUACUGUUACAAUUAUUUUAUUAAUUUCAGGUUCAUUAUAAUAUAAACUUUUUCAGUUACGAUGCUACUAAAUGAGUGUUUUUUAUUUCAAAAUGUCACACUAAUAAAUUCAACAAAAAAAUUAACAGUGUUAAUAAUUUAAGAUAAAAUUUGAAAUAUGAAAAAUAAAAAAUAUUAAAAUAUUAAAAAUAAAAAUACAAAAAUUAUAAAUUUAACUAAAAUCUAAAAUCAUGAAGAGUAGAAGGAGGCAUAUGUUAAACAUAAACUUGUCCAUGGGUCGGGUCGGGUCUUAACAAAAUUUUAAGUAUUUUAAGUUUGUUUGAUAGGCUCGAGUCUGGUCUAGCCCACCCGUAUUAAAUUUUUUUACAUUAUUUUUUAUAUAAUUUAAAAAAUACAUCACAAACACUAAAAAAAUUAAAAUAAAUAUUUCCCGAUAAAUUGAAAAAUAAAUAAACUACUAGCAAAACUAACAAUAAAAUAAGAGUUAUAAAAUAUCCAAACAAUAAUAAAAUAUUAGCAACAUAAUAAUUAAAUAACAACAAAACAAUGAGAAAAUAACAAGAAAAUAAUAAGAAAACAAUAAUUUUCCUUUUAUUUUACAACUUCGACUUGAAAUAGGGUCUUAUUUGAGACUCGACCUAUUUUCUAAACAAAUAUUAUUUUAUUAUUUAAAUUUAUUUUUUGAGUCCAUAUUUUUAUUUAAAUAGUAAUUAGGGUAAAACUAUAAAACGGAAAAACUCAUGAAAAAGUAUCUUGAAAAGCUGACAGUAGGUGGGCCCAACCCAUUCAUGCGUUACAAUCUUAGUAGUAAAUAGUAAACUGAAAAAAAAUGUUGCCAUUUUGCAUUUGAUCUUCUUCUCCUUUUAUUUUUUCCUAUAUUGCCCAUCUGAUUCUAUAUUUCUUAUCUGUUUCAAAUUAAAGCAGCCAAUUCCAAUUAUUCAACAAAUCUUUUUAAAAACUAAAAAGAAAUUCAAACAAUUUCAUCUUUCGUUCUUCUUCUUCUUUAUGAAAAUCUAAAAUUUGCAGAGCUGGAUCGUUAUGGCUAUCAAAAUCCCAGCCUUAGGAUCAAUGUAAGUAUCUGUUUUUCCUUUCUAGCAAUUCUUUUUUUAAAAAAAAAAAGUUUAAAUCUAUUUCUUAAUUCUGUAGAUUACACUUUUAUCGUCUCAGUUACUGAUUGUUCCUUUUGGUAGAUUUUUAAAUUCUUCAUGGAAACCUAAAAUUUCUUGCUGGAAAUGAUGAAAUGUGAACAUGCAUGAUGCAAACUUAGUUAUUGAUUACUUCUUUAAUUUUCAAUUUUUAAAAUAGAAUCACUGUUGCGUUCUUCUUAGUUACUUUUUAUUUUUCCAAUGAAUUUGGUUGUAGAUACAUCGAGUCAUGCAGGAGGCAUGGUGUUGCACCGAGAACUGGAUUUUUAUCUGCUCUCUUUAAGGUUUGUUCCGAUACGUACUUAGAUUUUCAUGUUCGAAAAUGUUACGAAGUUGCAUGCAUAUUUGUAUGUUUUCCAGUGCCUUGGAAUGAACUUUGAAUGUUGAGAAUUUAGACAAAAUGCGCUCGGAGCUUCUGAUCAUUAGUCUAGGAGUCUCAAAUUGGUUUGCCAGGCUUGUGAUUCUUCUGAUCAUACAGUCGUGCUGCCAGUGUAUUUCAAUUAGAGAGCUGAAUGCUCUUUACAGCUUCGUUGUCUUGUGAGAGUGGCAUUUUAGUUAUCCUGCUCAGAGUAGCAAGAAAUAUGUUUGGCGUCAUGCUUAAUAGUUCUAAGCUCUUUUUCUCAGACCUCUUUCAGGUGGUAGUAGGUAAGGAAGGAUUAAUUUCUGUUGUUCGGUAUAGUGCGGUUGAGAUGUUCUAGGAGUUGGAUUUUGGGGCUCAGUCUUAUUACAAAAUGUUUGAUUGUACACAGUGCACCUUAUCAUCCAUCUAAAAGCUCAGGCGUGCUGUUUAUGCUUAGUUUAUCUAUAAUCAUGCAUGAAGUGAUGCUUCUAGGUGAAUCCUAACAAUGGAGGACUUAGUGAAGUGAAAAAGUUAUUUAGCUGGUUCUAUAGCUUACAAGUGAUCCAAAGACACAGAAAUUGGUUAGUUACAACUAAACAUGGUUAGUGAUGUUGAAUGAGUAAAGAAUGCUCUAGAAAUCCAAAGACCUUGAAGCACAUGCCUAAAAUGUUUGAUAAGUCUCGAAUAUGAAGAAAUAUCCAAAGCUCCCUAUAACUUCAACUCAGGUUAUUAACAUCCCAGUGUUUAGGUAAUAAGCUUAGAAAUGUAAUAUGAAUAAUCCAAAUAAUGUAGUCCAUAUUGUUGUUUGGUGUAGCUUUAGGUGUGUCUGUUAAGGUGGCCCCGGGGAGGGGGGGGGGUUGGCACCCUUUGGUACUAUUGCACAAGUCUCUGUGGUAAAAGAUGGCAAGCUGUUAUAAAGUCUAGUUUGAAUGUUUUUAUACUAACAUCAUAUCCAAAUUUUUGGCUCAAAGGACCGUGUUCUUUCUCUUUAUCAUAUGUGGCAAAGAGAUUGAUUUCUAUGGUUAAAUAUGAUAAACACUAACUACAUCUUCAUAUCUCCUUGGAUUUCUUGAGCUGAAGAAACAUAAUUUUCCUUUCUUUUUCAGUGUCUGUUUAUAAUUAUUUUGCUGAUGUCUGUGCAAGUUAAAUUAGAUAAAUACUUUUCUCUUGGUUGAACUUUUCAGGCUGAUGUUAAAAAAUCCCGCCAUGAGUUAUGUGUACUGGAGAUUUUAUUGGACCAUGUGAAGGAUGUUGAUUUUCAUCCACUUCUUGAAGUGACUACAAGAAUUGGUGAUUCUGAGAUUGAAGCAGUUGAUGUGCUCAAUGAAUCAUCUUGUGCAUUGAAUGGAGAAUAUGCUUUAGUUCUGAUACGAUCUAUUGAUCAGAAACUUCGGAUAGUUGAUCUCCAGGAUUUGUCAUUUGGGAAGGACUUCUUGUGGUAUAAAACAACGUUUAUUAUGCAUUAGUAUUCUUUAGUAAAGUAUCUGAUUUUAUACUUGUUUUAAUGUGUCAGACUUUAUAUUUUUGUUGCCACUCUUCUUAGGGAUAAUAGAAUCGUGAAGUUGUAAAAGUUUGUCUGGAGAAAAUAACUUUAUUGGCUUAACGUGUUGAAACAUUUUCAAACUAAUUAUAAUAAUUUAUGAUUUAAGUGGUACUUCUACCAGUGAUAUUUUAUGAUACUUAAUCUACUUGUGUGUAUUUCAGGAGGUAAGUCUCUGCUUUUAGGAUCUCAAUAGGGAAAGUGUAUAUUUUGAGAAAAGAAGAAAAGAAAAAAUGGUAAAUAAUGCAAUUAGCUAAUACAAUUUAAUGCUUUUGGAAAUGUUAACCUCGGUUUCCCUUUUUAUAAUCAAUCGUGUAGCAUAAUCCCCCAUAUGGUAGGAUAAUGAUUUCUCCUUUUUUUUUUCUUCCUUCGAAAAUGUAGUCAUCAAUGACCAAAGGCUCUUGGUCAUGAUCACACAAGAAACUAUUAAGCUAUUUGUCGUUGUCUUUGGGUUUGGGUAGUGUUGUGAAGAACCUUAACCAAGCCUAAGGUUUUAGUGAGUUGAAACUUGACAACUUGAAAGAGAAUAGAAGAGAACAAUCUACAACCAAAUAACGUUCUCCUUGAGAUGUGUGAGAACGUGUAAAACAGAUUUUAUACAGACUUGUAUUGGCACUGCUUGUGACCAAUACAAACCCAAAUAUUCUUGUCAAGCCUCAAUAUAGAAAAUAAUAAGAUAAAAGCAUUAAAGAGCUUGUUCUUUUACUUAUGGUACUUUUUGAGUAACCUAAAUAUCUAAUGAUUGACAUUGCUGAUUAAAUUUCACUUUUUGCCUUUAUCUUCUCUAUAUCAUAUGUCUUGGAUACUCUUUUAGGCAUAGAUAGAGUAAUCAGGUGCAUAGGAUGGCAAUUUGUUUUAGUUUUAGCUUUAGGUUAUGGUAUGGUUCAUUUUUCCAAUUUUUCCAUGUAUUUGAAGGAUCCUUAGAGGUCAUAUCUCCUUAUCCAUGAGUUGAACACAAAGUGUCAGAUACCGGUACUUCAUAAAAAAUGUAGAGUCCGAGCAACAUAAUGGGUUAGCACUAUGUUGGCAUGAUUUUUGCCAUGGCCAAUGGGGAUUGGCAAUGGAGAAUGUGGUUUCUGUUACACGUGUCCUACAGAAGAUCAUGAUUUUUGGAUCCUUCGUUAUCCAUUUAUUGAUGGAGCUCCACUUUUCCGUAGAAUAAUUUGGAAAUUUAUAUAUUUUCAGUAUUCACCCUUUAUUUUAUUUUGAAUAUUUCAAUAACAUGUUUUUGUUUGAAAAGAAUCUUUUGACGUUAGCCUUGGCAUGCAAUAAUCGGAUGCAUGUUCAAAUUGUAAGAAGGUAAUGGGAGAAAAAAGAUGAGGUUAUUGUACUCUUCUUUGAAUUUGUUCUACGAGUUCUAAUAACAUAGUUCCUUUCUAUAUUGCUUGGUACAAUAUUUUGAAGGUGAUAUUCAUCUGGGAUUUUUUCUAAAUAAUAACCAUCUAGCAGGGUGUAGGUUCAUACGAAUCUUAAGGUAUUUAUGGUAAUUUCGAAAAUCAACUGGGGUGAUAAAAAUCAAGAAGUAGGACGAUAAUUGACAUAAAAGGAAAUUGAUUAUCAUAUUAAACUCUCCAUUCAAUAUAUAAGGAAAACCAGUGAGUUCUCGAUAGUAACGCAUUAAUGUUAUCUAUGUAUCAUGUAUUUAUGUUGAAACAAUGGUUAGUGAAGCUUUAGACAGGUUUCCUUUCUUGAUAGUUCCCUCCGAAUUUUCAGCUUGUAGUCUUUCAUAAUGUAGUAGUAAGUAAUCAUUAAAUUCUAUAGUUACGUGAGGAUAUUUGGAUGAAAUACUAAAUCAAUGCAACUAGAAAAAUCGAUUAGCAUUAUAUGCUUUUCGACACGUGUUAAAUGUUUAUUCAAUGUAACCGAUCUUUGUGAAAAUGACGUCAACAUUGUCGAAGAAGUUAAACGUACCUUCUAGAUUUGAUCAUAUAGUUGUCAUUUAGCUAAAAGUGGCUAUAACUUGUCGUUUUGUUAUAUUUAGAUCGGCUUAGACGGGGAUUUCAUUUGUCAAUAUGGCUUUAGAAAGAUUUGGCUCUUUUUCUCCUUCUCUCUUCCUUUCACCGUCACCGUUCUUCUUCUUCUGCUGCUGCUACUUGAAUAAAUUUUCAGGUUCUAGCAUCACUAGGAACCCUUUGUUCCUUUAGGCUUACUAUUUCUCUUUGCGAACUAAUCUUUAAUGACUACUAUAAAUGCUAAUGCAUAUUUGAAAGAUAUGAAUUAUCUCUGCUUGAGAGGCCUUUGGAAAAGCUCUUAUCACUGUUCUCAUGAAUGUAACAGGAAAACUCCCGUUUCUUUCUUGGUUUCUCAUUUUCUUCUAGCUGUUUUCGAUUUGCAAAUGGUUGAGUGCACAGAGUGCUUCUGUUAGCCUCUAGUAGAUGACAUGUCAAGGAGCUGACUAUCUGUACCAACUGGAGCGAUUAGUUUGAUUUGUCACAGUCAAGUUUAGAGUUUGCUGUGGCUCUUGUUAGAUUGGGCCUCUCCACAUGUUCCCAUUUGGUUUAGGUUGGAUGCUUAGCAGUUACAUUAAUGAUUUCUUCUUGGUCAGCUUAUGAGAGGGAUUAGAAAUACUUCAAACAUUCACAUUUUGAUAGCUGCUAGAUUUUCUUUUGGCAAUGUUUCAAUUAUAACUGAAGCUGAAUGAGUGCUGUUGCAUAAUUUGGAGAUGCCUGAAUAUGGUGAAUAUUUUGGGCCAUUAUUAUGUUAAAUUAGUUUCUUCUUUCUCUAUUUUGCUUAAGUACCCAUUUUGUAAGUUGUGUUACACUUUCUUGAUUACCGCCCCUUAGUUUUGUGCUAUCUAGAUGAUGCAUGUUAUGAUAGUUGCUUUAUCUCUGUUGGAAAAUUUUGUGAAGUUAAUAAAUGGUUUUAUAUGUCUUCGAUUUUUUUUAACUAAUUUGGGUUAUCAUUUAGGGAUGUUUCUCAACGAGGGCUACAAUGCCAAGUUCUAAACUUGAGGUCUUCGCAUUUUCGGAAGCUCAACUUGGUGGGCGAAUUUUUGCGGUUGCACACCCUUAACCUUGACUAUAGCACCAUGCUCAGUAGCUUUCGGGAGGAUUGUUUUUCUUCCAUGCCGAAUCUGAUGUGUCUCUCAAUGUGUGAGACCAGAAUUUCCAACUUAUGGACUACAAUUGCUGCACUUUCCAAACUUCCUUCUUUGGUGGAGCUUAGGUUUCAAAACUGGAUAUGCUGCAAUGAUGUUGGAUCCUCUGGAUCUUCCGUUGGUGAUGAUCAAACUGGACCCAGUCAGCUGAGCAAUGCAUCUCACCUUGAGAUGCCACCUAUUAGUCUUAAUUUACUUAUAGAUCUUGAUGUCAUGACUGAACAGGCAAUAAGAAAUUUGCUUCCAUUCAGUAUGAAUCAGAAUUUUCAAAACACAAAUGAGGACUCUUCGGAUGAUAGUGAAGUAGAUUUUUCUAUUCACCUGGAGAAUGACCAAUUGGACUCAUCACACAGUGCACCUCCUGGGUGGAACAGAGAAAUCAAUCUACCGAGUGAGGUGAAUCUAUGGCCUCUAAUCACCAGGUUCUUUAGCUGUUUUGUUUAUAGCAUACUGUGGGGUAUUAAGGUGCUAAAAAAAUGAAGUUUUUGGUUUGUUGUUUAAUGUGAUAAUGGUAUCAAGGAGAAAUAAUUUUGUUUGCCACACAGAUAAUUCCUGAUAUGCUAGUUAAAUUCUCCUAAGUUAGUAGUUAUUUUUAAUAGUAUUUCCUUAUCAUUUCUCAUAAUCUCUAUCUUAAUAUUAGGUGAAAUUUCCCUUAUUUUAUAGCUCAGAAAUAAAUGAGCAUAUGGUAGGAUUUAGUUCUGGCAUUCACUCUAAAUUCCUAGUAGACUCAUUGACUAUGAGAGUUUCUUUGGAUUGUCUUGUUUAACAUCUUUCUUCUAAAGCCUUGGUUUUGAUAAUCCUUGUAUGUUGUUCUGAUUCAUUUGGCAGGCUACUUCUGCUGCUUUGUCAAAUCAAAAUGGAGAAGAGUCUUCUGAAGGUGCCAUCUCAGGGCAUGUUGCAGAUGUUUCAUUCAAGUACAUUUCUGAACAUGCUUCACCAAUAUGCUUUGAGCAACAUUAUAGGGAGUUCAUGAUAGCUUCAAUACCCCAGUUGAGAGUUUUGGAUAACUUACCUAUCAGAAAUAUUGAUAGAGAAAUGGCUAAUCUGACUUUCUUUAAACAUUUUGAGCGCCUACCUUAUAGAAGAAGCGACAAAGAAAGUGUUGUUAGUAUAUUGCAGAAGCGAGAAAUUAGAGCAAUCCCUUCUAGCUUCCGGACACAAAAGCAAAUGCCAAUGGAUCCUGUUGGGAAGUCGCAACAUUCUUAUGCCCGAUCUCUCUGUGCUGCAAAAAUGGGAUCUUCAGCUUGGCCAUAUAUGCAUUCACUUUCUAUUUCAGGCAAUGAUUUGGGAGAUGAAAACGGUAGCUUUCGUCCAAGGCAGUUUGAAUAUCAUCCGACUAACUCUAGCCUAAUGGUCUUUGGAACUUUAGAUGGUGAAGUAGUUGUUGUCAACCAUGAAAAGCAGAAAAUUGUUAGUUACAUCCCUUCAUUUGGGACAAUGAAUAGCGUGUUGGGGCUCUGUUGGCUCAAGCAUUUUCCCUCUAGGGUGAGUAAAUACUAUGAUGUGCUCCUAAGAGAGGUUAAAUUAUAGUGCUCUCUAACUUCAUAAAUGCGUUUGCCUACUUUAUUUCCUUUUCCUUUUGAAAUUUAUUGUUUUAGUAGAAAGUAAACACUCACCACUUUAGAGAUCUUAACAAUUCUUCUAAAUUUCAUUCCUCAGUGCCAACUGACUGAGUUUUACCUUUUUCAUUCAGCUGAUAGCUGGUUCAGAUAAUGGCUCACUGAAGCUGUAUGAUAUUCAGCAUUUCCCAUCAACUUCCAACGGCUUGCGUACCGCUAGUUCUGUCACCUUUGAUGAGUUUGAUCAAUUAACAUCUGUUCAUGUUAACUCUACGGAUGAACUCUUUCUUGCAAGUGGGUACUCAAAAAACGUGGCUCUGUAUGAUAUCAACAGUGGAAGACGGUUACAAGUGUUCACUGAUAUGCACCAAGAACACAUUAAUGUAGUCAAGUUUUCGAACCGAUCCCCAUCAAUUUUCGCUACUUCAUCAUUUGAUCAGGAUAUUAAGAUGUGGGACUUGAGACAGAAGCCAAUAAGGCCUUGCUACACUGCUACAAGUUCUAAAGGAAAUGUGAUGGUCUGCUUCUCGCCAGAUGAUCACUAUCUUCUCGCCUCAGCUGUUGACAAUGAGGUAAUUUUUAUAAUAGCUAAUAGCAUUAGUUUGAGUGUCUGUGCUAAUCUUGUUCUAUGUAUUUGAACAUUGAGUUUCAUACUUGGUCUAUGAUUAACCUGGUCCUUAAAUUCUGGACUUAAAAAUAAUUGGAUAGAUGAGGCUAUGAAACCACUGAUUGAGAAUAAAUUUAACUAGAAAUUCCAACUAUGAUUUCACCAAUUUUGUGAAAGAUUUUCUGCGAAUAGAUUUUUAGUUUUGCCAUUAUAGGCAUUUUCAUUUUCCACCUAUAUUUCAUUUUUCAGUUUUGAAUCUUACCUCUCCAAGAGGGUGGAUUCAAGUUAACCAGCCAAUAAAUACAAAUUUAGCUGAUAGCACUCUUACAAACUGCCACUUUGGCAGGGUCAUAAUUUGGGUAAUGACUCUCGUGGUUGUGGAAGUGCCACCAUAUUGUACUUCUAAGAGAAUCUAUAUCCUAGUUUCCGUUCCAUUGAACUUGAAUAUCUCAGUUUUUGUUUUUCUUUGGCCAAGACUUGCAAAACUCAAUUGAAAUGCUCUCUUCUUAUUUCGUUAGUUUAAAUUUGGAAUUAAAAUUUUCUUAAUUGUAUUUUGCAAACAUUUAUUCCUUUUCUAAGAAUAUGCCAUUUAAAGGAACCUUUACUUUGAACUUUUAUUAUUGUUAUUAUUGAAGUACAUAUUGGUAUGAUUUUGGUUUGAAAUGUUGACAUUGACAGGUAAAACAGCUCUUGGCUGCUGAUGGAAGCCUUCACCUGGAUUUUCAGAUACCUGCUACUGGCAGCUCGCAAAACUACACUCGUUCCUACUACCUGAAUGGUAAGGACUAUAUUAUAAGUGGGAGCUGUGAUGAGCAUGUUGUCCGUGUUUGCUGUGCUCAAACUGGGAGGCGUCUCAGGGAUAUUUCUCUGGAGGUACACGUGUCUUUAAAUUUGCACAUAUUUUGUGCUCCGUAAUUUAUGAAAUAUAGAUCAGUAUGGAGACACGUGCCCAGCAUGGACCAAAAUUUAAAGACAGGAUAUGCUUUUGGAUAGGUUGCUAAAUUAUAGGAUCGGAUGGAACAUGCUUAACUAUAGUUAUGUGGUUUUUAGGGAUAUCCGCAAGUGAAAUGAUCUAUAAUACGACAGGAAUAAGCCAAAAUAGUUUGUAGGAAUAAAACUUUUAAGAUUUGAACUGGGGCUGAUUUGUUUGGUUUUAAAAUUUUGCUAUACUAGAAAAUCAUUAUAUUAAGGCAAAGAAUCUAAAAGCAGAAUAGGAGAUAGGAACCAAAAAAUGUCAAAAGUCAAAAGACUGCUGAUGAAGAGAAAGCCAGAAACCAAGAAACUAGGCUGCAGUUCGAAAAUUUUAAAGUCAAAAGUAGCAUAGGAUAUUAAUGCAUUCAUCUUGUGCAGGGAAAAGCUUCGGGGAGUUCAAUGUUUGUGCAAUCACUGAGGGGGGAUCCCUUUAGGGUGAGUUAAAUCAUUUUUCUAGUGAUACUUUAUAUAUUGACAUUUAAAUUUUUUUUGUGGAUAUUCUUUCCCACCUUAGUGUACUUUUUUGUUUUAAUCUUUGUUAAAUUGACCAAUCACAAACAUUGCAUGUCGCUGCUAGUGUUCUGGUGACCUUGUUCUCUUGUUUGUUUCUUGUGGAUGUCAACUAUGAAUUACAUGUCUGGAAGCACAAUUCAUAAACCCAUCGUUUCUCAGAUAAUUUAUGAAUCUGGUACACGGAAGAGCAGUCUAUUUUCUAGGGAGUUCCUUAUAUUAAUGAAAAUUCGAAUCAAAUAGCAGAUUGAUCUUGGUCAUUAUAACUAAAUACAUAUAUUUUAGUGGCUAUGAUUAUAUCUUAGGGGUGAAUUAUCACUCUUGGUGCUUCUUCAUAUUUGGCUUUUCCACUUAUUAAUUUUCAAAUAUCCCUGCUUCCAGCCUUUCAACAUGAGCAUAUUAGCUGCCUAUACUCGACCAAGCUCGAAAUCUGAAAUAGUCAAGGUAUAUUAUAUCUCACUGUCUCGUUUUUUUCUUUAUAUGGCCGGGUGUCUCAAUCUUACAUUGAUGCUUGAACCCCAUUUCUUUCAGGUCAAUUUGCUGGCUUCUUCAGAGUGUAACAAGGAAGCUUCAUCUGGUGGGAGCUCUUUCCCAUUCAAUAGCAUGGGAGGUUAAUUUAUGUAUACAUACAAAAGCUACAGUAUCUAUCUUCUGCUACUUUAUGACUCUAUAGGUUGAACAAUCACAGUUUAUACAGGUCAGCAUAUAGUCAAUGCUAACUAUUAAAACAUUGUAAAAUCGAUAAUAUAGAUUAUUAUCGAAUAUACUAGCAAUGAAGUUUUUUAACUCCACAAACCGAAUUAAAAAAUUGUCACAUGUCCUUAGUAUAUAUUUUUAAAAAAAUAAAAAAUUAAAGAUAUGGAGAUGUGGCUGUUUUUUAAUCUAGUUUGUGAAGUUAAACUACUCAGUUGUUAAGUGUAUGGAAUAACAGUCUGAUGUUAUAUCUACAUAAUGUAGGUAACUGAACAAGGGUCUUUCUGUUGCUCUGGAACAUGUUAUUUAAAUGCAACUCUUUCUAAGACUUGAAUGCUUUUUCUCUUUGUUGGGUUAAGCUAAAAUCAUGAAUUCCUACAAAAACUAUAUUGAUUAGGUUAAACUAUGCAUAUGGUCCCUGUACUUUUCAAAAGUUAGGAAUUUAGUCUUACUUUUUAGAUUUCAAAAUUUAGGUUCAAGUUGUUACCACUAUUUUUUUUUGGUUAAAUUCAUUGUUGGGACAUUUAUAAAAAAAAACUAUUCACUCAGUAGCCAUCUAAUUCAAAAAAAAGAUAUUGUAAUUAAAUUGGAUUUAAUAAAUAAUUGAAACUGAAUUUUAAAAUCUGAAUUAAAUUUUUGGAAAUACAAAUACAGUGACUAAAUUUUGAAUUUUUUAAAAGUACAGGGACAAUAGGCAUAUUUUAACCUAUUGUUUAUAGACCUCAUAGUAGCAAUGAUUAUUGAUAAUUUUGAUAUUAAACAUUAGAAAUCAUUGUCCAUAAUCAUGCAGACAUGUUUAGGAUUUGUCAUUUUGCUUCGUACAUAAAAAGUUUAUUUUUGCCAUGCUUAAGUCAAACAUGAAGUUUAAAUUUGUACAUGCCAUUUGCCAACACCAUAUGUGAACCAAUGAUUAAGAAUUUCGCAUCACAUCUGUAGAUUAGAAAGAGAACCAGUCAAGUGUUCUUCAAGGUCGGGAAUUAGAUGGUGGAGGUUUAACUAAAAAUUUAGGGGUUAAUGAGAAUUUUUUUAAAAAGAAAAAGCAGUUUAAUUAAAGUUUUAAAAAAUUUUGAGGGUUUGAUGAGAAUUUUUAAAAAUUUAGAGGGUUUAAUUGAAACUUUUCAAAAAUUUGAAAGGUAUAAUAAUUUUUUAAAAAUAUUUUAGGGGUUUAACUAAAAUUUUUGACAUAUUUUGAAAAUUAAUAAAACUUUUGUGGGGUUAAGCUCCCUAUUAAGGAGUUUAAUUAUCCUCCUUUUAUUUUGUUUUCCUUCAUGUUUAAAUUAAUCAUUACAAAAGAAAAAUUAUUAGAGGGUUUUUUUAAUAAUCUGAUCAUAUCUGUUUUUUUUUUUACACAACUCUUAAAACUUUCUAUUGUCUCUUUCCAACUCAUUAAUAGGAAUCAGCGUAUUUGAACUCAUGUUCUCUUGCAUUGGUAACAAUGCUCAUGCCAAUCGAACUAAAACUCGACCGGCUUCUCAAAUAGAGUUUUAAGUAACUUGCAAUUACGCAUAUCUUUGUUAUAUGUAUUCGAGUUAUAGUUUUCGGUUUGAUUAUUAUUUAAAUGUAUUCAGUUUUGGGUUUUAUAAAAUAAAAAACAAUUAUUUUUUAAUUGAAUUAAUUUCAACAAAAAAUAAAAAUAAUGCUUGAAGAGUAUAAAACACUAUUUUGAGGCUCAAUUUUCAUUUUGUAUUAAUUAUUCUAAGUCUCAUAAUAGCUUAUAAAUAAAAAUCAAUAAACUUAGAAUAAUAAAAUUAUUUAAAUCCCAUGGGAUAAGUUAUUUUGAAAUAACAUUGAUAUUUAGUACAAAUAUGUUUAACAAUUUAACAAUAACAGUCGAUCGAGUCUUAACUUGAUUAGUAUGAGUAUUGUUGUUAAUAUAUGAUGGCAAAGGUUCGAGUGUACUAAGCACAUUAUCUUUCUAUUUAUGGGUUAAGGAGGAAUUAUGGAUAGUUGUAUCAGAAUCUAUAAUAAAAUUGUUAACAGAAAUAAUUUAACACGAAGAAAGUAGGCGCACAAACGGAGAAAAAGUGAAAAAAAAAACCAAAGGAAGAAAGGAAAAGGAAUAUAGCAAUUAACGAAAAGUCUAAAACACACCGUAUGGACAGUGCUUGAAGUUGAAACCCACCGCUCCCUCAUUAUCUGCCAUUAAACCUCCUCCUUACAUCUCAUUCAGUGCACACUCCUUUUUGCCUUUUGCUUUCCUCAUAUCUAUAUAUACACACACACACAGUUCACUAUUACACUCAACAUCUCAAACUACUUAACACCAUUAAAUAAAAAGAAUGAAGGUCUUGUUCGCAACAUUGCUGGUUUGCUCUCUUCUACUAUGUUCCUCAAUUUUGGAACCAGUCAUGGCACAGCCUCGGUCACGUAAUAUUGUUAAUGAUAAUAAAUAAUAUUACCACCUUUUUCUUUUUUGAAUUGCUUCAAGCUUUAAAACCUUGUGUUGUGUUGUUGCAUUGCAGCUUCAUGUGCGGGGAAAUGCAAGGCGAGGUGCAGGAAAGCAGCGGUGUGGGAGCGGUGUUUCAAGUACUGUAGGAUAUGUUGCGAAAAGUGUAAAUGUGUGCCAUCGGGAACUUAUGGGAACAAACACGAGUGCCCUUGCUAUAGAGACAUGGUCACCAACAAGGGCAAACCUAAAUGCCCUUGAACUCACAUUUUCUCUCUUAAUUUCAAAAUAAUAAUGAUGAUGUGUGGAGAUUUCCAUGGCAAGACAUGUCUUUAUAUGUUCAUGAAAAUAAUUGUUCUUGCUAUUUAAUUUAUGUUUAUAGUAGUAUUUAAUCUAUAUAAUCAUUGUCGGGUGGAGUAUCUUAUUUUAUAUUUAUAUUUCAGUAUUUAUGCAAUAUAUUUUAUAUUUAAAAAUUCGAGAAGCAUGAAGCGGCGGAACUUAAAAAAAUAUUUUAGACGAAAUUAAAUUGUAUAUAAUUUUUAAAAGGUUAAAUUAAAUAUUUAUUAUGUUUGGGGAGUCAAAAAGUACAAUUUUAUUAUUACUAAUUUAAAAUUUUAUAAAUUAUAAGGAGCUUAAAUUAAAAUUUUACUAUUUUAGGGGCCUCUACUAAGCUCUGCCACUGUAUAUGUAAUAAAAAGUAUAAAAACUUUUAGGAUAGUUAAAAUUUUGAUGAAGUGAAUUCAAAUAUUUGUGAAUAUUUGAUUUAAUUAAUCACUUGCCCAAAGCUCAAAGGCUUGUCCAAAAAAUUGAAAGGUUUGAACAAAAUACGAGGCCUGAAAAAUAGAUUUGGGUAAAUUUCAAGACUCAUUUUCUAUAUGGAUUGGGCCUUGGACAAAAUUUUUUGGCCUGAACUUGACUCGACCUGGCCUGGAUAUAUUAUAUUAUAAAAAUAUUACAUUAAUUAUAUAUUUAAAUAAUAAUUAUAUAUUUAUAUUUAUAUUAAAUCACUAACUGAAUAACAAUUAAAUUCAUUACCCAAAAUCUAAAAAAAAAAUUAUCCAACUAAAUAACCCAACCCAAAAUAUAAAUUUUAAAAAUUAUAUUUAAUACAAUAAAAUAUUUAUUUAUUUUUUAAUACAAACAUUUGUUAUAUUUAUGGUAGUGUUUUUUAAUAUAAAUACUUUUUAAUGUGUUAAAGAACUCUUAUUUUAACCUUUUUUUAGUACAUUUAGUGUAUCAUAUAUAUUUUAAAUAAAAUUAAUCUAAAAUAUCAAAUAUGGGCAGACCCAGAUUUACCUUUCUUAAAUUGGGUCGGGUUUGAGCAAAAAAAUAAGCCUAUUUUUUGGGUUGAGCUAGACCCAGGCUUGAAACAUUGGUCUAGAUACCUUGUAUGGGUCUAGCCCAAACCCGACUCGACUCAUUAGCUCAUUUUAUAUUUACGAUAUGUUUUAUUUUUACGGAUAAUAAAUAUGGAUAUUCAAAUUCAUUAUGUUUUUUAAUUUUUUAAAAAAUAUAUUUUUAUAAGUAUUAAAAUAAUAUUUAACGUAUCCUAAUAUAUAUGAUGAAUAAUUUUAUUAAUUUGGUUCAUAUAAUAAUAUUUAAAGAAUAAAAAAAUUUUGUAUUUCUCUUGCACGAUAAUUUUUAGAAUUGAUAUGUUAUUUAGCACAUGAGUUUGGUUAAAAUGUUCAAUUUGAUAUACGAGUCUCUUUAACCUAAUUUAGUACUUGAUUUUGGUUUCAAUAUUCACCCUGGUACUUGAGUUUUCUUUUGUCCUAACUAAGUAUUUGAGUUUGGCUUUAAUAUUUAAUUUGAUAUUUAAAUUUUUUUUGUCGUACCUAUGUUUUCCUUACUAGGGUACAUAUGUAAACACAUUAAUUGGGACACAUGAUUUUAUUUAGCCUAUGUACCAAAUUGACCAUUGAAAUCAAACUCAAAUGUCAAAUUGGGAUAAAAAUUUAGUACCAAAUUGAAUAAUGAAACCAAAUUCAGGUACCAAAUAAUAUAUUAACUCUAGUUUUUAUUUGGAUUGCUGUGAUAAGAAACCGGGCCAAAAGCCCAGACAUAAUUUAUCCGGCCCAAACUUUUAAAACAAAAACGACGUCGGCUACUCCACCUACUCCACUGUUUUCAAAAAUCGAAGCCACAAAAAAAUCCACAUCUCUCAGUCUCCGCUUCCCAAAAAUUCAAUUAGAUUUUGAAAUUCCAGCGAAGGGGGAGGAGACACACACACACACACACACACACACACACACAGAUCUUCAAAUUUCAUCAAUGGAUCAUUCAAAGGUUCAAGAGGUAACUUCAAUGAUAAACCCUUAAGCUUUCCAUUUUGGAUCUUUAAUUUGUCUUCUGAAUUUAUUUAUAUAAAUAUUUCGAUUCUUGUCCAGAUCGUGGAGAAGCAGGUAUUGACCGUGGCGAAGGCCUUCGAGGACCAGAUCGACGAAGAGAUUGCGGCUUUAGAUCGACUCGACCAUGACGAUCUGGAAGCUAUUAGAGAGCGGAGGUUGCAGCAGAUGAAGAAGAUGGCAGAGAAGCGAAGUCGUUGGAUCGGUUUAGGCCAUGGUGAAUACUCUGAGAUUCCAGCUGAGAAAGACUUCUUUUCCAUUGUUAAAGCUAGUGAACGAGUCGUUUGUCACUUCUAUCGCGAAAAUUGGCCUUGCAAGGUAUAUACGCCUAAUUUUAUUGAAAUUUCCUUAUUGUGAAUGCUAAUGAGUUAUUGAAUCAAAAGGCAAGUAAUUAUUAUGAAUUUUUUUCUUUAUUUAGAAGUAGAUUUGAAGAUAAAAAGCAAUCUAAAUCCGUCUUUUUUGAGUUGAACCGCAGGUGAUGGACAAGCACUUGAGUGCACUGGCAAAGCAGCAUAUAGAGACACGUUUCGUGAAAAUUCAAGCUGAGAAAAGCCCGUUCUUGGCUGAGAGGCUCAAGAUUGUUGUUCUUCCUACACUUGCCCUUAUCAAAAAUGCCAAAGUCGAUGAUUAUGUGGUAUUGUUAAAUGUUCUUUCCAACAAAAUUUAACAUCUGAAUUUGGUCUUCGAUCUUUUUGUUUUUCACUGUUUGCUAAUAGUUUUUCAUGUCUGUAUUUUGAUGGUGUGAUUCAUUUGCAGGUUGGGUUUGAUGAGCUCGGGGGAACAGACGAGUUUUCCACUGAAGAUUUGGAGGACAGAUUGGCUAAAGUUCAAGUCAUCUUCUCUGAAGGCGAAUCGUCAUCGAAGCCCAGAACACAAACCAAAAGGAGUGUCCGACAGAGCUCGAACCCAGACUCGUCCGAUUCGGAUUAACUGUGGGUUGUCUCGGUUUGUAAGCUUUCUUUACCUGUUUCAGUGGAAAUCAAUAGGAUUUAUCAUCAUUCCAUCUUUAAAUACUGUCAAAGCAAAUGAAGAGAAUAUCAUUUGUUGUAUGAAUGAGAUCAUUUAAUCAUCUAUAUAUAUAUAUAUGCUCAAUCUAAUUUUGCUGUAAUUUUUGUUUCGAUUUAUGCAUUCGGAUUUGGUAAAUUUUUUGUUUCUGCUUAUGCAUUUGGAUUUGGAAACGGGUGAUUGAAAGCCUCAUCUCACAGCAGAGGGAUGUGAGCCAAAAUGAUCAACUGCUUCCAGCUUGUACUAUUUAUCUACUCACUAAGGAUUUUGCAUCGAAUCAUUCUCUAUGAGAGAGUUGGAACUGUCAUUAUUCUAAUAUUACUGUGGAUUUUGUUAAGGAGUAUCUUAAGAAUAGUUUUUCAAGGUUAUUAUAUCUACCAGGCAUAUGCUAUAUGCAAUGGGAGAAUUAAAUUUUGUUCCACCAAUAUUUUUACGGAUUUUGUCUACUCAUUCCUUAGAGUUAGUUGUUAUUGGGUCGGGUCAAAUUCAAGUAGAUUUAUACAUGGUAUCAAUGAUACAUAUAUUAUUAAAAAACCGGCUUGGUCAGAGAAUGUAGGGCACAUCUAAAAAUAAGGAAAAAGUGCCGAGUGAGUCUUCGUUUGAUUGGGGCUAAUGCAAGAGGACAUGGAUUCGAGUGCAUUGAAGUGUAUUAUACUCCUAUUUAUGGGUUGGGAGGGGCGCAUUGUGUAAAAAAAAAAGAACAAAUAUGAUUAGAAUUUAUAACGAGAUUGUUUAAAAAAAUAAGGAAAAUGAAAUAUAAUUUACCUAAAUUUUGUUUAUUUUAUAUUUUUAAUUAAAAAAGUUCAGCUAGCGAGUUUCAAGUAACAAUUUGAUAAUCGGUAUGACGGAUUAGUACUCAUCGGCAGGGAUUUAAAUUGCGGUCGCGGUCGCGUUUUCGGUCGCGUCGCGUUUGUCGCGGUCGCGGACAUAACGGACGCUAUUGCGGUCACUGCGGGUAUCGCGGUCGUGAAUUUUUUUCAAAUUCGCACAACUUACUGUAAAACAUAGUAAUUAUAAUUAUAAUUAUAAAAAGUCACUUUUAAUGAUUUUUAGAGUGUUUUCUAACACUUAUGAACCUUUAUUAAUAUGACAUGAGAACACAACUUUUAUAAUCAUUAAUUAUUCUUAUAUUUAUUUACGAAUUUUCUAAGAAUGUUAUAUUAACUAAUAACAAAGUAAAAAAAAAGAAAUAUUAAACAUUUAUCAUAUUUAAUAAGUUUGAAAGUUUUUAUAAAUAAAAGAAUUGAGAAUUCAUACAUGAGAGAUGUCUUCAAUAUUUCUUGACAGCUUUGAAGAUAGUGAAGAUAUAAAUACGCUGCAAAAGGAAAAAAGGAAUAGAUAAAUUAAUGAAUAGAUUCUCAUUAAUUAUUCCUAUUUCCUACCACUUAUUCUCAUCUCAUUCUACUUUCAUAUAUAAUUUAACAUGCUUCGAUUUUUCAUUAUCUUUUCAUAAAAUAUACUUCAUUCAUUUAUCUAAAGAUAUAUAUUAUUUUAAAUGUUUUAAUAUCAUCAAAAUUAAGAACAAUAACAAAGGAUUUCUUUAAAAAAAACAUACCUUACAAAUAAUGAUAGUGGCACGAUUUAGUUUUCACCAAUUAGUGGAAUGACGAGGAAGAUCAAAUCCUUCACCUUCACUUUGGGAGCGUUCUUGACUUGAUUCUCUUGGCCUUUGUCCAAAAAUAUAUCCAAAAAAAGCAACAUUUUCACCUUGGUUUUCAUUCAAUUGAUAUGGAGGAUAUAUUUGAGGAGGAGGAUACAUGAAAGGUGGAGGUGGGUGAUACAUUGGUGGAGGAGGAUACAUUUGAGGCUGGUAUGGCACACCAUAAUUAGGAAAUGGUGGAUAAUAACCAUAUGGUUGUGGAUAACCAUGUGAAGGUUGUUCUGGUGGAUAAAAACCUUGAGUGCUAGUAGAUGAAUCACUAUACCCAAGGUUACUAGAACUCGAUCUCCUACCACUACCAGAUGAAGAGCCUAUAGAAGUAUGCUUCUUGCCUUUUCCCUUUGAUGGAGCUCUAGGUUCACUUCUAUCUCUCCUAGGUUCAGGAAACAUAUUUCCAUCAAACUCUGAUCUGUCACGAAAAUGUCCACCAGUGGUACCACCCCCAUAUUCUCCUCCAUACUGACUAGAAGACCUAAUUUCACCUCUAUCACCACUAUAUCCGUCAUCCUCAUCAAUUGGACUUAAACCACCACCAUCGGGUCCAUCGCCACUCUGACUUGGAGUUGAACUAGAACUUGAAUGAGACAAAAUUUGUUGUUGCGAUUGAUCAACAUCCAUUUCAUCAUCAGAGGUAUCCACAGGCAACACACCGGCAUUUUCACCAUCUAACAAUGGAUUCUCUUUCUCAUGAAGCCAUUCUGAUAGUGGAUCAACAUCUUCAAAGAUAUAAUCAAGGCUGAUAGGAUUAAAACUAGCAUUUAUAUCAUCAGUGCUCAUUCUUUGUUGAUGCCUCAUCUUAAGCCUCAUAUUAUAAUAGGUAAACACUAGUUUUUCAAGUUUUUUAUACUUUAACCUAUUUCUUGCCUUGGUGUGAAUAUAACUAAAUGUGCUCCAAUUUCGUUCGCAAUUUGAUGCUGAAGUUGUUUGACUAAGCACUUUAAUUGCUAAUUUUUGUAAUUCGGGAACACAUGUGCCAUAUAUCAUCCACCACUCAGCUGCAUAAUAUUAUUUAAAUUUCAAAAUAACUUUAAAAUGUACAAUAUAAUUAAAUAAUAUAAAUUAAAUUAAAUAAUUCAAUUAACUGUUUACCCGGAUUCAUUUGCUUCCAAGCUCUUUGUGCUUGUGGAGUACCGAAUGUCUCAUGUUUAUCUCUAAAUAAUAACAACUGCAUAAAUAAAAGAUAGAGUAAAAAUAAAAAUAAAAAUUCUAUUUCAAAUUAUUUAACUAAGUUACAAAUAAUAGUAGUUGAAUCUAACCUGAUUAACCAUUCUGACUUGAGUAUCCAUAGAAGGUUCUAAUCUUUCAAUUACUGAUCGUGUACCUUCUAAUGUUUCUAUUAAUACAUUCUCAGAAUGCUCCACCCCAAAUUGAAAUUGAGGGUUGAGAAAAUAACCUAAGUAUAAUUUAUAAGAAUAUCAUCAAAUAAUAAUAAUCUAAAGCUUAAAAUAAUAAAAUAUAAAAAUAGUUCUUAAUUAUAUGAAAUAUUUUAUCUUACCAGCUGAAUGCAAGUCGGAAUGCAUAAAAUUCCAUCUAUUGUCAAUAAUCUUUUCAUACUCUGUGAAAUAUCGACAAUUUUGUUGAAUUGCUCGUUUAGCCCUAUCAACAGCCUCAUAAAUAAAGUCCAUCGUUGGUUUUUCAUUGCUAUCCACAAGUCUCAAUACUCUUACUAAGGGCUCAUAAACUUUUAUGAGGUCAUUGGCUUUUUUCCAAAAAUCUUUUCCCAAAACAAUUUUUUUGGCUUCAUAAGCAGGCCCUGACUUUUGCUUUCCCCAUUUUGAUUCUUUAAAUUCCUAUAUAUUCAUAAGAAAAAUUUUAAAAUAAUAUAAUUUAAAUUAUUUGGAACUAAUAAAAUCACUAAAGGUUACUAUAUUUAAGUAAUUAUAUUAACUAAUUAUAAAAUACUGACCUUUGAAUUAAACAUUUCUCUCAAACCUUGCUUUUGUCUUGUUAUCUCUUCAAGUUGAAUGAAAUGAGUUGCAAAUCGAGUAAGAGCGGGUCGAAGUAUUUGUUUCCCUUGUGUAUACUUCUUCAUCAAAUCAACAGUCCAAAUGUGAUUGUAUAUAAAGCAAGUCACUUUCUUUGCCUCAUCUAACACUUUUGCUACACUGGGCUUUUUCCCAAUAUCUUCAAGGCAUAAAUCUAAACAGUGAGCUGCACAUGAGGUCCAAUAUAGAUGUUGUCUUUUCAACAUUAACUUUUUUCCAGCAGCUUUCAUUGCUGCCUCAUUAUCAGUCACUAUUUGGACAAUGUAAUUUUCUCCAAUUUCUUCUACAACUGAAUCUAACAAACGGUAGUAGAAUUCAGCAUCUCUACUACGGACACUUGAGACAUCUACCGAUUUCCAAAAAAUGGUUCCUUUACUGCAAUAAACAAGGAAAUUAAUGAUGUGCAUUUGAUUCAAACUGUUGGUCCAACCAUCACACAUUAGAGUUGCACCCAAUUCUUUCCAAUGAGUCUUUAGUACAUUUACCCAAUCAUGAACUCGUUGAUACUCUGACUCCAAAUACACAUCUGAAACCUCAUAAGGUGUUGGGAGCUUUACACCUUGUCCAACUUCUGUUGCCACUUGAAUUAAGUUAUACAACCAUGGAGAGCUUGCUAAUUGAAAAGGAAGUCUUUCAUAUAUUAUAAAUUUAGAUACCGCUUCACCUAUCUUCCUUCGAAAACUCUUUAAAAAAGAGUCAUUGACCUUUGGUUGCUUUGAACUUUUGCUUCUAACCAAUUCAGGUAUAGCUCCCCUUAAGGUAAACUCAGACUCACCUAGAAUAGAUUUACUUGUUCUUUCUCUAUUAUGUUCUCUAGCUGAUCCAUGAGAAGAUCGCCCUUCUUCAUAAAUGUUAUCCCAACCACCAGUACUUCGUCUGAAUUCUUCCCUUCUAUGCCACUCGUGUUGUGAUUGGAUACUUUCUCGAGUUGCUUGCCUUAUAGCAGAAACCUCAUCAAUGAAUCCCUCAUGCUCAUCCUCCUCUUCUAUUAAUUGAGAUAAGAAUUCAUCUUUUCUCCUCCUUUUGUCUAUUUUCUUUGUGUUGCUUUCUUUUAGUACAUUCAUCAUACUUUCUCUAAUGACACCUGUUAAUAAAAUAAAAAUAAUUCACACUUUAUAUUAUUAUCAAUUAUAUAUAAUCUUUAUUGAUAAAUUUACAAUAACAUUUAAUAAUAAUAAUAAAGUAUCACAUACCAGUAACAUUAGGGCAUGGUGCAACAUUGCCGGUUUUAUGAGCAAUGUGCUCUUUCAGUCGUGUUAUUCCUCCUUUCACAACUUUACCACAAAGUUUACAUACGAUACUUCCUCUCGCAUUUGGCACUAGAGUUCCAAAGUGCCAACCUAUAUCAUUACUUGGUGCACCCUCCAAUCCUUUAGUCGGGAACUCUUCACGUGGUGGCAUGCUUUAUUUUUAUUUAUAUAAGAAACAUAAAAUUAUAUUUAGAAAUAUAAGCAACUCAUUACUUAUAUAGUUAUAUUAUCAACAAUAUAAUACCAAAAAAAGUAAACAAAAUUUAAAGCUAAAGUAAAGACCUAAUAUUAUAGAAAUAAAUAAAUAUUGUGUAAAAAAAUUUAAUAAUAAUAAUACUGGUAAUAAAUAAUAAUAAUAAUAAUAAUAAUAAUAAUAAUAAUAAUCAUGAUGAUGAUGAUGAUGAUGGUAUUAAUAAUAAUAAUAACAAUAAUAAAAAUCUUAAAAUUAAAAAUUAUAUGAAAGGAUAUACUAUAUAGAUAAAUAAAAUGAUAUAAUAAAAUAAAUGUAUUUAAAAUAUUUAGGUAAAUAAAUAUGAAAAGAAAUAUAAUUGAAAUAAUAAUGCAAAACUAAUUAAAUUUUAAUAAUAUGGUAAUAAUAACAAGUAAAUAAAUAAUAAAAUAAAAAAGGAAAAAUAAUAAUAGUAAUAGUAAUAUUAAAUUAAUUAAUUUAAUAAUAAAAUAGCAAAAAUAACAAAAAGGGACUAAAUCGAACUUAAAACAUAAAUUUGCGGCAAAUCCAAAAUAAAUAAAAAGAAAAAGGACCAAAUUGAAUGCACAAAUAACAAAAAUGGAUCAAAUGGGAAAUAAUCCCCAUCCUUCAAAACGCACAGCUUCAAGGUGGACCAAAUUGAAAUACGAAAUAAAUUAUAGGACAAAAUUAAAAAAGAAAUAAGCUUGAUUGUAAAUAAUAAAAAAUAGGAAGGGCUAAAAGCGCAAUUAACCCUUCUGUUAAAAACACGCGGAUCCUAGGAAACGGGUCGGGUAAGUGCGCGGGUUAGGCCGAAACGGCGUCGUUUUGGUGCCAGAGUGGCCUGCCCAAAACGGCGUCGUUUUGAAGGCCUAUUUAAAUGAAAAAAUUUUCAGAAUAUUCAUUUCUGCCAUUCUUCAAAAACUUGCUUUUGCCUUUUUCUCUCAAUUAUUUUCUUCUCUGCCGUUGCCCAGAAUCCGGCCAUCGGCCACCGUGGCAGCCGCCGAUCACCGGCGACGGCGCCGCCGUGCACGGUGGUCGAAAAUCGCCGAAAACAUUUUAACCCCCCUUUUUUUGUGUAGAAUAUAGAUCUAGGGAUAAAAAUAUCAAAAAAUCACUCUAUGUUGCAGAUUCAAGACAUGCAAGUACUUUACUGGUUAGACGGUUAGUUUUCUCUACUUACUUGAUCUAUUGCUUUGCUUGCUGCCUGUGCCCUGUGGCUGUGUUUUUUGCCUUGCCGAAAUAUGGAGAAUGAAGAAAUAUAUUUUGCCUUUUCGUUUGCUUGUGAAUCUGUGAAAUGUGAGUUUGUGAGUGAGUUUUGAUUUUUUUAAUCGACUUUCAGAUUCAGUCUUUUACUUUACUUUGUUUUGAUUGCAGGUUGGGAGGGAAUAUAUUCCCUUGUCUUUUGUUUUAUUAUGAAGUACAAUUAUUCAGUCUUUCUUCUCAACUUGAUUUUUUUUUAAUUUACGGAAACGGAAAAUAACGGGAAUAGCGGCCCGUUAUUGCCGCAAUUGUCCGUUAUCCGUUAAAUUGCGGCCGCUAUCCACCGUUAUCGGUGUGAAUCCGCUUCCCUCCGUUAUUUUCAGCAAUAGCGGUUUCGGUCGGCGGCGCUACCGCUAUAUAACGGCCGUUAUUCUAAAAACGUUCCGUUAUUUGAAUCCCUGCUCAUCGGCAAGUAGAAUAGCAUAUUUUAAAUCUAAAUUGAUCUGAUGGUCAGUAUUAGAUGAUCAAUGAAGAAAAUUGUUUGAAUUUUGAUUUGCAAAUUUGACUAAGUAAAAGAGAAGGGGAAGAAGAGUUUCAUUGUUGCGAGUGAGGUGAACAAAAAUGUUAUACAAUAGUGAUUUUAAUAGUUAAAUGACUUAAAUAAAAUUUUUUGAAUAGUUUAGUUUCUAUUUUCUAAAAUUGAAUAAUCAAAAUAUAAAUUUAUUAAUAAUUUAGUGACAUUAAGUGUAAUUUACCCUAAAUAAUUAACUCAUUCGUAAAUAAAAUUUUAUUUUUAUUUAAUAUUUAUUAAUUUUAUAUACUUUUUAUUUUAUAAAUUUUUAAACAUAAAUAAUUUAAAUGUUUUUUAUAUUUACAAUAUAAUUUAUUUUUAGUUUUCAUGUAAUUUAAAUUUCAUAGUUCAUACGAGUAAAAGAAAACUAAGGUUAGACUUUGACAUUAAAAUGGGCAUACCAAGGCCUCCCUAUAACCUAAAUGGGUUUAAUAUUUUGCUAAACUUAAUAUUUUUGUUUGAAUCUUCAUAAAUGUGAAGCAGGCAUUUGUACAUAAUCAGAUACCUCGAAUUUUGAAUGAAUUUAAUUUGAAUAUUUAAAGCUAUUAUUAAAUUUAACAUUUUUUAUUUUAUAUUUUUAUUAAAUAGUUGGGUAAAUUUACGUUUUGAUAAUUCAACUUCAAAAAGUUACAGAAUAGUUAUUAAAUUAAUCAAAAAAUUUUAUUUAAGUCACCGACUGUUAAGUUUUUUCUUCUUUUCAAAAAGUCCAUUACUAGUCGUCGAUGAGUAGAAAUUUGAAUUAAUCUAAAGAUGUUCCGUAUUAAAAAAAAAACUAAAUUGUAAAAGAGAAAGGGAAGAAGUUUUUCAUUGGUACGAGCAAUACAAACAAAAAAAAAGCCAUACAAUAAAGAUUUUAUUAAUCCAAUGAAUUAAAUGAAAACUUUUUAAAAUUAAAUAAUCAAAACGUAAACUUACUAAUAAUUUAGUGAACUUGAGCUUUUAUAACCUAAAUAGGUUAAAUAUUUUUGUUCGAAUCAUCUCAAAUGUGAAGCAAAGUAUUUGUACAUAAUCAGUAGCUGGACUUUUGAACAAAUUUAUUUUGAAUAUUUAAAGCUAUUAUUAAAUUUAAUACAUAAAAUAUAAAAACUAUAAUUGUAAAAAAUAAUUAAGAUAAUAUUAAUUCAAUUUCAAACUAGAAAAUCAAAUAUUUAAUUAAAUUUCCAAUAAAAAUACACAUAACAAAACAACAAAAAGCAAACCCAUAAACCAUUUUCAGUGCAGAAUUCAAUCUAUCGUCCUUGAAUAUAUGGUAAAACAAAAACUAUAAUAAUAGUUACUUCCUACACCACACAUGGUGUGCUCAAGAUGACAUUCAACAUUUCACUAAAUCCUAUCCCUAAUUGAACAAGGGCUUAGGUUUAUUAAUGGCAAACAAUGACAACAACAUUAUAAAAUAAAAUAAAAACCCAGAACCAUGCAUGAUUUGUGAAGAAGAAAAACACAGGCAAACACAAAGGAUGAUGGUAGGUGGUCAUACACGAUUAGUCUUGCUACAUUUGACACGGUCCAACACCAUUUUCCCAAACAAAUGACUGUGCAGAACUGAAUAAUGUCUUAAUAUGAAUCUCACAAGUUUGUCGUACAGAUCUCCCUGAAUGUAAAAAAAAAAACAACAAAAUAAUUAAAAGUUCAGUAGAUAACUGGAAGACUAUGACUAUGAAUAUAAAAAAGAUGGUCAAUUUCUACAAAAGGUCCUUCUACUAUUAUGUUUUUUUCCGGAAAUUAAAAAAAAAGGACAAAAAAUGAUAUAUAGAGAUUUAUCAAAUUAAUAGAGGGACUAAAUUGGCUAAAAAUGAAUAGUAAAGGUAGAGUUUGACCUAAAAAAGGAGAUGCAAGAAAUGUAAGGUUGAAAAUGAAGUUAUAGUAAUAUGGUACCUUGGAAACACGCAAGGCAGAUUGAAUAACAUAAUUUCCAUAAGCAUCUUGAAGGACCUUCAAGAAAUCAAUGUCGAACAUGAUUUCUUUGAUGAUCAUUGAUGCAUGUUCACUUGAACAUUUCAUGCAUUUCUCCACCACAUUGCUGCCAUAUUUGUUCAUUGAAAGGGAAACGUAAGUCCCUCGAAGCUGCAUGAUUAAGUUUGAGGUAACAUGACGAAGUCUCAUUCCAACUACAAAUUGCACAACAUAGUUCCUGCAAAUUUAAGAUAAUUAUAUCGUAUGCGUAGAGCACUUGCUGAUGCACCACAUUAGUUAUAUAUAUAUAUAUUAUUUUGUACGUGGAGUAUUUUUUAGAUUCUACACGUAGGAUUAAAAGUAUGAUAUGCGACUGUAAUAUAUUGUAAAAAUAAAAAAUAAAUAUAUAAAGAAAUGAGGCAUAUGUCACCCUUUUAAUCUUACUAAGGGAAUUUAAAAACUUGUGCAAAGGUGGUGGGAAGAGGCAGGUAUAAAAUUUAUAAAAUUUUAAAUUAGUAUAUAAUGAAAUUACAAUUUAAACUCUAAAUUAAUACAUUUUUAAUUUAAUUUUUUAAAAAUUAUAAAAAUAUAAAUUAAUAAAAUGAAUAAAUUAUAUUUCACCUUCCAUAAAAUUAUACAAUUUAAAAGCUAAUGAGACAAUGAGUAAAGUUCAACCCACCUAAUUAAAACCAAGAAGGAAAAACACAACUAAAUAAAUUUUCCUUAAACCUAAAAAAAAAAUCCCCUCAAAAUCUUGAAAAUUUAUCAUUAAUCCUUUUAAAAUUUUGAAAAUUUUCCUUAAAACCCCUAAAUUUUUUGAAAUUCUAAUAAAGCAUUAUAAAGAUUUAAAAAAUUAAUUAAACCCUCUAAAAUUUUCCAGAGUUUUAAUUAAUUUUUUUCAAACCUAAAAUUUUUGAAAAUCAUCAAAUUAAACCAUUCAAAAUUUUUGAAAAUUUUAAUGAGGUCCCAAAACUUAGAUGGUAAUUUGAAUAGAAAAAGGAAUUUGAGAAGCAAACCCAUAGCAAUGCUCGGAAAGAAUAAAGGCAUUUGAUAUAAUUUCAGCGAGCAUACGGUCCCUAGCUUCUAUUUGGACAUGGCUCAAGCAUUGAUUCAACACACAACACCCACUUUUAUCAGUCGCAAUGUCCAUACAAUUAUUUGCUAUUUCAUCCGCAAUAUGCUGCAACGAAACAAACAAAAACAAAAACAGAAAAAAAAUUAUUUCGUCGGCUCCUUACUACAAUUGAGAUCGAGUUGUAUGAAACAUGAAUAUAACUGAUAUUGCAUUAAACUAUUAAAAAAAUGAUACAAAUAAUACAGUCACUGUAUUAUACAAUCCUUCCUUUGAUAUCAUUCGUAAUAAGGAUUGUUAUAUAAGGAGAACUUGGAUUUAAACCUUAGAAAUUUCAUGAUACAAACUAUAAUAUAAUCAUGUUAAUACUAAUAAUUAAGUUACAAUCAAUAUCUACAUAUAUAGUAACAUUAAUUUCUAAGUAUAUACAUGCAAAAAUAUACGUGUGUAUAUAUAUAAUCAUUACUGGUACGUAAAGAUAAGCAAAUAUAGGAAACAAUUAUACCUUGGUAUCUUCAUUUGAGAAAGUAAAAAUGCACUGAUCAAUUAUAUGAUGACCAUGGAUGUUGUUCGUCAAUGUAACAGCAAUAGGUUUCAAAACCGACAAAAGUAUCGAUAUUUGUUCUUGAGAUUUCAUCCGCAGCAUAAGCUUUUGAACCGCCCAAGUCCUGAAAAAGAAAAACACAUACAAUAUCCGACCAGAAGAAAAGCUUACAGUUUCAUUGAGAAAGAAACCCUAAUGGCAUGUUCUUGGUUCUUUACCCGAGUGUAUCAGUGCAAACUUCCAUGAAUCUUUGUUUUCUAGUGACGAGUACUAGGAGUAGUUCGGUCGUUUGUUGUUGAUUGAUCACUUCGAAGAGUUUUUGGAUGACAUAAUUAGCGAACUGGUGUACCAUUAACUCGUGAAGUUGAUCUUUAACUUCGGAUAUAACCAUAUCGAUGUCUUCACGUUGGAUGAUUUUGUCGUCGAAUUUCUUUUGCAAUAAACGACAGCCCUUUUGGUCUUUGGCGACGGCGGAGAUCCGACCUUUUAGUUCCUUCAGUGAUGAACACGUGAACCAUUCUUGGCCACGAUUGUUGUACAUUGGAGGGAAUAAAUUAGAUUUAGGGUUUUCGGGUUGCGAGCCAUUAGAACUCCAUAUAGAGUUGUUGGUACCCCAGUGGGUAUUCAUCGGCCAACGCCGGUUAGUGUAAGGCAAUUCAUUGAAAGAUCGGCUCCUCUGUCGAUACACGUCAAAGCCAGGAAAACUCGGUUGCCGCUGCGGCGGUGGUCGAACCAUAGAUGCUCCUAGAAAAUCAUAGCUUCCAAACCCCUCAUUGUGAAACCCUAAUCCUAUUUGCCCUCUCACAGCAGAUUCAACCCUCAUGCUUUGUAAACGAGAGCUAUUGUGAUCAAUAAGAGUCAUUCGUCUAAAAGAAUCUUCAAGGCUUUCAAAGCUUUGUUGGGAAGGUAAUGGAAGGUUUGGAGUUAAGGGAUAUGAUCUUUGGGAAGAAUAAACAGUAGGGUUCUGGAACAGACCAUGAGUAGGGCUUUGACGGAAACUAGGGGUAGAAUAUGGAGGAAGAAACAGACGGUUUUCAUAGGUGGUUUUCUUCAUGAAAGACCAGUACAAGCCUUCAUUAUCUAUUCUCACCAUGGGGUUUUCAGAGGUGGUUUCCUCCAUGUCCAUGAACGGAAAUUGAGAACCUUCCAUAUCAUCUUUUUUCUCCAUUGGGAGUGGGGGUGGGGUUAGGGUUAGUGUAUUGGUUACAACUUGGGAAACAAAAAAGAGGGUUUUAAGGAAAGAAUAUAAUGGCAAAAUAAUAGCUGGAGUGAAAGGAGCAACUAGUGUUUGUAUCAAACAAGGAAACAUACAUACCACGUUAACUACUCUGACUAUAAAUAUAUUAUAUAUUUAUUAUAUCAUUAAAACCAUAUAUAUAUCUUCUUCUUUUUUAAUCCUUUAAUUUUGUUUUUCAUAAUUAAUUAAUCAUUAUUUCACCAAUUACCUAUGGGUUUAAACACAUCAAUUU